rnacentral:lncRNA from 1 species
GAGAAUUCCUAAGGUGCAAGAACUCUUAAAAAAUGUCUUCAAGGGUAAGGAGUUGUGUAAAGGCAUUAAUCCGGAUGAGGCAGUGGCUUACGGUGCUGCUGUUCAGGCUGCAGUCCUGAACGGGAAGGGAAAUGAAAAGCUUCAAGACCUCACUUUGUUGGAUGUCACACCGCUAUCACUCGGGGUGGAGACUGGGUGUGAACGGGACAUGACUGUUGUGAUACCAAGAAACACCAAAAUGCCCGUCAAGAGGAAUUAUACUGUUACCACUCGGCAUGACAACCAAGCAGUUGUUAGAUUUGCCGUCUAUGAAGGCGAGAGUACAACAACAGUGAAUAAUUACUUUCUGGGUGAUUUUAGGCUCAAAGACAUUCCUCCAGCUCCGAGGGGUGUUCCUAAAUUCAAUAUUGUCUUUGAUAUUGAUUCCAAUGGGAUUCUGAACGUAUGUGCUGAAGACAUGUUGACUGGCCAGAAGAAGGGGAUAACUCUCACAAAUGACACAACUUGUGAAGGAAUUGAAAGAAUAAUGUAAGAAAGAAUCUUAUGUCAUGCUAAAGACCGAAACAUGAUUUGUUUUACUUAUGCGUGGCUACUCUGUAAUUUAUCUUGAUAAAAUGGUUCUAAUGUUUCAACUAUUAUGUUAAUUUUGAAUUCGUGCUUUCACACGUUUACCCUUUAUUUAUAUACCUAUAACAAUUAGGGUUUUAAUCUUCCAAAAUAAAAAAUUAAUAAUUAGGGUUUUUGAAACAAUGACCUAAUCCUUCAUCUAACAAACAAUGCACAAAACCAGUACAAUUAUUUACACACUCUAAUAGAGAUGCAUCAUAUCAGGGAUGGAACCAGCUGGAUCUAAAAACGGGAUGGCCGAAAGCAUGAAUCUACAAGUAAAACAUACAAAUUUCAACAAAUAUAUAAACCUUUGGAAAAGUUGUUGGGGGCCAUGGCCACUGCAGGCUCAACAUCAGUCCACCCUAUAUCCUAUCAAUAUAUGUCAGAUUCACUUGUAUAUAUAUAUGAGUGUGUGUUGACAAGUGUAUCGAUUUUAUGUAUUCAAAGACGACAAAAAAUUAACACUUUACCAAAAUGUAUACAAACCAACAUGUUUUGGGACCUAGAUGAAGCCAAUAUGUGAUUUAUAUUCCUAUCUCCGCUCGAUUUGUCAAGGGACAAGUUAGUCCUUUCCUGCAGUGUGGCAUUAGGACCAUGCUGAACUUCAAUUUGAUAUUAUAAGGCACCUAAAUUUUUUUUCCUUUUCAAAACUUCCCUUUAUCACUUGCACCUUGAUCAAAACUUAUUUGCUCUUCAUUGCAAGUGGUGGAAUGCCUAGUGGAUAUGGCUCCUUUUCAACUCACUACUUUUUAGACGCAAGCUAUCUAAUUCUGAAGAUAUUUCUGAUAUAGCUUAGAGUAAUAGUAUCGUUUGUAAUAAAUAAAUAAAUAAACUGAAAGCAAAAAAAAACCUAUUUGUUCUUCCUUAUCUUUUCCCUUUCAUUUAGUGCCAUGAAAUUCCGAAGACAGAUAUAUCUGGUAUGUGGUGAAAUAUGUAUAACUAAUAAUUUUGUAUAUAAAAUUCAUUCUCUUAGUGUGGGAAGGGAGAAUUGAACCUGAAUAUUGGGUCGUACCCAGUGCACAAGGCUCCCGCUUUACGCAGGGUCUGGGAGAGGUGAAUGUCGGCUAGCCUUACCCCCAUUUAUGGAGAGGCUGCUCCCAAGUCUCGAACCCGAGACCUACCGCUCAUGGGCGAAGGCACUUGCCAUCACACCAAGUGCGACCUCUGAACCUGAAUAUUGGGUGCAUGAGUAAAAGCUUUUAACCAUACAUGCCCCUUGCAAGUAUUAUUAUUAUUAUUAACUCUGUUGAUGCUGCAAUCUUAUUGAAUUUUAGAAAGUGAGACGGCCGGUAGCUUAAUUUGAUUUGAGUUAUGUAAUUAAAGGAGUUGCAAUUGAUAAGUUUAACCGUAGAAAUUUGUUCUUUUUGUUUUAUAGGUUUUGCGCUUUGGCAUGGAUGAACCUUUAACAAACAAUUAACCAAAACUAUUGGUUGUUCUUCUUUGAGUUAGCGCUGAGAAUGCUGAGAAUGUCAGGAGAAGAAGAAGCAUUCUCCCAAUUUUCCAAAUAUGCCUUAAAAAGUCAUCGAAACAGAAUAAUUCUCGGAGGAGUACUUUACUUAGCUACUGAGAUAUGUGCUAGCUUUCUAUCUGCAAAAGCCGAGAUCCACUUUCAAUAUGUGCAAGCAAGUUGUAAAGUUCUCUCAGAAAAAAAUAAAAAAGAAGGUAAAGUUAAAAGGCAGUAAAGGUAAAGGUAUAAAGUAAUGCUUAUCAUUUAUGCUUUGUUUUAGGAAAACUAAUGAAAAAAUAUUAUAAAACUUUGAGUUUUAAUGAUAAGUACAAAAUAAAAGGUAAAAUGAAUAGUACUAGGUUUGACUUUUUAGUAUAAAAAUGUGGUUUUUUGUUAAAAUAAACAGUACCGUGGGCUUUUUGUUAAAACUCUUCUUUAUUUAGGAAAACUAAUGAAAAUUGCUUGAAAACUUUGAGUUUUAACGAUAAGAAAAAAAUAAAGGAUAAAAUGAAUAGUACCAAGAUUGACUUUUUAGGUAAAAAUGUGAUUUUUCGUUAAACUAAACUGUAUCGGGAGCUUUUCGUUAAAGUUCUAUUUUUUUUGUAAUCGUUAUCGUUUGUGCUUUGGUUGCUGCAUAAUUUGGCAUAGAACAGGCAACAGAAAAUCAAUUUUGGAGACUUAUUGCAUUCCAACGUUUUUUGCACAAAACUUUAGAAAAGCAAAAGAUAAAUGAUUCUUCGUUCCCAAGUUAGAUCUAAGUUAUGAAAGACACCACUCUGAACUCUUUCUCUUCCCCAAUAAACUAGCCUGACUCGCUCUCUCUAGUCCCUCCCUACUACUCUCACUGAAAUAAUUUUUCUUCUCUGCUCUUCUUCUUCAUCGUGUUCCCGUGCAGAGAAUGGCAGGAAAAGAAGGCCACGCAAUCGGAUUGAUAUCUGGGGACAACGUACUCGUGUGUCGCAGUGUGGGAGCACGAACGUGUGGAAAUCAUAGUGAAUGAUCAGGGUAACAGGACCACUCCAUCUUGUGUUGCCUUCACUGAGACUGAGCGAUUUGUUGGUGAUUCAGCCAUCAACCAAAUCAUCAGGAACCCCACCAAUUCCAUUUUUGGUUAGCUCCUCGUUUAUCUGCUAUUAAUUUAACAGUGUUUAAUUUCGGAGUUAGUUCAUGGAAAAUGCUUAUAUGCCAUAGAAUUUAUUUUUUUAACACAACAAAAAGCUGUAAGUACGAACAUUAUGAAGUUGAAUUAUAACUAUCGCUGCAGCGUAUUUUGUCGUUAAGAUGAGUUAUUCAUUAAAUAUUCGAAUAACUUAUCUUACUAACCACAUAGAAAUUGUUCUUUCUUUGUAGGAAUGUGUUUUUUUUUUUUUAAUUUAUCAUUUAUUUGCAGAUGCAAAGAGGUUAAUUGGUAGGAGAUUCAGUGAUGCCACUGUUCAAAGUGAUUUGAAGCUCUGGCCAUUUAAAGUCACUGAAGGUCCUGGCGGCAAGCCCUUGAUUGUGGUUACCCACGAGGGACAAGAGAAACAGUUUGCUGCCGAAGAAAUUUCAGCCAUGGUUCUAUCGAAAAUGCGGGAGACUGCUGAGGCCUACCUCAACUCCACUGUGAAGAAUGCAGUUAUCACUGUCCCUGCUUACUUCAAUGAUUCACAGCGUCAGGCUACAAAAAAUGCUGGCAACACUGCUGGUCUAAAUGUGAUGCGCAUCAUCAACGAACCAACUGCUGCAGCAAUUGCUUAUGGCAUUGACAGGAAGGCUGGUUGGUAUAGCAAGAGAAAUGUUAUGAUAUUUGAUUUAGGUGGUGGUACUUUAGAUGUUUCACUACUUACCAUAGGUGAUGGUGUGUUUGAAGUGAAGGCCACGGCUGGAGACACUCACCUUGGAGGAGAAGACUUCGAUAACAAAAUGGUGGACUUUUGUGUUGAGCAAUUAAGAAGAAGCAUAAUUUGGACGUGAGUGGAAACUCUAAAGCACUAAGGAGGUUAAGAAACGCAUGUGAGAAAGCAAAGAGGAGGCUUUCGUUUACUUCAGCCACUGACAUUGAAAUCGACUGUUUGUUUGAGGGAACUGAUUUCUAUACAACUAUUACCCGUGCCAAAUUUGAGCAAUUGAAUAUGGAUUUCUUUAACAAGUGUAUGGAGCCAGUCGAGAAGUGUUUGAAGGAUGCCAAUAUGGAAGUAAGCAGUGUCCAUGAUGUUGUUCUUGCCGGCGGAUCUUCUAAAAUUCCCAAAGUGCAGGAACUGUUGCAGGAUGUGUUCAAGGGGAAGCAGUUGUGCAAGAGUAUCAAUCCGGAUGAGGCAAUUGCGUAUGGUGCCGCUGUUCAAGCUGCAGUCUUGAGUGGGAAUGGAAAUGGGAAGCUUCAAGACUUCACUCUCUUGGAUGUCACCCCUUUAUCACUUGGUACUGAAGUAAAUCCUGUCAUGAAUGUUGUGAUUCCAAGAAACAGUAGUAUUCCCAUCAAGAGGAACACAACUCUAGUUACUCUCUAUGACAAUCAAGUGUCCGUCAUUUUCCCCAUUUAUGAGGGUGAGAGUACUAACCCCAAAAAUAAUAAUUUUCUGGGUCAAUUUAUGCUCGACGGUAUUCCUCCAGCUCCAAAGGGCGCUGCUAAAUUCGAUGUUUGUUUCAGCAUUGAUGCCAACGGUAUUCUAAAUGUCUCUGCUGAGGAUAAGUCUACCGGCCAGAGGAAAGGGAUUACAAUCAUGAGUGAUAAAGACAUAAGGAGCUCUGAAGGAAUUGAGGCGGUGAACUAAUUAAGAAGCCUAGUCCUAUAUCUAAAUUAGGACAUACGAGAAAAUAUGCCCGUGCGUUGCCGCGGGACUUUAAUGUAUUAGUCACAACAGGCAUGAAUAGUUUCCACGCAAAACAACUAAAAAGACGUAGCACCUAAGAAUCGAUGAACAAUUGGGACAUCUUACUCAUAUGUGAGAGUCUCAAUCCCUAUUUCAAAUCCCUAUUGAACAAAAAUCCUAUUUCUUCUUCAAAUUGAAUCGACAUCAUUGAUCAAGCAAUUAAACAUUCCUACUGGAAAAUAAUUGACCCAAGAGUUGAGCAGAUAUAUAGGGAUUGGACAAAGGGGACGUAAUUAAACUAUAUAAUUUAACAAAAGUAAAGGUCAAUACAACUCUUCGAAUUACACUAUAUAUCUAAUUUACCAGAAAACUUUGUAAAAGUGACAGUUUACCUGAUUUAAGCACUUAAUUUUCCUAUUUAAAACAGUUUACCCAUUUUUUAUAAGUAAAAUAUAGCUUAAGCUUAAUUUAUUAACAGCUUAAUGCAAUUCAAAAGUAUUUUCUGUUGUGGUGAGAAGGAGAAGCUACAGCCAACCCGCCUUAACUUUUUACUUUUUCUAGAUGCAUAUGUACAGUUUACCUGCACCCUCAUACCAUGUGUCUUGAGCUGUUAUCUAUCCUCCACUUGCAGCAUUUUCGCUUUUUUGCACGGAACCUCAACAGCAAACGAUUUCAUCUGUUACCAGUUAAUGGAGAUGUCUUCUGCACGACUGGACUACAAAAAAAUAUAUUGGAGAAUCAAAUUGAAAAAUUCAACAUAACCCAAAUUUACAUUAACAGAUCAACAGAUGCUACAGUAAAGAAAAAGAUAGCCAAGAACAGAAUUUUACUUUAUCUAUGCUGAUAACUGUCUGAGAACAAAACAAAGACCAACUGGAAUGCAAAAAAAUAAUGAAGUGAAAUAAGCAUAUGGAAGUGUUAUAUAGUUUUUGUUCCAAUUUGUUGUGUAUUGGGAAAGACAAUAAUGUAAUUAUCAUUACUUAUUGGUUUUGAAUUUGGGUGUUCGAAGGACUUAAUAUUUGUUUUAGUUUGUGUAGAGAACGGAGACCUAAUGGCAUGUUGUUGGUUGAAUGCUAUAUGAGAAUACAGAAAGGCCAAACCUUUGGGGUUAUUUUAAGUAAAAAAAAUGUUGAUGCGUCAAAUACAUUUAAUGCACACUCCCAAAUGCAGUCUUCAUGUUCCCAUCGAAACACUAUGCAUCUUAAUCGUAUACUCAAUUCAUAAGGUUAGCCCCAUUAAUUAAGGGAAUAUAAUUGCAAUAUGCAUAAUUAGUUGAUAUCAACCAUGUAUAUCUCACACAACUAAGAAUGCAGGGCCAAAACCAGAGUAUACUUACAUAGGUGUUAUUUCCUAUUUGCAUUUUGAUAAGUAUCAUGUUUUAACAAUCAUCCAGCAUCCCACUCAUGGCAUAAUUGUUUGUGGGAUGACACAACCCAUGACACAACUGGAGACUAAUUCUACAGAACCCAUGACACAAAACAAUCCAAAAUUAACAUAUUGUAGUAACAACAUUCCAACAAAAGUAAGAAGACCAGAAAAAUGAUCUAUUAAAGUAAUUUAGUUCCAUCAUGCAUAAAUCAAGGCAGUCAUGUAAGGCUAGUAUGUACAGUAAUCCAACACAUUAACAUAAAGCCUCCAAAGACAGACUCAGAAUUACAAAACACAUGAAAAUUCACAUUCCAACGUGUUAUCCAAUCACCAAUUUCAAAUCCACCAAAACCAAAACCAAAACCCAAAAUCAAAAGAAGGUGAUCAAAUGUUUGAUUUUGCUAAAUAUUACAAAAUAAAAUAAAUAAAAAUAUGUACAAAUCAGCACGCAUACCUUGUAGCAGUGCAGGGAACAGUAGCGUAAGUUGCAUCGAGGGCAUGUGUACUGGGAAAAUUGCGUCUUUUAGAACGUGUUGCAAGUUUAGAGCAGUGUUGAACUGCUCACUGUACAAAAUAUUCUAGGUACAUGUGUGUGUGUGUGUAUACAUAUAUAUAUAUAUACACUAAUCAGCACUUCAGAGCUUCCUUCUUCUUUCUUCUCAUAUGUAUGCUUCCUUGAUACAAAUUGGAAAAAUGAAAGUUGUUAAUGUAAAUAAAUGACAGUUUUAGUGAAAAUGAGAGAACCCAACUUAUUUAUUGAGAACAAAGCGAUUUUCCUAAUUGCCAAAAAAUUAAAUAUUUUCUUCAAUUAGUUCUCAAAUGCACUUAAUAUGAUCCUAAAAUCUCAAAAGUGUAUCCUCCACCACUCAAAAUCGCCACAGAAAAAUUAAAAAAAUUUCACUGCUUUCAAACAACAAACAAAAAAAAGCUACCAAGAUGCUAAAAAUUUGUGCAUAACCUGAGCAACUAUUAUUAAUGCACAAUACUAAAACCAUUUUCAUUGGUUAACCAUUAAAAGCAGAAAUCUGUAUUUGCAUACAACACACAUACUUUUAAACUACAUAACUUUAUGUAUGUUUUAGAAGUUAGAUUUUUUUCUAAUCUAUAGUCUAGUACAAUGUUUGAAAUCUUGAUCUGAAAUGUGCUAACUGAGAGAACGAAAUCACAAAUUUUAUAGGCAAACAGCAUAUAUAAAAAUAAAAAAGUGCAAAAAAAUUUAUUUCCAUUUAGUUCUAUUGUGAUAAGUAUACCUGAAACCAUGGCUAAAAACUAAGCUUUCAUUCAUUUUGUUCAAAGAAACAUUCUCAAGCAAUAGAGAAAAAAAGUAACCUCUUCGACUCACCAAAAUCAUCUAAUUCCUUAAUCCCUUCAACUUCGACAGACUGAAGUCAUCUUAUGAACUAUUCUGCUAACAAUUUGCAGCACAAAUUAUGCUACCACCUAUUUCAAAAAACCACAAAGUCUAAACAUCACAUUUAACAUGAAAGAACUAAAAUUGAUUAAACAGACUUUAAAUUGGCUAGACACAAAGCAUAUACAAACAAAGGCAAUGUUGCUGUCCACAAAAGAAAAGGAAAGGAAAAUAAAAAAAAAACCAUAGAACACUGUGAAACACCAUUAAUCACAUAUCCUAUCUUUCCUUGUAACUCAUCUUUCUUUUCAUGGAUAUUAGUUUUUGUUUCUACAUUUAAACAAAAUGGUAGCAUGAAAAACUCAUUUCGCCAAGUUAACAACCAUUAACAAAUAGCUUCUAGAAAAGGUCAAAGUGAAUAAGAUCAUUUCAAACUUUAGCUCGAGAACAAUUCAUAAAAUCUACCCAAAUAUGAAAAUUCCUGCACCAUUCUUUGUGAUAUUGGAACACAAAAUUAAGUUGUUUGAUUUCAGGCAACCCUACUUUACCUCUAUAAAUGGAAAUGGUCCUAUUUAUGCUGCAUUACACGUUAGCAAAACCAUAUUAAUUGAAAAGAUGAUCAUCAAACCUAGCUAGCUAGUUGAAUUAUUUGUUAAUUAAACGUACUCGUGGCUUGCAAAUUGGCAGGCCAUGCCAGAGGGAGAGAAGAUGAUCAUGAGGGCAACUUCAGCAUCGUAGACGAUAGAGAGGUCAAAAGCCUUCUUCAAAAUUCCAUUUAUGCGUUUGGAGAAGGUAACCUCUUAAGUCUCAUAAAAAAAUAAAAGACUUUUUCGUUAGCGAAAUCUCUUUCUACCGGGAGUUCUAAAAGUUUUUUGUGUAACAAAUAAACAAUCUGAAUGGUUCUAGCAUUCUAUUUUUUCACCACAUACACAACAAAUCACAAAUUUAACACUUGCAAUGGUAUACGAAACCAACCGUAAACGAAAAAGAGAAUGUUGAGAAAAUAACCCAGAUGAAGGCAGCUUUGGAGAGUUUAGAAUCCAAGUAUGGUAUCAACAGCCAAGAUAUGUUCCUUGUAAUAUCCUUUUAUAGAUCCCAAAACAAAUACAAUCUGCACAAUCAAAUUUCUUGUUAUAGCCAAAAGAGAACAAUAGUCUGCAAGGUAGUGCAUCCCAAUUAUUAAAUGAAUAAUUCAGAUAAAAUGAAAUCACAAAAGAACACAGAAAUUUAAAGAAAAAUUCUUUAUAAAUUAGCAUCCUGACCGCUUUGGAUCCAAAAACUUUUAGCACAGACAGUGCACUGCAAUUUAUCUAAAAUUAUCUAUUCUAAAAUUGAGGAGUGAAUUGACUGUAACUUAGCUACAGUCAAUUGUUUGCCCCUUGAUUUCAUCUGAUUUACAAUAAAACCAUGAGAUUUGGGCUGGGUUUGAAGGGUAUUUAUUAGAAUUUAGAAGGGUAAUUUUGUCCGCAAGGUUUAGGACUGAUUACCCUUUGAUUUCUCCUUAUUUACAAGAAACCCAUCAGAUUUGGGUUGGGUUGGGUUGGAAGGGCAAUUUUGUCCUCUCGGUUUUGAGCGAAUUCGGGGGUUGCCGUGUAGGUUUUCAUUUGUUGUCCUUCAAUGAGGGUUUCGGGGGGAUGGAGGCUUUGACAGAGAGAGAGAGAGAGAGAGAGAGAGAGAGAGAGACAGACAGACAGACAGACAGACAGACGGAGAUCGAGAUAGAUGGCGAUGGAAAAAGAGCGAGGGGGAGGGGUAUGGGUGAUGGAUUUCAGAAGUGGGAGAGUGGGAUGGUCAGAGAAAACCAUACGGGUCGUCCGGAUUUGCCGCUGCAUGCCUGGAUUUCCAAAGAUAAGUUCCUGUUUUUUACUGUCAGCUUACAUUGUCAUCGUUUCUGCCUUUUUGUUGUGGAUUAUUUUCGAUUUUUUUGGUGUGUUAGGUCAGUUUUUAGGGGAUUCAUCAGAGAUAUUAAUUUCCCUUAUUUGUUUUGUUUUCUCUCAUUUUGGACAUUCAUCUCUCUUUCUGUCUGUUUGUUCUCUGUUUUAAGGUUGGUUGCUUCUUUUUUUUUUUUGGGUUUUUUUGUGUGGCUUUUUAUUUAUUUUUCCAGGUUAUAGAUUUGAUGGUUUUUUGUAUACCAAUCUUCGUUUUGUUUUUCCUGGAAAAUUGUUUUGAUCUGAUUGUGGGUUUGUGGGUUUUAAUUUCUUUCGUUUGUUUCAGGUUGCAAAGCAGGAGGUUCUGACCUGAGGGUUCAAUUCAAGGUACUGUUAUUAUUAUUUUUAGUUCUUAUAGUUUAAUGUUUCGAACUGAUGUGAUGAUUUGGUUGUGAAAUGUGGGAUUUCUAUUCGGCUUCUGUUGCCUAUGUGAUGUUCUCUGUUUUUAUUGCUGGGUAGAGAUUCCAUAUAUUCUGGGUCUCUAGAAAACAACUCUUCAGUUCUACGAGAGGAACUAAAUAACACAUUUUUCCUGAAUCCCAUAAGCCUGCAAGAAGCAAAACAAGCUAAGAGUCAUUUAUACAAUAUAAACACACGAACUCUGUUCGAAUUCUUACUCUUAUUCUCGCUAUUUUUUGGCUGUUUAGUUUGGACUCCCAUCACAGUGUCAUCAUUUUGGUAUGCAUAUGUGGUUCUUGGAUUGAAGAACAAAAGUUGCCUUUCUUUUGAAAUUGCAAUUUAGUUGCUGUCUGUGUCUGUUUGAGUGUUUUGUGAAUUUGUUUUUAGGACUAAAGUUAUAUUGGUUUUGAAAUGGUCUUUGAAGAUGAUUGUGUUAUUAUAUAAACUGCAUAUAAUUUGGAUAUGAUGAGAAAACUAAUUAAACUGAAUCUUGGUAAUGAUUUAGUUCUUGAGAAGUUGUCGAAAAACAAGGUUUAAAUAGGAAGAACAUCAUCCUUACCAGAUAAGUCAUUCAUAGCAUUUUGAGCAUCUUGAAAAAGUAAAUGAGGGUAUGAUGCGAUUCAAUAUAGUUACAAAUCGACCUACUGUUAAAAUGCAGAGGCGGAGCUCUAAACUAUAUACUCUUUAAAAGAAAAUUAAAAAUUUAAUGUCAUUAUAUCAAGCCGUUACCUAAGUUCUCUCAUCCUAAUCCCUUGCAUCAGUUACCAGUUCAUCAUAAGUUACCAUUCAGACUCACAAUAGAGCAUUAAUAAAAAUAAAUUAACCAUGCAUUCCGAAUGAUAACAGAAGUAAAAACUUAGUAUCUAAUUUAGUGUUCUGUAAUUUGAGAACUAGGGUUUUGUUGUUUUAGAAUCUUUAGGGGUAUUUGUAUUUACUCAGAAUUCUCAUUCUUUAUUUUGCUGGAACAAAUUGCUUUAUUUUAAGGUUAAUUAGUUACUUUUAGUUUUUUUAUGAGCUUUGAAUUAUUGGAGCUCUGGACUGCAAAUUGUUUAUGGUAGCUAUUUUGAAUGAAGCAUAAAGGUGUGGCCUUUUAGGUGAUGGUGGUUAAUUAGUUACUUUCAGUUUUUUUAUGAGGUUUGAAUUAUUGGACUUUUGGACUGCAAAUUGUUUAUGGUGGCUAUUUUGAAUGAAGCAUAAAGGUGUGGUCUUUUAGGUGAUGGUUGUUUUAGUAUAACUAUAAGCAGCAUAACUAUAUUACUUGCUACUAACUGAGAGAGGGCACCUGCAAUUCAAGCCCUUAAUGUGUUCUUUAUUUUUUUAAUUGAAAAUCGUGUUUUCAUACCCUAUCUUUCCACCUUUAAUUAAGGAAGUGAUGCGAUGUUGGAUUGUCUAUUGAUGUGUUAUCUGAUUCAGUGUUUGGGUGAUGCCUAAAUCUGUUGUGGCUCUUGCUGAUUGUUCACAUGUUCUCGAGCAUAAAUCAAUAAAUCUUAGAAAGAAAGAAAAACAUUUUCUUUGGUACCUGUACACAGUUGAAUUUUUUUUUUCAUAACUUUUUCGGGUGGUUCUUUUCUGUGAUUUCAGAAAUUGAGGAUCCAUUUGAAAGACAAUAGUACCGAUAGACACUUGGACACCUAUAUAUAUGUAAGUUAUUGUAAAUAUGUUAGUCAUUGUAAAUGUGGUUGUGAAUAGAUUUUCACAUGUAUGUAAAUAUGUUAGUCAUUGCAGUUUUUGGUCUUUUUUACUGAAAUUGUUUUGGUCCCUGCCACUAAACUCUGUUUUCUGCUAUUAAUUGCUGCUGAAAUGUGACUUUUGCUAUUAAUUUUUUCCCCUUCAUAUUUAUGCUGCUUUUGGAUUCCAUUCAAAUUAAUUAUUGUAGUUAAUCUUCAUAUGAAUUCUCUCUGCAACAAUAAUUAGGGAUUUCAGUUUAAAUUAUUACUGAUUUGUUCUUGAUCUGGCAUUGAAUCUUUCUUAAUUUGGACUGCAGGUGGUUCUGACGCGGAGGAGAAUCCGUAAGAGGUAAUGAUCUUGCUGCACUUAAGUACAGCUGUUCUUCAACUCAUAUAAACUUUCUGGUAGGGUUCAAACUGUUAAGAGUUUUAUGAUUUUGUAAAAGCCUUUUAGCAGCAGAAGCUUGUCUUUUGUAGUUGCGUUAUUACACUAUACAACUUGAGUUAGUAUGAGUUUCUUGCUAACUGAUAUCACUUAGGAAUUCUAAAAGCAGUUGCAUUUUACAAUAUACAACUUCAGUUAGUAUCAGUUUCUUAAUUAGUGGCAUGUGAAUUCUUAAUUUAAUUUCGGAAGGAGAUACGUUUAAAGUUGGUGCUAUGUGAUGAAGUUAGCAUUUUGUUUUUUAUUAUAUACUGGUGGUGAACAUUUUUAGCAUAUUGGUUGAGAAAGAUUUUUCAUUUUCUAUAAAAUAAAUCUCCAUUCUCACCAUGUUGUUGAUGUUUUUUGCAAUUUGAGUUUAUAGUGCUUCUAAAUGCUGUUUUAAUUUUAGGAAUUUGAAUCAUUGUUUUAAUUUCAGUUAAUGCAGGAUUUGAAAUUUGUGAUGAUCAUUUUUGUAUUUCUAUAAAUUUUGAGACAACAAAGCAUGUGAAAAAGCACAUUAGUCUCUUGGUAUAAAUCACAUUAGUCUUAUUAUGGCUAGGAUAAAAAACCAUGUGAUAAAACUGUGACUUUUCAAUUAUUUUAUCAUGCAUCUGUAAACCAGAGGUCUGAUUAACACGAAAGAGAAGUCUUCGUUCUUCAAAGAUCAGAAAGGUGACAAUGUAGUAAGGGUGUCAGAGUUUCCCAGGAUGAAGCAAAAAGAGGAAUACAUUCAGCAUUGACACACUAAAUUAGGCCAAGAGUGAAAACCAACUAGCAAAGAUUAUGGUAAUUCACUAAUUUAGACAUAAACCAGCUUUGAGAGUGAUACUCACCCAUUGUCGGUUUUCCUUGCGAGCAUAUUUCCUACCCAAAAUUUCCCAAACUGUUCUCAAACCAUUGCAUCGGCAUAUCUUUCCAACUUCUAAUAGUCUUUGGUGCUAGAACAUCUUCUAACUUCAUUCUAAAAAAAUAGAUUUAUAAGUAAAGACAUCUAAAAAUAGAAAAAACAAGAAUGCGUUACUCAUGUAAAACAUGCUUUCUCUGACUUGCUACAUUUAUGAAUGCAAUUGUACUACUGUAGCAUUUUCCGUUAAUUUUUCUAUGAAUAUUAUUCAUGGUCUAAAAACCCGCAGCAGAGCGCGGGCAUUCCUGCUAGUAAACCCUAAACCUAUGAAGGCAGCGUCUGUAAUUUUUCUUUACUGAGUUAUGAUAAAUAAUAAAAUCUAGCAAUGAAGUUCCACAUGCAUGUGUCUCUGUGUUACAUUCUUCUCGCUACUUUUUUAUUAGAAUUAUGUGUUAGUUGUUGCCCGAACAGAAAUUUCAAUUGGUUAGCUUUGAGGGCUGGAAAUAAUAUUUUCCGAGCAAGAAAAGAGAGGCAAAUAAAUAAAACUGUCGAUCGAGUGCAAGUUGUAUCCUAAGAAAUUCUUAAGCCAAUGUAAUUGGCUUCAAAAUUCUUGGUUCUCUUCAGAUAAAUUUUUGGUUAUUGUUUCUCUCUGUCAUGCAAGCUUACACCACUAAAGGAAGCCAGAGAUUUUAACUUUUACCUUUUACCUUCGGUCUGAGAUCCUCAAGUCGUGCGCUCUGCAAGCGGUUCCAGAAAACAAAGAGCACCGUUUCCUGAAAAUAAAAGGAAAACUAUACCAUAAACCCACACUGAGCAUCUAAACACAUAAACAAAAUAGCCAAAAUUUGAAAAAACAAAAAUUUAAACAAAAGUUGUAUCUGCAGACCAAAGGCCACCAAAAAAAUAAUCUUAACAAAAGACUCAAAAGGAAAAACAAAAAUUGUAUACCCUCAGCACAAAAGGGCUACCAACGCUGCACACAACAGCUCCAAAAUUUGAUGACCAGCGCUUCCUGAAAGCAAAAACCGAAUCAAAUUAGACAACCAGACGCAAGAUCAAAGCACACAGACAUAACCCCCAAAAUCACAAAAAAAAAUUCCAAACACAAAAUCCAGCUGCAAAUCGAAAACCACAAAACCAGAAAUUAAACAGGGACGCUGAAAAAGACCUAAAACUCUCAAAUGUAUGUAUCCUUAUUCCACAUAUCCCGCAUACACGAACCUAACUUGACACUGUUCACCACCCCCACUCCUCCCUCUCUCUUUAUCUCCCUGCAAUCCCGACGAUUUCUCUCACUGUCAGCCUCUCCUGGCAUGGAUUAAUAAUUACCUCAACAGUUAAAAGAGCCAAAGCCAAACCCCAGAGCUUCGAAGGGCAGAAAUGAUCGCAGAAACAAGAAUAGUCCUUCUUCCUUCCCCACUGUUGCUGAUGCCACUUUCUCUCUUUAAAAACCAAUUGGAAAUUGUUUAGAGAGAGAGAGACAGAGAGGCGAGAGUGAUGAGGAUUGGACGAAAGAAGUAUGAAAAAGGUAAAGGACAUGAAAGCUUGAAUUUGAGUCCCAAAUUGAAAACAGAAAGGAGGAGUGUAAGGGUGAUUUACCGAGGUCGGGAGCGGUGAUCACUUCAAUGAUUCAAAUUAUAUUUAAAUUAUCUUCUUUAGUCUAAAACAAUAAACCCAGAAGCCUAAGGUUGCAUGAAUGCAAAACUCAAAAAUCCAAAUUCCAGAGAAUAAUUAAAGAAAAACAGAAAUAUACAAAAAUAAAAAACCCAAAAGAAAUCAAAACAUAUAAUCAAUAAAUAGUUAAUUAAUUAAUCAAAUAAAUACAAUACCUGAAUGCCCCGUUUGAACGACCCGAUGAAAGAACUCGAUAACUCGUCACGGCAAGACCGGACAUUUUAGAACUGACUGCGCAGUGAAAGGCCUUCGACUGUGUGUCUUGAGUAGAACGGAGUGAAUGGUGGUGGUUCUGUGGUGAUGUUUCGCCGGAAGCAGCAGCAGCACCGCCUAAAGUAUCCAGAAGAAGAAGAUGAGGUGGAAGACGAUGGAUGUUCAUAAUCGAAGAGUUCGAAGGGAUUUACCUUUGGAUUCUUCGGCUUCAUAUGGAGUUUGCUUGUGUGUGGGCUUGCAACUUCGUUUGCAGGCAUGAUGUUUCCAUGGAAUUUCUCUCGGCUUACAUAGAGAGGAAAGCGAGAGAGAAAGCUCUCCAGAUUUUGUGAACUCAAUGCCUGAGUUUGGUUUUUGACAAAAAUGGAGGCCAUGGUUUCUCAGAGAGAUCAGCGAGCUCACAUUUUUUAAUUCUCAGAGAGAAGAAAACUCUCGAGCUUUUGCAGAAGGGGAAUUGUGUUUUGUCGAGGUUUUGAGUUGUAGUGGAGCUCACACACGGGGAUCAAAAGUCGAGAGAUUCAGUGGCAGUGUUGUAAAUAAACUGAAAUGUGGUCCAUAACAUUGUUCAUAUGAAUACUGCAAUUUCCCCUCCUACUUUGGUCUUCCCCUCCUACUUUAGACUAACGUAAUUAUAAAAUCUGCUUUACGUUUUAAUUUUUUGAGGAGUCGUUUUAUCUUUAUUGAAUCUAAAUGUUGGACAAAGUUUCAGUUAAAAACAAGGGAGUUGGUACUCAGGAGAAAUAUACAUUUUUUUUUGUCGAAAUAUAGAUAUUAUUAAAUUCGAAUAGAAACAUUAACAUCCGAAGUUAAAUUGUUAAAUAACCACUCUGGUUAGAGGGAAACCCAAGUAUGAGAUCCUCCAUAUGAGAUACAAAUGAAACCACUAAAUACGCUGCCCUAUUACAAUUCCAGGGAGCAUACAUAAACCAUACUGACCUCAAUUGCAUUUGCAAACUUGAUAUCAUAAAGAAGGCAUUCAAUAACAACAUUCAGCUGAGUACUGCCAUGGAUCAUAUCCACAAGAACCUUUGAAUCUGUUUCCACCUGGAUAGUAUCAAACCCUCUCUCCACAGAAGCCAUUAUGGCUGCACGUAUUGCCUACCCAUUUCAUAGAAAGGGAAAAGAAAGGGAAAAUGCAAAGAAACUAAGAAAUAAAAUAACAAUUCUUCAUUCCUCGUCUUCAGAUAAACAUAGUAGUUUAAAUACAUAAAAGGAUAUCUAGAGUUUAGCGAUCUUAGUGGGCUUAAUAGUAGUAGUGGGCCUAAUAAAUACUAGUAAGCUAUAGUGGCCCGAAGGGUCCUAACAAUAACAACUUCCCCCAUCAAAAAAGACUCACAAGGAAUAUUGCCUACACCACUAGCCGCCCUAAAGAUUCUCGCACAAUCCCUUGCCACCCAACCGUGAGAUCCAUUCCUCGGAGGAUCCCCACAGGAUUGAUCCGAAGAGGAUAUGAGUCCAUACUCUUUAAUGCCAGCCGAUAUACUUAAAAAUCCCUAGCAAUAAAAGUAAAGGAAAAAUAAUAAACAAAAACUUUAAAACUUUGAGUUUUAAUCAAAUGAAUUGUUAUUAGCACUCCAAAAAUCUCAUUUUGCACUAUUCAUAAGUGUAUUUUUUUUCUUUCUAAUUAUAGAAAGUUUGAAGUGCUAAAUGAGAUUUUGGAGUGAUAAUAACAAUUUCCUUAAUCAAAAUUAAUUUAAUAAUUUUAUUUAAAGAUAAAGGCAAAAGAAAUAAAAGGAAAACAAAAACCCAAUCAAAAGUGCAUGCAAGGUGCAUGUCAACCCAUGUUCAGUUUCAAAAAUAGUACUCAUGCUCAGUUUCAGAAAUAAUCAGUUAAGAAAUUGUACAGUACUCAUAUACCGUUUCAAAAAUAAUCAGUGUUUAGUUUAAGAAAUAAUGAUAGUAUCAGUGUUUAGUUUGAGAAAUAAUGAUAGUACUCGUGUUUAAUUUUCAGAAAGAGACAGUAUUCAAUUUAAGAAAUAGAUUAGUAUCUAUGUCCAAUUUAAGAAAUAGUCUAUGUUCAGUUUAAGGAAUAGUAAGCGAGAGGAGAGAGUGUGUGUGCGUGACCCCGCCAAUCAGUUUUUUUUUAUUAUAUUAAAUUUGUGUCAUUUUCAUUAAAAUAUAAGUUAUUUUUAUUUAAUAAAGUUAUUAGAUGAUUUUUUUUGUUAAUAAAAAGUUUGGAGAAGCCUUUUUCAUUAAAGAUUCCUAAAACUAAAGCAUAAAACCUCCAAUUUAACUCUCUAAUUGGUGAUUAAGGCAAUCAAAAUUCAAUCCUAUUUUACAUUCAUAGCAGACUGCCUGCAUUCCGAUGGGUUGUUCUUCGUUGAGUUUUCACGCUGAGAAUGUUGAGAAUGUCAAGAAAAGAAGAAGAAGAAGAAUUCUCCCAAUUUUCCAAAGUUGCCUUAAAAAGAGAAGAACAACAUACAGCAAAGCAUUGUUUUAUUGAUUGAUAAAAAUACCAAAUACAAAAAAGCCUUUAUAUAGAGAAAGACUAAAGCAAACCCUAGACUAAAACCCUAAAAAGCAAACCCUAGACAAAAACAAAUACUUAAUGGGCAAGUAACUAAUCCUUGGCCUGCAAGAUAACUAAAAACAAUUUAAACUCCAACACCCCCCGUCAAACUCAUGGCAGAACACAUACAUGAGUUUGCCAAAGUAGAUGUGGAUGCAAGACUCCAAAUUCCAAUGUUAAUGCCAAUGCCGAUGCCAAUUGUCAUAUCCCGGCCCGGGCGGGACCACUUCCCGGGCUCGACUCCACCGUAGCACGAUAUUGUCUGCUUUAGGCCCCGACCACGCCCUCACGGUUUUGUUUUUAGGAACUCACACGAGAACUUCCCAGUAGGUCACCCAUCAUGAGAUUGCUCUCGUGCGCUACUCGCUUAACUUCAGAGUUCCUACAGAACCCGAAGCCAAUGAGCUCCCAAAAGGCCUUGUGCUAAGUAGAGAUGGGAAUAUACAUUUAAGGAUCACUCCCCUGGGCGAUGUGGGAUCUUACAAUCCACCCCCCUUAGGGGCCUGACGUCCUCAUCGGCACACUUCCAGCCAGGGAUUGGCUCUUAUACUAAAUUGUCAUAUCCCGCCCCAGGCGGGACCACUUCCCGGGCUCGACUCCACCGUAGCACGAUAUUGUCCGCUUUAGGCCCCGACCACGCCCUCACGGUUUUGUUUUUGGGAACUCACACGAGAACUUCCCAGUGGGUCACCCAUCAUGGGAUUGCUCUCGCGUGCUACUCGCUUAACUUCAGAGUUCCUACAGAACCCGAAGCCAAUGAGCUCCCAAAAGGCCUCGUGCUAGGUAGUCGGCACACUUCCGGCCAGAGAUUGGCUCUGAUACUAAAUUGUCACAUCCUGGCCCGGGGCAGACCACUUCCCGGGCCCGCUCCACCACCAUAGCACGAUAUUGUCCGCUUUGGGCCCCGACCACACCCUCACGGUUUUGUUUCUGGGAACUCACACGAGAACUUCCCAGUGGGUCACCCAUCAUGGGAGUGCUCUCGUGCGCUACUCGCUUAACUUCGAAGUUCUGAUGGAACCCGAAGCCAGUGAGCUCCCAAAAGGCCUCAUGCUAGGUAGAGAUAGGAAUAUACAUUUAAGGAUCACUCCCCUGGGCGAUUUGGGAUCUUACACCAAUGCCGAUGCCGAUGCCGAUUUCAAACUACCAUGUUCAAUCAUCUUUCCUAGAUUCAGAUUCUGAAUCAGUUGCAAUAUGCAAAACAAAAGCUGAUGCUACUCCAAGUGGUGACUUCUGUGGAAAUUCAUGUUGCUAAGAUAUCUUCGGACAUUGGGAUUUCCAAUGCCCUUUCCCUUUACAAUAAGAACACUCAUCUAUAGCAACCCUAGUUCUAAUACGAGAUCUUGCCGCAGCCAAUGCUGAAGUGUUUGACAAAGAUGAAGAGAGCCUAUGCGACUGCACACGAACUUCUUCGGCUUGCAACUUACUAAGAACAGAAUCAACAGAUGGAAGAGGAGUUCGAUGAAGAAUAGAGCUACGAAGAGUCUCGAACUCAUCUCGAAGAGGCAUCAGAAACUAAACAAGACGUUGUUCUUCUCUAUAUUGACAAUAGAGCUCGACACUGCCAAGUUCUUUAGGUUCAGUCAAUGCAAGUUGAUCCCAAAGAUUGGUCAUUUCAUUAUAAAAAUCUUGAAUACUCUUAUUACCAUGCUGGAUUGCACGAAUCUCCAUUUCUAAUUGAUACAUCUUAGCAAAAUUGGCCUUGGUAUACAACUUUGCUAAGUGAUCCCAAACUUCCUUAGACGUUGAGAACUUAGCGAGUUGCAUUCCAAUAGUCAAAUCAACAUAAUUAUUAAUCCAAGUAAUAAUCUUUGAAUUAUUCAUCUCCCAAGCAGCAAACAAUUCAACAUAUUUUUCAUCUUUGGGGUUAUUCGGAAUGGAAACCAUUCCAGAAACAUAGCCCCAUAGUCCUUUUCCAAUAAAAACAAUUCUUCAUCACAUAUGCCCAAUACACAUAAUUAUUUCCGUUUAAUUUCACACCAAUAGCUUGUAAGGAAUCAUCCUUUGCAGAUGCCAUAUCUACAAUGACAACACUAAGGAAAAAAAAUACCUGAUAGCAAGCAGCGAAUAAUAAUCUGAUAUGGUUAUGCAGCAACAAUAAUAAUUUGGUACUGGUGCAAAUUGAUGCCAGUGCAGCGGGGCGUCAUCUACGAAUUCAAGCGGUGCAGAAACUAUGGUGCAAAACGUGCGGGGUGCAGAGGGCGGUGCAGAAACUCUGGUGCAAAACGUGCGGGGUGCAGAGGGUGUGAAUGCAGUGCAGGAAACGGUGUGGUGAUGUAGUCAGGACAGUGGAGAUGGAUCCAUAUGCGGAAACAGUGCGGGAUACAUGUGUAGCAGUGCGGGGCGAGACAGGUCUAGCGAAAACAAAUACUUAAUGGGCAAGUAACUAAUCCUUGGCCCGCAAGAUAACUAAAAACAAUCUAAACUCCAACAAAAAGUCAUGGAAGCAAAAUAAUUCUCGGGGGAGUACUGUUGCGAGUUGAAUAUGUGUGGAUAAUUUGUCCAACUUCAGCAAGGGACAAGGCUAGCUAAGGGUUUAUAUGGUGUUGAGGUAUUUCUCAUAAUGCAUAUUAGUUUUAUGAUAAAACCUGACAUGCCCCGAUCCCGAUAUUCCUCAAAUACCAGGAUAGGCACGUGUUGGCCGACACCCGAGGGUGACGAAAGCCAUUAAUUGAUACAAAAAUUAAGAAUAAGAAGUAAAUAAGGGUUAUGAAUUUAAAAUACAAUGAGUUAAUAAUUUAGGAACGUGUUCAGAGCAUACAACUAACUAAAGCUCUAAAAGAAUUAAUAUAAAAUUGAAUAAAUAAGAGGAUGUAGGUCCUACACCGAGAGGACUCGAAUAUGCCAAUGCGAACACGUUGACGUCAGGAUCGUAUGCCUUGAUUCUAAAUCCUGAAAGGGGGCGCAAAACAAGGGUGAGUGGCCCAAGUUUCAUAUGUAUAUGUAUAAUACGAAAACAGUUAUGAACAUACUAACCCCCAGGUUUAUAAAUAAUGAAAACUACUAUCAUAAUAAAUGAUAGGUUUUUCUGAAAACCCUAGCAUGACGUAAACAUCUCAAAAGACAUAUCGCGGAAAACAAUUAUCAAACAUCUCACUAAUCGUCUCGUAAGAGCGGUGUGAUGCCAGUAAAGAUCACUGAAUAAUCAUAUAACUCCCGGCCCUAUGCCAGCACCGUGGUCUCUGCGCCCGUAGCCAGAGAUUAUCAACUCCCGACCCAAUGCAUGCUCCGUGUCCCUCAGCCCGUAGCUAGGGAUUAUUUCUCCUGGCCUAACUGCUAACACCAGAUCCUCACCCCAGGCAGCAUAGUGUCCACUAGGAACGCACAAAUAGUUACGCCUCUCAUAAAUAACAACUUCAUAGUAUAAAGUCAUCCAUCUUCUAUACUAUAAAGAGGAGUUUCUAAAACAUGUUCUAGCAUCCUAUCGUAAUCCAUCAGAUAGUCUACCAGUUCAUGGUUUUUAUAGAAAAUACUAUAUAUUAAAAUAUAACUCAAUAUAGGCCAACAAUUAAUUCCUCGCAAAAAACACGAGACGAAAAUCAACAUAUUCAAUACACAUGCUUAACAUAAAAUCAAAUCAUAAACUCGUAAGGCAUGCUAUUCAUUUAUGCAAUUGAACUAUAAAAUCAUGUAAUUUUAGAAAGGUUCCACUCACAGUACUUAGCCACCAGAAAUUGCGCCACUAGCGAAGACGGAAACGUCACAAUAAUUGCCCCUAAGCACAUAAAUAGCACAUUUAGUCAAACUCUACUCAAACGAUUUAAUUUGGGAAAACGGAUAUUGGAAACGGAUUCAGGACGUCGAAAUUAGCCUAGGGGGUCUCGGACGAAAACUGAAAGUCAACCCGAAAGUCAAAGUCAACGGGUCAGUCAAUUGGGUCAGACUAGGUCAACUGGUUUUGAGCUUGGAUCCGGAUUAGGGCUUAGGUCCAAAAGCCCAAGGGUUUAGAGAUUGGGCUUAAAUCCCUUAUUAGAAAAUGGCCCAAAGGACCCUAUUUGAUUUAAAACAAUUUAAAUAAAAGAAAAUGGGUUUUGGGUUAGGAUAGGUUUAGGAAUAAAAAGGGUGGUUUGGGCUUGAGCCCAAACCCACACACAAUACACAUACUCACACGCCAGCACACACACAUGCAUGCACAUCACACAUAUACAUAUGCAUAGCACACAUGCACACUUACACAUGCACACACGCAACACACCACACACGUGUGCAACAUACACACACACACACACGACACACACACACCACACAUUCACUCACACUUACAGCCCAACACACACACACACACACUCACUCACACGUACAACCUAACACACACACAUACACACUCACUCACACGUACAGCCCAACACACACACACUCUCACACACACACGGCCCAUGCAGGGCAUGGCUCGCAGGCUAAUUAACCAACCAAAAGAAAUAAGGAACUGGGCUAGUCCAAGAAUGGGCUAAGGCCCGUGGGUAGCCUGAUGGCUUGGGUGUUGUCGGGGAAGAACACCGGAGUUACUACACCUCUGGUCGACGACAAACGUGCCAUCCAAGAUUCAAACUACACAUCAAAAUGAAGAGGGGAUAAAGAGGAGUAAUAAUAUACCCUCGUUUCGUCGUGAAAUGGCCGGAUGUGAUCGGAAAGCUCCUCGAAAAUCACAGGUUCGUCGGAAAAAUGGGUGAGUUUUCCCCCGCGACGUUCCCGUCUUCAAAACCUUAAUAAAAACAAGAUGAAGCCCAUCAAACAUCAUGCAUGCAUCCUAAAAAACGAUUAAGAGGAGAUCCAAAGCUUACCCAACCGGAAAAUUUAAGAAAACUCGUCGGAGGUUCUUUUCCUGGGUUCGCCGAGUUGCGCAGAGACGAGAGGAAGAGGAAAGGGACGAGGUUUAGAUGGCGAUUGUGUCUUCCUCGAGCAGGGAGUGCAGCUGGGUGUGUGAGUAUGUCUCGGUGAAGAGAAGGAGAGAUGAGGGAAAUGAGAUGCCGGGGGACAAAGAGAGAGACGUCAUGAUGAUGAUGACGAUGAUGACGUCGUUGACGUCGGGGAGGGUGGUGUGGUACUCUCGAGUGUGGGUCGAUGGGUGAGAGAUCGGGGAGUGAGGGAGAGAGAGACGAGAGUGAGAUGUCAGGGGACAGAGAGAGAAUGAGGUUUGUUUGAGGAAGUUUAGGAAUCUGGAUAAAGGGUCCAGAUUUAGUCAAGCUAGGGGACCAAAAUGAUCAAUUCAAUACAACUUUGGGAAAAUACAAAAUUACAUAUAAGUUCAGGGGUGGUGUCACGCCCCAAUUCCUACAUACGUCCAAGAUUGACACGUGACGUUACCAAAUACCCGUAUCAUUCACAUACCCCGCCUCCGGGAUAUGGACAAUGCACAACUCAAGAUUCGAAUUUCGUGAUAAUUUUUCUUAUACUUUAUGGCUGCAUCUAAUAUCCUCAUUAGACUGCCUACGUACCCUCAAAAUGGAUCAAGCCAUUCGUAGUUCACCAAUCGUCAACUCUAAUCUUUUCGUAAAUACUUCUAACAGAAAACCAUAAUGCACCAUAUUACACAUCAACCUUAUGUCAAAUGACAAUUAUCAUCUUUCAUACAUGCAUGUAACCCAUUCUCACACAGAUACUUUCCAAUUCAUCCAUCAUAUAAAUCACUCUGUUUCACAGAAUACCGCAAAUCAUAGUAUGUAACAUGUCAAAUAACCAACGAAGCACAAUGUUAUUCUCAAGUCACAUUAAUCAAUUACUCUAAGCAUAAUAAUCUCAAUCAUACCCAACGUCAUUCCACAAUCACAUCAAUUAAUUAAUCAUGAAUCAAAGAUACAUGAUCUUAGCAUUUAAUUGUUUAAUCAAUGAAUGCAGUAACAUAUCAUUUCACAAAUUUAACCAAGGAACUCUAACAACUCCAAAUGAAUCACCCAGACAUCCAACGAUUCGUCUGAAACAAAUCACAACAGCUCAUAAUCAUAAUCCCAUACAACACCAUGAAAAGUAGGGCUAGAGCGACACAGUUCAGCCGAAACCUACAUCUCUGAAGCUGAAAACAAAUCUAAGGGACCAAGACACCAAAGGGAUUCCGGACCACUCAACGGAAUCUCGGAGUACUAUGCAUAUAGAACCGAACCAUAAGAUGAAAUACAAGCUGGAUACGAUUUCGGACCAUCACUCAACGGAAUCGCAGAAUAAAAAGGGAUUCCAGACCAUCACUCAACGGAAUUCAAACAAGCAUAUGAUUCCCCCAUCAAAUGUACCAAGUACAACUAAUCCUCCUGACUUCUAGAAUGCAUAUGGUCCCCCAACGCGGAUAUACCAAGCAGGACCAUUAGUGACCCCCAACACGGAUUAACCAAGCAGGGUCAAGAUAACCAAGUAGGUAGUGAGUCCUUAACACGGAUUAACCAAGCAGAGUCAUACCUACAGAAUUGUUAGGCAGUGAUCGCCCAAUGCGGAUUAACCAAGCAUGAUCACCCCUAAGUAUAAAUGGCCAUAAGGAUCGCCCAACUGGAUUAACCAAGCGCGAUCCAUAAAUAGUAUGGUCCCCCAAUGCGGAUAAACCAAGCAGGACCAACCAUGCACCACAUCUACAUGGUGCAGUCUCAUCAUCACACCUUAUACAUAAUUAUACACAUACAUGCUAUCGAUUCCGCAUAUCAACCAGCAUCUAGUCAUAUGGUGCACAACACAAGGAAUUCCCUCAAUUACUAAUUCUACUAAAAAUCUAAUAAAGUACCUAACUCAUCUCCUGACUUUCAUAUCCAUCUCAUGCUAGGUAAUAGUGCCAAGUUCAAAUAAGUAUUCAGUUGGCAAUCAUAUCCAAAUAAUUAUCAAACAAUAUUUAGAUCCCAUAAUUGUCAUAACGUUCUUCAUAAUUAUCAUUCACAUUAUUAAAAGUUAAUUAAACACAUAUAUAUCACAAACAUCAUCAAUACACAAGCCAAAUCAUAUUUAAUUAGCAUAGGUCUAUGGCUAAAUAUAUAAAAUUCACAUUUCAAUAGAAAUCAUAUUUAUAAGACCAAUUCAUAUUCACAAAUGAUACUAAUAUAAGAAAUUAAGAUAAUAAUCAUAUUUCAUAUAUUCAAGUCGCUAUCUAACCAAUGUAGGCCCACUAGACUUCAUGUAGUCCCCCGUAGUACUAAUUUUAGUAAUUAGGACGUUUCGAGACAUGUUGAUCAAAAGUCAACUUUCGGUCAAAGGUGGGAUCCACAAUUCAAUCCGGAAGAUCCACACAUUGAAUUUCAGAUCCGUAACUUUCCAAAGUCCACAUUAUUCUCAAAUAAAAACAUACUAAAAUCUCAACACGAUCCGACGGUCGGAUCUCCGCCAAUUUCAAAAUUCAAGUGGCGGUCGACAUUUAAUUUUACAAACUUAGAAAUCCAAUUAGGGAAGAUCCGUACGUCGGAUUUUCAAUCUGUAAGUUUCUAUGAUCUUAAAAUAUUAUGUUCUAUCAUGCAUUAAGGUUUGGUGACAAUCCAACGGUCAGAUCGUCGAAUCAUAUUUUUGACCUAACCACGUAUCGUAAUGAAAUUAGGUUCAAACAAUCAAACCAUAUCAUAAGGAUAUCAAUUAUGAAAUCAGGGCAUCUAAUUGAACUUAAAAGGACAUCGUCGGCCCACUAGCCAGGCCACUGCCGCACGCGCCGUCGCGGGUCACGGUCGGCCGCCCCGACUUGCCGGAAAAUUCAACUAUUUUUAAAAAUUACCAAAAAUUAUAAAAAUGAAGAUCUCAAAGAGUAGAACAAACUUUAUACCUGUGGCCAAGUCCAAUUUUGCCGGGAAACACUUCAAUUUCACUCAAACCCGCCUAAACCCUAGAAAAUGGUGUGCUUUGUUUCGGCUUCCAAUCGAACUCCGACGCCUCCAACACUGCUUGGGCUUUGUUCCUGGGGCUGAGGGAAGUCUUUUGGUGGUGGUCAUGGAUGGUGAAACUUGCCGGAGCCACCGGGAAAAUGGAUAAAGCCGCCGGAACACCCGUGAGUUUGUGACUUCGAACUGGAAAAAUGGGAAAGAAAUUGGGAAAUAUAACACUACCAGGAUGUAAGUCUCAUCAAGGGCUUUCCAUGGACACCAAGAUCACCCAAAACGAAGUUCGUAUGAAGGAGAUAUGGCUAGGUCAAAAAUGGUGGUUCGCGGGUCAAAAAUGACCCAAUUCGGCUCCCUCAUUUCCCAUCCUUCUCCUCCUCCUGAUUGGGCGAGCUCCUAACCUUUUAAAAAUCUGAUUGGUUCCCUCCCUCCUUUAACUGAUUGGUCCCUUAACCCAAAUAUCUGAUUGGGCCUCUUUCCAACAAAGUGGGAGUCUAAAUAAUUCAUAAAAUCUAUAGUAUCACAACUUCAAACGCCAGUAGCUAUACCGUUAUAACCCGGACUCACAAACGGCUUUCGCCUAUGCGUUCGUGAUCUUGAAAUCUAAUCAACAAUAUAAAUUGUGACCUCGAAUGGUCUACGGAUUUUAAAUAAUUAAUUUCCUGAAAAAUAAUAUAAAAACUCAAUAAUACCAAUACUUAGAUUAUAAUAAUGAAAUCCAGGAACGGGAUUUCACAGGUGGGGUUUAACAAAACCUUAAUUUCAUUAUGGUAUCAGAGCAUGUUUCUCUUGCAUGAAGCUGCACAAGCUCGCGCGUCAGUUUGUCCCACAACGGUGAAGGACAAGGUGAGAGCUAAGGGCUUACAUGGUCUUGGGCCACUCUCUAUUUUGCCAAUUAGUUUUAUAGUAGAGCUAUUGAGAUCUCUGCAACUAACUUGCAAUUUUGUAUUCUAUUCAUAUUUCUGUUUUUUUUUUGUCCAAAUUUUCUGUUCAUUGUUCAGUAUACAGAUAAAUAUUGAACUUAAUUUGUAUACAAUUUAUCAUUUGUCGCUGUUUUGUAGAAUUAAAUAUAAAGUUGUAAGGUUCUCUCAAAAUGUUGACAUCAUUUGUAUUUGGGAUUGGGCUGGAAAUUUUUUCUGAAAAUCCGAAACCAAACUAAAAAAAUCAUGAUUCCAUACUAAAAAAUGUCUAAACCAAUUAUACGGAAAUUUUUGGAUUCAUACCGAACCGAUCCCAAACUUUUCAGUACGGGAAUCAAGAUUACAUAUUCAAUGGUUCGGGAAUGCUGAAUCGAACCAUAUAUAUAUAUAUAUAUUUAUUUAUUUAUUUUGGUUGCAUGCAUAUUGAAUGUUGAAUUUAAGUAAUUUGAUAGUAGACUAUAUUAAAAAUGGGUGUGAUAUCCACACACCUCAUUUUACUUCUCUCACAUCUUUUUAAUUUUUGGCUGUCGGAUCGGAUGACUUGAAGAAGAUCAAAGGAUAGAAAUUAUCAAGGGUGUGUGAGAAGUAAAAUGGGAUGUGUGGAUAGCACAUCUUAUUAAAAAUAGAAGUAUGAAAUUAAGUUGUUUGGAAAUUUGGAAUGUCAAUUUGACUUGGUAUGAAUGAAUUGGUAUGAAAUUUCAAAUUGGUAUAAGAUAAAAAACCUAAAUUUCAAUUGAUAUGAAAUUGGGCAACAAAAUUUCAUGCUAAAAGCCCAAAUUUUAGUUGAAAUCUUCAAAAUCUCAAAUUUUAGCCCAAAAGCCAAAAAUCCAAAAUUCAGUCCCGAUCUAUCUCGAAAUAUUGAAAACAUUUCGGGAAUUCUAAAAAUUAAGAAUACCAAAAUUUCAGUUUAGGAUUUAUAUUCAAACUUACGUUUCGAAAAUUUUCAAUUUGAGAUUCAGAAUCCUAUUUUUUAUUCGGGACUCCAUAUCAAAAUACCACUAUGAAAAAAAAAACAAAAAAAAAAAACAAAAAAAAAAGUAAAAGUCAAAAGGUCGCAACGAAGGUAAAGUUAUGAAUCGAAGCUCUGAACUCUCUUCCCCACUAAACUAGCCAGACUCGCUCUUCCCAGUCCCUCACUAUUACUCUCACUGAAAUCAACUUUCUUCUCUUCUCUUCUUCUUUAUCGUGUUCCCGUGCAGAGAAUGGCAGGAGAAGAAGGCCACGCAAUCGGGAUUGAUCUGGGGACAACGUACUCGUGUGUAGCAGUGUGGGAGCACGACCGUGUGGAAAUCAUAGUGAACGAUCAGGGUAACAGGACCACUCCAUCUUGUGUUGCCUUCACUGAGACUGAGCGAUUGGUUGGUGAUUCAGCCAUCAACCAGGUCAUCAGGAACCCCACAAACUCCAUUUUUGGUGAGCUCCUCGUUUAUCUGCUACUAAUUUAACAGUAUUUACGGAGUAGGUUCAUGGAAAAAGCUUAUACAUAUGCUUAUUUUUUAAGAAAAACUAUUGAAAAUUGCUUGAAAAUUUUGAGUCUUGAUAAUAAGGAUAAAAUAAAAAGUAAAAUAAAUAGUAUCAUGAUUGAUUUUUUAGACAAAAUAAAAAGUAAAAUAAAUAGUAUCAUGAUUGAUUUUUUAUUGUAAAAAUAAACAGUAAUGGAAGCUUUUAAUUAAACCUCCUAAUUUUUUAUGAUCAUGUUCAUAUAAUGGUAUUUUUUAUAUUUUUAACACAACAAAAAUAUUAUGAAGUUGAUUUAAAACUAUCGUUGCAGUGUAUUUCUUCGUUAAGACAAAUGCAGAAUAUUCUUUGGCGAUGUUUAUUCCACAAACGCAUAUCACUCUGCAAUUCAACCUUUCUGUUGUAAAUCUUAAUCCAUUAUAUGAAUUAUAUUAUUGUAAAGCAAAAAUGUGAAGAAACUUGUUUCAAAUAUUCGAGUAACUUGUCUUACCGACCAACAUAGAAAUUGCAACUUAUUUAUAUGCUGUUUGUGUAACAUAGAGUUGGGUAGCAGUAUAACACUGUUGAUUAAACCAAGUAAGUCAUUGUGUUGUUUUUGAUAUAUGACCUUUUGCUUCUCAGCUAUUUUUCUUUCUUGGAAUGGUUCUUUAAUUUAGUCAUUUAUUUGCAGAUGCAAAGAGGUUAAUUGGUAGGAGAUUCAAAGAUGCCACUGUUCAAAGUGAUUUGAAGCUUUGGCCAUUUAAAGUCAUUAAAGGUCCUGGCGGCAAGCCCUUGAUUGUGGUCACCCAUGACGGACAAGAAAAACAGUUUGCUGCCGAAGAAAUUUCAGCCAUGGUUCUAGCGAAAAUGCGGGAGAUUGCUGAGGCCUACCUCAAUUCCACUGUAAAGAAUGCAGUUAUCACUGUCCCUGCUUACUUCAAUGAUUCACAACGUCAGGCUACAAAACAUGCUGGAAGCAUUGCUGGCCUAAAUGUGAUGCAUAUCAUCAACGAACCAACUGCUGCAGCGAUUGCUUAUGGCAUUGACAAGAAGGCUGGUUGGUAUAGCAAGAGAAAUGUGAUGAUAUUUGAUUUAGGUGGUGGUACUUUAGAUGUAUCACUACUUACCAUAGGUGAUGGUGUGUUUCAAGUGAAGGCCACAGCUGGAGACACUCACCUUGGAGGAGAAGACUUUGAUAACAAAAUGGUGGAUUUUUGUGUUGAGCAAUUCAAGAAGAAGCAUAAUGUGGACGUGAGUGGAAACUCUAGGGCACUCAGGAGGUUAAGAAAUGCAUGUGAGAAAGCAAAGAGGAGGCUUUCAUUUACUUCAGCCACUGACAUUGAAAUCGACUGUUUGUAUGAGGGUACUGAUUUCUAUACAACUAUUACCCGUGCCAAAUUUGAGCAACUGAAUAUGGAUUUCUUUAACAAGUGUAUGGAGCCAGUCCAGCAGUGUUUGAAGGAUGCCAAUAUGGAAGUGAGCAGUGUCCAUGAUGUUGUUCUUGCCGGUGGAUCUUCUAGAAUUCCCAAAGUGCAGCAACUAUUGCAGGAUGUGUUCAAGGGGAAGCAGUUGUGCAAGAGUAUCAAUCCGGAUGAGGCAAUUGCGUAUGGUGCCGCUGUUCAAGCUGCAGUCUUGAGUGGGAAUGUGAAUGGGAAUCUUCAGGACUUUUCUAUCUUGGAUGUCACACCUCUGUCACUUGGGGUGGAGGUUACAGAAAAUCCUGUCAUGAAAGUUGUGAUUCCAAGAAACAGCAGGAUUCCCAUCAAGAGGAACACGACUCUAGUUACUCUCUAUGACAAUCAAAAGUCGGCGUGGUUCCCCAUUUAUGAGGGUGAGAGUACAAACACCAAAGAGAAUAAUUUUCUGGGUGAAUUUGUUCUCGAGGGUAUUCCUCCAGCUCCAAAGGGUGCUGCUAAAUUCGAUGUUUGUUUCAGUAUUGAUGCCAACGGUAUUCUAAGUGUCUCUGCUGAGGAUAAGUCUACCGGCCAGAGGAAAGGGAUUACAAUCAUGAGUGCUAAAGACAUAAGGAACUUUGAAGGGAUUGAGUUAGUGAACUGAUUAAGAAGCCUGGUUCUAGAACUGAAUUAGGACAUAUAAUAUAAAAUUAGCUUUACGUUUUAAUUUUUUGAGUUGUUUUAUCUUUAUUGGAAUAUAAAUGAAUCUAUAAGUAAAACAUACAAAGUAUAUAAGCCUGUGGAAAAGUUGUCGGUGGCCAUGGCCAUUGCAGGCCUCUACUUCAGUCCGCCCCUGACUUCUAUCAAUGUAUGUUAAAUUUACUUGUAUAUGGGUGUGUCUUGGCAAGUGGCAACUGUAUCGAUUUUGUGUAUUCAAAGACAAAAAAAAGAUAGCAUUUUACGAAAAUUAAUACAUCCAACAUGUUUAGGGAUUGUUACGGGACAAGUUAGUCCUUUCUUGCAGUGUGUCAGCGUGACCAUGCUGGACUUCAAUUGGAUAUUAUAAGGCCCUUGCAUUUUUAUUUUUUUAACGAACGAUAUUAUCUAUACCGGAAGGUGUAAACUUAGUCUCACAAUAAGUUAGCAAUAAGAUGAUACAAAUUCGUCUUUGACAAAAAUCGAACCUAAGACCUCUCACUUAAGUGAAGAGGAAUACUACUAACCAUAAUACUAAGUUAAAUUUAUAAAGUAGUAAGGUUGUGAAAUCUCGUUCUUGGAUUUCACUGUUAUAAUCUACGUAUUUGUAUUAUUGGGAUUUUACAUUAUUUUUCGGGAAUUUAUAUUAAUUUAUUUGAAUUUAGAUUUUAAUUAAACUAAUUACGAAGUUUGAAGUUUGGAAAUUAGUUAUUUAAAAUCCGUAGGCCUUUCGAGGUCACAAUUUAUAUUUUCGAAUAGAGUUCUAUCUUACGAACGCGUAGCCACAAACCGUUUGUGAAACGGAGUUAUAACGAAGAAGUUAUUAACGUUCUCUAGAAUGCUCCAGAUUUUCUGGAGUACUAAGAUUGUGCCAUGUGUGUGGCUGGGGUGGAAAGGAAAGAAGAGAAAUGAGAGAGAUAAACGGCUGGGAUGAAAUUUAAAGGAGAAAUAAAAAGGGAGGGAGGUCGGCCUAUGAGAAGGGGGAGGGAAAAAAAUAAACCAAUAAGAAAAGAGAAUAGGGAGGGAAAGGAGAGAGGUGGGAAAACACCCAACCAAGACUUUAUCUCCUUUACCCAAUUUCAAACCCCGACUCGGUUUCUUGACCCGGUUGUAUCUCCUCCGUCCGACGUCCGAUUGAGGUGAUUUUAGUGUCUAUGGAAAACUCUCGGUGAGCCCAGCAUUCUGUGGUAUUAUAUUUCUCAAUUUCCAACCCAAUUUUACAAACCAAAGCCACAAAAGUCCACGAUAUUCUGGCGGUUUUCUCAUUUUUCCGAUGAUUUCGACAACGAUUACCGUCGAUCGCCACCACCAAUAGAAUCCCCUCAACCUCAAGAACAAAGCCCAAGCAAGGGUGGAGGUGUCGGAGCUCGUUUGGAAGCCGAAUCAAAGCACACCAUUUUCUAAGGUUUCCGGCCGUCCAAGGAUGAUUUCAGGUGUUUCCUGGUUGAAUUGGACUUCGGCCCAGGUAUGAAAAUUGCUCCCCUCAUUGAGAUCUACAAAUCUGUAAAUUUUGGUAAAUUUUGGAAAUAGUUGAAUUUUCCGGCGAGUUAGGGCGAACCUGACCUUCCUAGGCUAAUUUGGAUGUCCUGAUUCCGUAUUUGACAUCCGUUUAGUGAAAUUCCGAUGUUUUAACAUAGUUUCGUAAUUGAUCGCCUAGUUAGUCGUCACUUGAUUAUAAUAUGAAUUGACGAUCAGACCGUUAGAUCGACACGAAACUUUAAUACGUAAUAAUACAUAAUAUUUGAAGACCUUAAGAACUUACGGAUCGGGAAUCCUACGUAUUGAUCUUCCCGAAGUGGAUUUCUAAGUAUGUAAAUUCAAAGGUUGACCGCCACUUGAAUUUGCGAUUGGUGGAUAUCCAACCGUUGGAUCAUAAUGAAAUUUUACUAUGUAGUUCUAGAAGCAUAAUGUGGAAUUUGGCAAUAGGGUUGGGUUCGAUUUUUUUCCAAAAACGAAACUGAACCAAAAUUUCGGUUCGGUUCAUUUUUUUUUCGGUUCAGUUUCGAUUUUGGUUUUUUUUUUUCAAAAAAUGAAAAAAAUUGAAAUCUUAAACCAUGGCAAGUUUUUCCUCUAACUGGGUAAUAAAUCUGCUUUCCAUCUUUUCCAUAACCAUCCACAAACAAAGUCCAGGUCUUAUCAGUGUUGCCCAAUAGCUUCUCAUGCUUCUCCGUGUAAAUCUCCAGCCUAUCACCCUCCUCCAGCGUUAUACCUUUCAUGUACGAAGCCUCACCCUUCCUCAACACAUGCACCUCUGCGUAGCUCACUGGUGUAUGGUGUCGCAUUCUUCAAUCUGAACCCAUAAACCAUUUUCAUAAGGAUUCGACGUAAUCAUGAACCCAUAAACCAAAUCAUGAAAAAAGCAAAAGAAAUCAACUUUAACAAAAUUGAAGUAAAAGUAACUAAGAACCCAAUCCACAUUCUCCAAAAUCAAGUACCAAAAAGUAUGCACAAUCAGAAACAGCUCCAAACCAACCACAAUCAUAGAACAGAAUUGGUCGAAUAAAGAUUCGAUCUUUAAAGCAAAAACGUGGGUAAUUUUUCAAAAUUUGAGAACCCAUCAAACAUUCAAAACCAGAAACAGCAAAACAUCCAUCAGAAUCAGAGACCCAUUUGGUUAAAUAUUCUAAUUUCUAAGGGCAAAUAAUGUUCAUAAUCCAAGAAGUUAAAAUAGGGCAUGGAAAGAUUACCUAGAAGAACGACGAGUGGGUCCUAGUGACCGAAUGGAAGAGGGUCCAGAUGGCGUCGUACUUCGGUCGGAAUAGCUCUUCGUUGAUUUAGUCGACUGAAAGUUAGAUUUGAGCUAAAGAGAGAUAUCAACGAUGCCGAGCUUUUGCAUUCUUUCGCAGUUUUCUCUAAUUCGAUCUUCUCUAGACUGCUCGUACAGAGACUUGGGGAUUUGGGGGUGCUCAUUGUUGCUUCGAGGGUUAGGGUUUGCUGAGGAUUCUAGGGCAACCGUCUUCAUUCCCAGAGUUGGCAUUUGAAUUAUCUUUCUCUCUCUCUCUCUCUGAUCAGUCUCGCGGGUGUGGGUGUAGGUGUUGGAGAGAGAGAGGCUGAGAAAUCAGUUGAAAGAGGAGAUGAAAUGGGAGUAAAUGGGAUGGCUAGGGUUUUAUGUUUAGAAAUCUUAUAAAGAAUUAAAGAUUCAGAAUUAGUAUAAAUAUUUUACUAAUACGAUUAUAGCAACACAAAGCUUGUUGUCAAGUUGGUUGAAGCAAACACUCUCAACCUGGAAGUCAGGGGUUCGAAACACUUGGCCUCUAGAUUUUGAGUAUUUGUUACAAAUUUAUAUAAUUAAUAAAUUAAAUAAAAAUCGGUUCAGUUUGGUUCGGUCUGGUUUCUGGACCAUCAAACCCGAAACCGAAUCAACCUAUUUCGAUUCGUUUAGGUUCACUUAGUUCGGUUCGGUUUGGUUGUCGGAUCAAUUUUUUAAACCCACCCCUAUUUGGCAAGUUAUGGAUCGGAAAUCUGAUAGGCGGAUCUUUCGGUUUAGAUUUAUAGGGUUGUGGACCCUACUCUCGAUCUUGAUCGAUAGUUGACUUUUUAGUCAACUAGACCGAGUUAUUCUAGCGUGUCGUUUAUCUUAGAGUGUUGUUGAGAACUCAUGGAGCUUAGUGGGCUCAUCGUGUUGACGUGUCUUCCUUGGUUGACGUGCACCUUAAUUUACUUACUAGUGACUAUAAUAUAUGUGAUUUUUAUUGAAUUGUUAUUUUUACUUAGCCAUCAUUCUAUGUUUUUUAAUUGUGAUUUGACUGUGGAUUGGAAAUAUUCAUGAAAUGUGAUUUGACGUGCAUGUUUGAAAUGUGGUUUGUGUGGUAUGAUAGGCAUGAUGUGAUGAAAUGUGAGGGCUAUAAGUGGACCGUUGACCCAUUGUCAUGGGGUUUGUUGCUUCGACACUUGUUUCACGUCUUGUUUCCUUAUUUCACUUUUUGUUUCGUUCAACCCUUCUAAAUUGAGUACUUGGUUCUUGUAUUGUUUCUUCGAGCCUUUGUUAUAUUCCUUGGGCUUCCACUCGGUUCCGUUGAGUGAUCCGAAACUGGGUAUCCGCUGAAGUUCUGUUGAGUGGUCCGGUUCCCUGCUUUGUUUGGAUUCCGUUGAAUGGUCCGGAAUCCCUCGUGAUUCACGAUUCCAUUGAGUGGUCCAGAAUCGUAUGUAGCUUAGAUUUCAUUGAGUGGUCUGAUAUCUAUUGUACUCCGCGAUGCCGUUGAGUAGUCUGGAAUCGUAUCUACUUGGAUUUCGUUAAGAAGUCCAUAAUCUCUUCUACUCCGCGAUUCCGUUGAGUGGUCCGGAAUCAUAUCCUGGUUUGGAUUCCGUUGAGUGGUCUAGAAUCCUUUUUGGUGUCUUGGUUCCGUUGAAUGGUCCGGAAACUGAUGUUGAUGGAUUUUGUCGAGUGGUCUGAAAUCGCAUCAUUUGACUCAUUGAUUCCUUGGAUUUGAUUUAUUUGAGACAACUUUUGAGAUGUAGGCUUCGGCCGAACUGUGUCGCUCUAGUCCUGCAUUUCAGUGUAUUGUAUGUGUUAUUGAUUGAUAUGGUUAUGAUGUUGGUUAUGAUUAGACUCGUUGACCAAUAUGACUAGAGAUUAUUAUUGCGCUUCGUCGAUUGUUCCUUGAGAUGAUGCAUGCUCUGAAUUGUGUAUUAUGUUAAGACAUGGUGAUUAUGAUGAUUGUUCGAGUGUGGUGAAGGACGAACUACGAAUGGCUGGUUCUCUAUUUAGGGUACAUAGGCAGUCUAACGAGGAGGUUAGAUGUAGCCAUAAAGUAUAUGAAAAAUUACUAUGUGAUUCGAUUCUCGAGUUGUGAUUUGCCAUAUCCCGGAGGCGGGGUAAGUUAGAGAUACAGGUAUUUGAUGACGUCACAUGUCGAGCCUGACAUGUUAUAAAGUAGUUAUCGUUUAGUGUUAUUUAUGUUUUCGUUAAACCUUAUUGUUUGUGCUUUGGUUACUGCACAAUUUGGCAUAACACAACGAGAAUUUUUCAGUGUGCGUAACAUGAGGCAGCCACAUGUAAUCAUACGAUUGGUGGAAAGUUCUAUUUUCAAGUCUCUCCUAUAAAAAAAAAUUAUGUGGCUGAAUGAUUAAUUUUCAUUGAUAUGUGAAUGAGUAUAUAUAACAUAACAUUCCUUGUAUAAGAAGAAGUCCUCCUACAAGUUAGGAGAACAAUUACAAUUUAAGUCUAACUAAUUUCUUAUUUGUCUAACACACCCCUUCAAGUUGGAGAAUGGAUGUUGAGAACUUCCAACUUGUGUAACAUAGUCGAAAACUUUUCCUUUCCAAGAGGCUUCGUAAAUAAGUCCGCUAGCUGCUGUGUUGUACCAACAUGCCGGGUAGUAAUGGUUCCAUCGUUAAUCUUAUCAUAGGAUUGGCAGCUAUAUGCAAUGCUGCUUGAUUAUCACAGAAUAAAAUAGACGGACCAUUUAAAGAAACAUUCAAAUCCUUCAAUGGAAACGACUUAGAACAUGUACAAGAUAGGUAAUAUUUGGUCAAGUUAUUGUGAAAUAAAUUAAUCGGCCUACUAGACGUUGAUACUUUUUAGGGUCCUUGAGGAGUUCCCCUUUGUCGGAUAGUUUUUAUCAUCCAUAGGAAAUGCAAUGGGCCGUGCUCCCAGAAAGUCAUAAUCCUUGAGGAUCUCCAAUGCAUAUGUACGUAUGAAAUAUACCAGAGAGGAAGGAACCAGUAGGGUUGGAGGAGAAAGAAGGUGCAGUGGCCAUUGGAGAGGGGAAGGCACGGCAAGAAAGGGGUGUCAAGGCACGGGUAGGAAUUAGGAAAAAUUAUAUAUUGGAAAGACUAGAGUUUUUACCAGGAAUAGGAAUGAUACCAUGUAGAAUUGUAACAUCUUAAUUUUAUUAAUCUCAUAAAGGUACAUGUAUUUACAAGUCAAUUGACUUGGAAUACAAAUAUUCAAGGCCCGGUAAUUACAAAACCUAGCCUAUGAGAAUUCUAAGUGGAUUCUCCAACACUAACAAGGAGUUCUUAUUAUAAAUCCUUGUAUAACAAGAACUCCUCCUACAGGUUAGGAGUACAAUUACAAUUCAAGUCUAACUAAUUUCCUAUUUGUCUAACAUCUCCAAUUAUAUAAAUACAUUUGGGUACAUAGAAAAAUCUCUCUAAAACGGGUCAUCAGAAAAUAAAUUUGAGACUAGUUGACCAAAUUUUUAAACCUCUAAACCUUUGGAGAGCGAAAGAUAAAUGAUUAUUCCUACCCAAGUAUAGAUCUAAGUUAUAAUAGACACCACUCUGAACUCUUUCUCUUCUCCGCUAAACUAGCCAGACUUACUCUCCCUAGUCCCCCACUAGUAUUACUCUCACUGUAAUCGUUUUUUUCUCUCUAUCUUCUUUGUCGUGUUCCCGUGCAGAGAAUGGCAGGAGCAGAAGGCAACGCAAUUGGGAUUGAUCUGGGGACAACGUACUCGUGUGCAAUGUGGGAGAACGACCAUGUGGAAAUCAUAGUGAAUGAUCAGGGUAACAGAACCACUCCAUCUUGUGUUGCCUUCACAGAGACUGAGCGAUUGGUUGGUGAUUCAGCCAUCAACCAAGUCAUCAGGAACCCGACAAACUCCAUUUUCGGUUAGAUCCUCGUUUAUGAGCUACUAAUUUGGCAGUAUUUUGAUGGAAAAUGGUUAAAUGCUUAUUUUUUAUGGUCAUGUUCACAAAAUAUAUUUUUUAACAAAAAAAGCUACAAGUAUAAACAGUAUGAAGUUGGAUUGAAACUAUCGUUGCAGGAUAACACUUUUGAUUAAAGCAAAUAAGUCAUUGUGUUGUUUUUGAUAUAUGAUCUAUUGCUUCAUAGCUGUUUUUCUUUCUGGGAAUGGUUUUUAAUUUAGUCAUUUAUUUGCAGAUGCGAAGAGGUUAAUUGGUAGGAGAUUCAAUGAUGCCACUUUUUAAAGUGAUUUGCCUACUUCAAUUCCACUGUGAAGAAUGCAGUUAUCCCUGCUUACUUCAAUGAUUCACAACGUCAGGCUACAAAAAAUGCUUGCAGCAUUGCUGGCCUAAAUGUGAUGCGUAUCAUCAACGAGCCAACUGCUGCAGCGAUUGCUUAUGGCAUUGACAGGAAGGCUGGUUGGUAUAGCAAGAGAAAUGUGAUGAUAUUUGAUUUAGGUGGUGGUACUUUAGAUGUUUCACUACUUACCAUAGGUGAUGGUUUGUUUCAAGUGAAGGCCACGGCUGGAGACACUCACCUUGGAGGAGAAGACUUAGAUAACAAAAUGGUGGAUUUUUGUGUUGAGCAAUUCAAGAAGAAGCAUAAUGUGGACGUGAGUGGGAACUCUAGAGCACUCAGGAGGUUAAGAAACGCAUGUGAGAAAGCAAAGAGCAGGCUUUCAUUUACUUCAGCCACUGACAUUGAAUCGACUGUAUGUAUGAGGGUACUGAUUUCUAUACAACUAUCACCCGUGCCAAAUUUGAGCAACUGAAUAUAUUGGCGUGAGUCUAUAUUUUAAGAGAAAAGGAAUGUAAAUAUUUUGUAAUUAUUAGAGUCAUGUUUUAGGAAGGAUAUUGUAUCCUUUAUUAUUUUUUGUUUCCUUUUGUAACAAGGAUUGUAUGUCAUUUUAUUCAGGAUUAUGGAAUAUAGAAAAGUUAAGCCGUAAAAUUCUAUUUGGCAUCAGAGCCAAGAUUGCCGUAACCCUAGAAACUGUAAAACAAUAUUUUCUUCCACUGCUGUGUUUGGUCGACUUGUUCUUGCGCUGCUUGUUGCAGAAAUCGAUCAGGCCAUGUAUAUUGGAUUUGCAGCAGUGUGAUCUUGUUGCUGCUGUGUGUGGUGUUGUGCUUUUCUAAGUGUACCGUGUAUUGACUUGCAGUGUGUAGUUGUUUGCUGCUUGUCUGCUACCAUACAAAUACUUGAGGCUGCUACGGUAUUGACUGUGUUCUCCAAUUAGAGUUGUUGCGUGGAAAGUUGUGAUGUGCUACCACCUUAUUUUUUGUAUUGUGUGAAUUUCGUGAGCGUGUUUUCUUUGCCGCGAUCUUCUAGUGCUGCAGUCUGCAAUUGUUUCGUAAUUGCCUUGAUUGGUUGUUGCUUUGUUGACCAAAACAAACAAAACACAAAAAAAUAAGAAAAAGAAAGUAAAGGUAUUUGCUGCUGCAAUCAAGCAGCAAGAAUUAAUUCAUCAAGUGGGUUGUUCCCAUUCUACCUUGGUUUUUUUUACUGCUUGCUGUGACGUGAGCAAUGCUUGUGCAGUGUGGUUGUGCGUACUUGCUGUUUUGUCUGUGAUGCGCAGUGUGUAGAGACUGAUGUGCAGGUGUUAUUACAAUGACCAAUACCAGUUGGAUUUUAGAUUCCGAUGCAACAGAUCAUAUGACGUAUGAUAGAACUUUGUUUCAAUCCAUGAAAGAUCCUUAUAGAAAGUGUGUGGCAACUGCCAAUGGUACUACUGUUGUUGUUGUUGGAGCGGGAACAAUGUCUCUUACACCCUCUCUUUCUCUUCCUUUACAUAAUUGUUUAUUGGUUCCAUCGUUGUCCCAUCACUUAUUGUAUAUACCUUAAGUCACUGAACAAUUGGAUUGUGUUGUAUUAAUAUAUCCUUCUUUUUGCUUGCUUCAGGAUAUUCAGACAAAAGAGAUCAUUGAGCGUGGCAUUAAGAGAUAGGGGUUAUAUUAUGUGGAUGACGUGGUUUCUGGAAGAGCUAAUUUGGUUCAUGCAUCACGUAAUAGUAAUCUACAUAAGGUAUUGUUAUUGCAUCGUCGUUUGGGGCAUGCAUCGUUUGGUUAUUUGAAACAUAUAUUACCUGAUAUGUUCAGUGGUAUUGAAGACUCAGAAUUGAAAUGCGAAGUAUGUAUUUUAGCCAAAAGUCAUCGUGCUUCAUUCCCUCCAAGUAUGACUAGAAGAUCUUCUCUGUUUGCGCUAGUACACUCUGAUCUGUGGGGGCCUUCCCCUGUUAGUACUACUACAGGAAUUAGGUGGUUUGUUACUUUCGUGGAUGAUUGCACUCGUAUGACGUGGUUGUAUGUGUUGAAAAAUAAAAGUGAGGUUUGUGAUGUGUUUCGUUUGUUUCAACAGAUGGUUAAGACUUAGUAUUCUUCUGAUAUUAAAGUUUUGCGUUCUGACAAUGGUGGAGAGUACAUAAAUUCUGAGUUAUCUCGGUUUCUACAAAAUCGUGGAAUUAUUCAUCAAACUACAUGUCCGCAUACUUCGCAACAAAAUGGGGUUGCUGAGAGGAAAAAUCGUCAUAUCUUGGAAACUGCUCGUGCCUUGCUUAUUGGUGCAUCCGUACCUAAACGGUUUUGGCCUGAAGCCGUUACCUAUGCCGUGUAUGUGAUUAACCGUAUGCCAUCCCGGGUUGUGGACUUUCGUACACCUCUCCAAGUGUUGACAGAAUUUGUUCCCGUAGUGUCCACUAAUACUCUCACUCCUCGUGUGUUUGGAUAUGUAGCCUAUGUUCAUAUUCACAAGAUUCAUUGUAGUAAAUUAGAUCCAUGUGCUCUCCGGUGUGUCUUUCUUAGGUUUACUCCCCAAUAGAAAGGGUAUAAGUGCUACCACCCUGAAACUCACCACGUGUAUGUGACCAUGGAUGUUAUUUUCUCGGAAUCCGAGUAUUUUUAUGCUUCGAUUCCAUCACCUUCUGAUCACCAGGAGGAGAAUACUAAUGGUGAUCUUAGGUGGUUGGAGAUACCAGAUAAUGUACUAUGUAGCUCAGGGGGAGCGUGUGUUGAAAACAAAAAUUGUGAAGGCUCUCGGCAAGAGAUUGUCAAGAAUGAAUACAGUGAAGACAGUGAGGGUUCUCGGUAACAGCCUGUCAAAAAUUGGACUAUUGUUCAGCUGCCAAGCACCGAAACAGUUGAUGCUUCUCGGCAACAGUCUGUCGAGUAUGAUGCAGAGUAUCGGCAGGAGUCUGCUGAACCCGAACCCGUACCCCCUCUCUCUAGCUCAAUAGUGCCACCCAAAAUGUCUUCUCUGAAUAUUCCUGAGGUAAGUAAAACUAAUGCUCAUGUAACUAAUCCGGAUAAUAUUAUGAGUACGUAUAAGUUGCCGCCAAGGCAAAAUCGUGGUGUUCCUCCUGACAGGUUUUCUCCUAAAGGAAAAGUGAAGUAUCCAAUAGCUAAUUAUGUGUCAUGCUCGAACCUUGCACCAAAAGGUCAAGCCUGGGUGAAUAAUGUGGAAGCAAUCCAAGCACUAACCCGAGUUGAGGAGGCCUUGAAGGAUCCUAAAUAGGCUGCUGCAAUGGAUGAAGAAAUGAUGGUACUGCAUAAGAAUGAUACGUGGGAGGUAACGGAGCUACCGAAAGGAAAAAAACCGGUCGGGUGUAGAUGGGUCUUUACAAUUAAAUACAAGGCAGACGGAUCAGUGGACAUGUAUAAAGCAAGGUUAGUAGCAAAGAGUUAUACACAAACUUAUGGUGUUGAUUAUCAGGAAACUUUUUCUCCAGUAGCGAAGAUGAAUACAGUACGAGUCCUUAUUUCUUUAGCUGCAAAUUUGAAUUGGCCACUGAAACAGUUUGAUGUGAAAAAUGCUUUUCUUCAUGGGUACCUGAAAGAAGAAGUAUAUAUGGAUUUUCCUCCGGGGUAUAAUGCCAGAAGGAAAACCGGAGUAUGUAGGUUGCAAAGUCACUUUACGGGCUUAAGCAAUCACCUAAUGCAUGGUUUGGUAGAUUCACUCAAGUUAUGAGGAGGAUUGGGUAUUAUCAAAGUCACUCUGAUCACACGUUAUAUGUGAAACAGAGAAGUGGUAAAGUGAUGGCCUUGAUUAUUUAUGUGGAUGACAUGAUAAUAACAGGUGAUGAUUCGGAUGAGAUGAUGAAAUUAGAAAAAAGUCUUGCCGUUGAAUUUGAGAUGAAGAAUUUGGGAGAUUUGAAAUAUUUCCUUGGAGUGGAAGUCACCCGGUCAUCUAAAGGUAUUUUCUUAUCUCAAUGUAAAUAUGUUCUGGAUUUAUUAAAGGAAACAGGCAUGCUGGGAUGUAAACUUGUGGACACUCCCAUCACAGAGAAACAUUAAUUGGGGAUUUAUCCAGAUCAGGAACCGGUUGACAAAGGUAGAUAUCAAAGGCUAGUGGGGAGGCUGAUUUAUUUGUCUCACACGCGUCCGGAUAUUGCCUAUGUCGUAAGUGUGGUUAGUCAGUUUAUGCACUCACCAAGUGUGGAUCAUAUGGCGGCAGUAAUGAGAAUCUUGGCAUACUUGAAGUCUGCCUUGGGAAAGGGAAUUUUGUAUGAACAUCAUGGACAUAUGAGGAUCGAGGGAUUUACUGUUGCUGAUUGGGCAGGUGAUGUUACUGACAGACGGUCUACAUAUGGGUAUUUCACAUUUGUUGGAGGUAAUUUAGUUACGUGGUGGAGUAAGAAGCAGAAUGUGGUAUCACGGUUCUCUGCCGAAGCCGAGUAUAGGGGUAUGGCACAUGGUGUGUGUGAGAUCCUUUGGCUACAAAAGUUGCUUUGGGGUCUUGGUUUUACACAGAAAGAGGCGAUGAAAUUGUAUUGUGACAAUAAGUCUGCUAGAGAAAUAGCUGAGAAUCUGAUACAGCAUGACAGGACCAAGCAUGUUGAGGUUGAUAGACAUUUUAUCAAAGAAAAGCUGGAAAAGAAGAUUGUGUCAAUACCGUUCGUGAACUCAAAGGAACAACUUGCGGAUAUCCUUACUCAUGAUGUGUGUAGUAGGAGGUUCGAUGACUUACUUAUCAAGUUGGGCAUGUAUAACAUCUAUGCUCCAACUUGAGGGGGAACAUUGGCGUGAGUCUAUAUUUUUGGAGAAAGGGAAUGUAAAUAUUUUGUAAUUAUUAGAGUCAUGUUUCAGGAAGGAUAUUGUGUCCUUUAUUAUUUUUUGUUUCCUUUUAUAACAAGGAUUGUAUGUCCUUUUAUUCAGGAUUAUGGAAUACAUAAAAGUUAAGCCGUAAAAUUCUAUUUGGAUUUCUUUAACAAGUGUCUGGAGCCAGUAGAGAAGUGUUUGAAGGAUGCCAAUAUGGAAGUGAGCAGUGUCCAUGAUGUUGUUCUUGCCGGUGGAUCUUCUAGAAUUCCCAAAGUGCAGCAACUAUUGCAGGAUAUGUUCAAGGUGAAGCAGUUGUGCAAGAGUAUCAAUCCGGAUGAGGCAAUUGCGUAUGGUGCCGCUGCUCAAGCUGCAGUCUUGAGUGGGAAUGUGAAUGGGAAGCUUCAUGGCUUUUCUCUCUUAGAUGUCACACCUCUGUCACUUGGGGUCAAGGAAGAAAAUAUCGGUAAUAUCGGAAAUAUCGGUAGUUCGAAAACACGGAAAUAUCGGGAUAAUAUCGAUAUCGAUAAAAAUUACAUGGAAACCACGGAAAUUGUAAGAAAAACUUGGAAAUUUUUAUUGAAACUUUGCAGGAUGUUUAUUUAGUCAAUUAUCUAUUAGUUUAUCACAAAAAAUUGAAAGGAAAUGUAUUGCAUGAUGGAUUUAACAUUAUCAAGUUGAUUAUAUAGCGAGCUGGCAAACAUGAUGGAUUUAAAGGAUGUUUAUUUAACUGAUUUGAGGUGACCCAACCACACACACACAUACACGCCACCACACACGCACACAUGUUAUGAAUCCAGUGACAGUUACUGGGUUCACCCUUCAACCUCUGCGAGCUUAUCUUUUCUUCUCUCUUCUUCUUUUUUGUUUAAAAAAAAAUUAUAAUAAUUGUUCUUUUACAUUGGUAACUGUAAGGUUUUAAUUUCGAUUCUCAUUAAAAACAAGUUUGAAGGAUAUUAUUACUAGUCCAUUGUGAUGCUUAGUCCACUCCCCCACUCCCUUAAUGUAGAUACUACUGUUUUUUUUUAUUAUUUAAGAAAAUUGAUAUAACCCCUUUCAUAAUGAGGGGUACCCAAGAAGAAAAGAGAAUCUUUCACACCUUUAAAUUUAAAAUUUACCAGCAAAGGUAUUAAAUCCAAAUACACUUUCCUCCUAAAAAAUUGUUCUCAAAGAAAAAAAGGCAUAUGGGCAUGCAGUUGCAUGUGGUGUUGAAUUUCUGAUUAUAUUACACACGCACACAACACACGCACGCACACAACGCACGCACAAGUCUCUCUCGAUCCUUCUUCUCUCUUCUCAUUACACACGCACACAACACACGCACACACACAACAACCCACAGAGAGACUCCUCAGUCUUUCUCGAUCUUCUUCUCUCUUCUCUCCCUUCUCCCUUCUCCCACACACAGACACAGAGAUCUGUUGAUCUCUCUUCUCCCUUCUCCCACACACACGCACAGAGAUCUGUCGAUCUCUCUUCUCCCUUAGCCUCGUCGGCGUCGUCUCUCUGGAAACUCUCAUUUCUCUCUGCACCGAGUCCGAGACCCACAUACACACACGCACACCAUUGCAUCUGCUUCAGGAAGACACCCAUCGUCAUCAUCAACCUCGUCUUUCUCCCUCUCAUUCUCGUCCCUGCAACUCGGCGAACGUAGGACUCCGGCGAGUUUCUUGAAUUUCUCCGGUUAGGUAAGCUUCGAUUUACCUCUUUCUGUUCCACAUUGGAGCUUAUAUGUGAAAUUUAAGUUCAAAAUCGUGUUUUUGCAAGGUUUUUGGGACGAAAUCGGCUCGAGUUCGCAUAGAUCCAUCUCCGGCGUUCUUCUCCGAGUGCCCAGUUCCAAAUCUAUCGCGAUAAUUUCGAAAAUAUCGCGAUAUUAUCGAUAAUAUCGCGAUAUUAUCACGAAACCCAUUUGGAUAGUUAUAAAAAUAUCGAUCCCCUUAAAAACCGAUAAUAUCGACGAUAUAUCGCCGAUAUUAUUGAUUUUUUCUUCCUUGCUCGGGGUUGGGACUGAGGAAAAGUUUUUCGAGAUGUGGGUUGUCAUCCCAAGAAACAGCAGUAUUCCCAUCAAGAGGAACACAACUCUAAGUUACUCUCUAUGACAAUCAAGUGUCCAUCAAUUUCCCCAUUUAUGAGGGUGAAAGUACAAACACCAAAAAUAAUAAUUUUAUGGGUCAAUUUAUGAUCAAGGGUAUUCCUCCAGCUCCAAAGGGCGCUGCUAAUGGGUGGUUUGGGAGUGAGGUGCUUAAAAAAAAAAACAUCCAUGAAAAAAAGCUGUGAGGGUUUUAGGUGUUUGGUAAACUGAAAAAAAAAGGCUUAUUUUGGAAGUUACUGUGAGAAUAAGCUGAAAUCAAAGGAAAAAGUUGAAGCUGCUAUUUACAACUUUGGAAAACUGACUUUUUUUCAAAGCACACGGAGCUACAGUGCUCCUUUAAUGAAAAGACCCACUAUCAGAUUGCUUUUUUUUCCAAAAGCACUUUUACAAAAAAGUUUACCAAACACUCUGUUGAUUUAUUUCACAGCUGCUUAUUCUCACAGUAGCUUUUUUUCAAAGCACAGUAAUACCAAACCAGCCCUAAAUUCAAUGUUUGUUUCAGCAUUGAUGCCAACAGUAUUCUAAGCCCCAGUUUGGCAUUGCGGUGCUUAAUUAAAAAGCAGUUUUUUUUUUAAAUUUUGGAUCCUUCAAACGUUUGGUAACUGAAAAAUAAAGCUGCUUUUUCUUGAAGCGCGGUGAUAAAAAGCAGAAAUCAGGAAGCUACUCUGACCGAGCUUUCAAAAACCGCAGAAAACUGCUUCAAAAUGAAGCAUGCAGAGUUACAGUGAAGUUUUAAUGAAAUUUUCUAAAGACCAAUAAUACCCCCACCUUUUUAACUAAAAGGACAUCCUUGUCCUCCAUCUCUGUAAUGUCCUCAAUUUCUCUUUGCUAAACACCACCCACCCACCCACCAACUCUGACCACCCCAGCCACCACACCUACCCCCUACUAACACCAUGACCACCUCUCCGAACCCACUGGUCAUUAAUUUUCACCCUUCAAGAAUGCAACCCACCAUAGCCGCAACCCACCUCCUGUAUUUUCUCUCGAAUCCACAACCGUUGCCAAAUUCAAAACUACUGCUAUGGACUCACCUUCAGCGACAGUGUGGAAGCCGUCGAAUCUGAUCAAUGACUGGUGAAUACUCGCUUCCAUCUUAGGGGGUGAUGAAGCCGUAGCCCUUGGUGUCGCUGAACCCUCACACCUUCUCGAAUUUUUUAGCUUCGUCAACUUUGAGUCGCUGAACCCUCACACUCCAAACCUUCUUAUCACCAAAUCUGCAUAUGCUUUUGUUGCAAUUACAUAAUCAAGCCCGGCCAAAUUUAGAAAAUAAAUUAUCAAAUUUGGGGAGAUCAUCUUGGUCUCGAGGGUGCUACGGUGGGGGAUGGUUGGAGGUGUGGAGAAGGGUAUGGAAGAUGUGGAAAGGGGAAGAGGGGGCAGAGAGAAAAUUGGAUGCUUCUAGCAAGAGUUACAUUAUGAAUAAAAAAGUAUAACAUCUAAUAUCAUACAUUUUUUCGUCAUUUAACAUCGUCACAGCAGUUUUAUAUAAAAGUUUAGCAAACACUUAAACAAUGUUUUUUUUAAAAAAAAAAAACACUUUUACAAAAAAAGUUACCAAACACUCUACUGCUUUUUUUACAGCUGCUAAUUUUCACAGCAUAACAGAAACAGUUUUUUUUUUUAAACACAACAAUACCAAACCAGCUCUAACUGUAUCUCUGCUGAGGAUAAGUCUACCGGCCAGAGAAAAGGGAUUUCAAUUAUGAGUGAUAAAGACAAAAGGAGCUCAGAAGGUAUCGAGGCAGUGAACUAAUUAAGAAGCCUAGUCCUAUAACUGAAUUAGGACAUAUAUUAUAAACCAGCUUUAAUUAAUUUUUGGAGGAGUCGUUUUAUCUUUAUUGGAAUAUAAAUGUUGGACAAAGACAAAGUUUCAGUUGAAUAGAUGGGAGCGAUUGCAUAACAAAAAUACAGCUGCAAAUGGUGUUAUGAGUUUUCACAGUUUCACUUACCAAAUUGGAGUUCUUCUCCCAUGGCAGAUUAUCCGAGACUGUAUCCCAUCUCACCCCAGUCACAACGUACAGUCUGCGCCUGGGACUCCUGAAUGCCCCACUUUCACUUCCUGAUCAAAUGUCCAACCUCCAAACUCCAAUGUUCUCCACCACCAAACCACCCCUUUUGGAACACCAUCGUCCACUGGUCAAAAGAAAGGGAUUGCAAUCAACAGUGACAGAAGAACUUUAGGAAUUGGGAAGAUGAGGUAAGAAAUGAUAAUUUGUGGCAUACAAAGGCUGAAACUAGCAUAUACGUUAUGUAAUCAAUUUGAUACUCUACAUGUUUAGCUGUAAGGUCGGAUGGUUUUGUUUAUGCCAGGUGAGCCGAAGCAUCCAAAGCGCUAGCCCUGGUUGUGUUGCUUUGGGCUUAAUCGAAAAAUUAGAGGAAGCAAAUAGUUUAUAGGCACUCCUUUUGCUUUCUUGUCAUGCAUCAUAACAUCAUUUUAUGUGCUGGUUGUUUUUGUUAUGAAAGAAAUCAUGUGUUGAGUUCUGUGAUCUUGCUACAGCUCAGUGCACGACGGGUUUAAUGAAAAAUUUGACAUAGAUAAACAACUGAUGUGUCAUGUUUGCUCUGUUUCAUGAAAUUUCUUGAGUCAUUACAAGAUUAGGAUUCUUUUUCUUCUUUAGUACGUUGGAAGUCAGAACUCCAAGAUGUUUGUUGCAAGACAACAGAAAUGGGUAUGUUACUGUUCUAUAGGAUCGAUGAUACUACUGUGACAAGGUUUAGCAACUGCUGAUAAUCUAAUCCAAAUCUUUGUAAAACAAAAUGUCAAUUUUAUAAAUUGUGUUUCAUAAAUAAGAAUUUAAUGACUUUAUUUUGCAUCUACUUUUGAAAAUGAAGUUCUUUCAGGCAUCCAAUCUGCUUUAUGUGUGCGUAUGAACAUAAUUCAUUGAGCUUGAUCAAGCUCAUUGUAAAAGCUCAAACAAAUCGACGAAAUAGAUUAAUUUUUCCGUUUGGCAAUUGAAUGAAGAAGAUUACUUAACUAAAUCCAAAUCACAUUUUUUUUAAUUAUGUAGUCUUAUUAGAUUUGGAACUUAAUGAAGAAGAUUACUUAAUGAAGAAGGUUACAACUUACUGUUGCUUCUUUAAUUUUGGAACUUAAUGAACCAAAAGUGUCCAAAAGAAAAAGACUAGGGAACCAAAAAGUGUCAAAAGAAAAAGAAAAAACUUUCAGACCGCUCUAUGUUAAUAUCUUCUACUUUCAAGCACAUAUAUUCUCUUGAUCUUCUUUCUAUGCUACCAUUCAGCUCUCUUCUUUAGUACUAUUCUUCUUCCAGUUUCUCAGCUUAGAAUGGCGGGAAAAGACGAAGCUGCAGGUCAUGCAAUCGGGAUCGACCUGGGGACAACCUACUCGUGUGUGGCGGUGUGGCAGAAUGAUCAUGUAGAAAUCAUAGUGAACGAUCAGGGCAACAGGACCACUCCAUCUUAUGUUGCUUUCACAAAUACUGAGCGAUUGAUAGGUGACGGAGCAUUCAACCAGGUUAUAAAAAACCCAACCAACACCAUCUUCGGUAUGUUCAUCUCUUUCUGUAUGUAUCCAUCUACAUAUAUACCAUUUUCCCAUUAAUUUAUUUCUCAAAUUAGUUUUUCUUUUUCUCUGAAUAUUUAUAACAGUAUUUGAAGUGAUAAAAUGUGGGGUGUUGAUGACAAGUUAUGAUUUUGAUGAUAAUUAAAAAGGUGUAGUACAUUUACAGUAGAGUGAAAGAAUUUGGGAUAGUUACUGUUGACUUGAGUCCUUGUUCAAUUAGGAAUGUAAUUAAUUAUUUGAUUGUAUUUCCUAGUUGGCUAGGAUUGUAUGUAUAUAAAUAUUUCCUCCUAGAUGGAGAAGAAUACAGAUUUGAGAAUUAAACCCUAAACAUAUAUUUUAACUGUUACGACACCGUUUGUUUAACAAUAUGCUUUUAUUUCAAUCAUAUGACCUAUUUCUUUGUUAGUUUUGGUUGUUGGGUUGUGCAACUAAUUCUGUUCUCAUUUUGCAGACGCGAAAAGGAUAAUCGGUAGGAGGUUCACAGAUGAAUGUGUUCAAAACGAUAUAAAGCAUUGGCCUUUUAAGGUCAUUGGAGGUCCUUCUGACAAGCCAAUGAUUGUCGUCACAUACAAGGGUGUUGAGAAACAAUUUGCUGCUGAAGAAAUCUCAUCUAUGAUUCUUGUGAAAAUGCGAGAGAUUGCUGAGGCCUACCUUGGUUCAACUGUGAAAAAUUCAGUUAUCACAGUCCCUGCUUACUUUAACGACUCACAGCGGCAGGUUACGAAAAAGGCAGGUGGUACUGCUGGCCUAAAUGUGAUGCGCAUCAUCAAUGAGCCGACUGCUGCAGCCAUUGCUUAUGGGCUUGACAGGAAGGCCGGUUGGUAUAGCAAGAGAAAUGUGAUGAUAUUUGAUUUGGGCGGGGGAACCUUGGAUGUUUCGCUACUUACCAUAGCUGACAGUAUCUUUGAAGUGAAGGCCACCGCUGGAGACACUCAUCUUGGAGGUGAAGAUUUCGAUAACAGAAUGGUCAACCACUGUGCUAAGCAAUUCAAGAGGAAGUAUAACGUGGACGUUAGUGGAAACUUCAAGGCUCUUAGGAGGUUAAAAAAUGCAUGUGAGAAAGCAAAGAGGAGGCUUUCAUUUAUGUCCGAGACUGACAUUGACAUUGACUGUUUGCAUCAGGGUGUUGAUUUUUGUUUAACUAUUACCCGUGCUAAAUUUGAGCAACUCAACAUGGAUUUCUUCGGCAAGUGCAUGGAGCCUGUGAAGAAGUGCCUGGAAGAUGCUAACAUGGACAUAAGCAGCGUCCAUGAUGUUGUUCUUGCAGGUGGAUCUUCUAGAAUUCCCAAGGUGCAGCAGCUUUUGCAGGAGGUUUUCAAGGGAAAGGAGCUUUGCAAAGGCAUCAAUCCAGAUGAGGCGGUGGCCUAUGGUGCCGCUGUUCAAGCUACUGUCUUGAGUGGUGGCAAUCUAACUGGAAAGCUUGGGGACUUCGCACUGGUGGAUGUCACCCCUCUCUCACUUGGGGUGGAGGCUCGUGAAGAACUUAUCAUGUCAGUUGUGAUUCCAAGAAACACUAGAACACCGGUCAAAAUAAUCAAAGGUUUUACUACGUGCUAUGACAACCAAAGUGAUGUUAGUUUUCCUAUAUAUGAGGGUGAGAGUAGAAUUGCAAGAGAUAAUAACUAUUUGGGCGGAUUUGAACUCAAUGACAUUCCUCCAGCUCCCAGCGGUGUUCCUAAAUUUAAAGUUUGCUUUGAUAUUGAUGAAAAUGGCAUCCUGCAUGUCUCUGCUGAGGACAAGUCCACCGGCCAAAAGAAGGGGCUCACGUUCAAUUGUGACAGAAGAACUUGUGAAGGAAUUGAGACAUUGAUUUAAAAGUCAGUUGACUGAUGUAAGAAACAUUAAUUUCUCACAUGCUAUAGUCCGAAAUAUCUUGUAUUAACCAUAUUUCCUAUCUCACGGGGUUUGCUUAAGUCCUAAUCUUGACCCUUCAAUCUAAAGUUUUUUUUUACUGUCUUUAGUUAGGACUGGUCUUUACUUGAAUUAUGGCUCACGCAGACAUGAAUAGAACAUUGGAUUCCAUGGGAAACAUAAUUUCUUUGAGGAUGUUCUCUGUUUACUCCAUACGCGCACUCAUGCUGAGCUCUGUUAACGCGUUAUUUUCAGAUACAAAGUGUUAAUAGGAAGGAGAUUUAGUGAUCCUUCUGUUCAAAAUUAUAUGAAGCUGUGGCCAUUCAAGGUCACUGAAGGUCCAGCUGAGAAGCCCAUGAUUGUGGUUACACAUGAAGGUCAAGAAAAAACAGUUUUAUCCUGAUGAAAUCUCAUCCAUGGUUUGGGUAAAGAUGCUGGAGAUUGCUGAGGCCUAUCUCGGCUCAACUGUGAAGAAUGCUGUGAUCAAAGUCCCUGCUUACUUCACUGACUCGCAGCGUCAGGCUACAAAAAAUGCUGGUACCACGGUUGGCCUAAGUGUCAUCCAAUCAUCAAAGAACCAACUGUGGCAGCCAUUGCUUUUGGACUUGACAAGAAACGUUUGGUAUAGCAAGAGAAACGUCAAGAUAUUUGAUUUGGUGGUGCUACUUAAGAUGUGUCUCUACUUACUACAGGGAAUGGUGUGUGUUUGAAGUGAAGGCCACUGCUGAAGACAGUCACCUAUGGAGGUGAAGACUAUAAUAGAAUGGUGAUUUACUCUGUUGAGGAGUUUACGAGGAAACAUGGUUUGGCAUCAGUGGAAACUCGAGAGCACUUGAGAGGUUAAGGAAUGCUUGUGAGAAGGCAAAGAGGAGACUCAUUCAAGUCUUUUGUAGAAGAUGAAACUGAUUGUUUGUAUCAAGCUACGGAUUUCUAUAUAAAUAUCGCCCGGGCCAAAUUUUAACAACUGAGGAGAAGUGUUUGAGGGAUGCUAAAAUGGACAUAACCAGUGUCCAUGACGUUGUUGUUUCUGGUGGCUCUUCUAGAAUUCCCAAAUGCAGCAGCUUGUACAGGAGGUUUUCAAGGGAAAGGAGCUUUGCAAGGGCAUCAAUCCGGACGAAGCGGUGGCCUAUGGUGCUGGUGUUCAUGCUGCUGUCUUGUGUGGGAAUGGAACUGGGAAGCUUCAAGACUUCACUCUAUUGGAUGCCACCCCUUUAACAUUUGGGAUAGAGACUUUAGGAAAACAUGUCAUGGGAGUUGUUAUUCCAAGAAGCAUGAGAGUUACCAUGGAGAAGCAGACGACUUUAAUUACUAUCUGUGAUAACCAACGUACCAUCACCUUCCCCAUUCAUGAGGGCGAGAGCAAAACAACUUUGAAUAAUAACUAUUUGGGUGAAUUUAAACUCCAUGACAUUCCUCCAGCCGCCAAGGAUGUUCCUAAAUUCGACGUUUGCUUUGAAAUUGAUGCAAAUGGUGUGUCCUGGCUGUCUCUGCUUAGGACAAGCCCACUGGCCAAAAAAGAAAUUAAGGGAUUACAAUCAACAGUGACAGAAGAACUUUUGAAGGAAUUGAGAAGCUGAGGUACGAAAUAAUUUGCGUUAUACCAAUUUGAUAGUUACUAAUGCCAGGUGAGCCGAAGUCUCCAUCAUGCGCAGGUUGUAUUGCUUUAAGCUGAAUUAAAAUUGGGGGAAGGAGGCAGUUGAUAGGAAAAUGCUUGCUAGCUGGUCGUGCUUUAUGACAUUGAUAUGAUAUGCUGGUUAUUUUGACAGAGAUAAAAUUGUUCUUUCUGUCCUGUUUGCAACUCAUGAAAAUGCUCGUUCCUUUAUAAGAUCUGCAUUACUCUUUUUCAAUAUAUUGUAAUUCAAACUCCAAGUUGUUUGUUUCAAACUCCAUGUUGUAAUUCUUCUGAGCCAUGGCAAUGGCGUAGAGGAACCACUUGGCGUGGCUCAAAAUCGAGGUGACAUUGACGGCUGAGUGUAAGGGAUUGAUUGGAGGAAUGGCUUUGUAGAGGAUGAACCUGAUUCUGAGAGAGAGCGAGAGAGAGAUGCAUAGUUUUCGGUAAUGACACUUGUGCACAAUUUGAAAAGGUGUAAUACACUUUAGCCACUGUGCUUGAGUAACUGAAAGGUAUAUAGUGACAGAAUUCGGAAUAGUUACCAGUUACAACACCAUUUCCUUGUUACAUUUCCUUAUCGGUCUUUUUUUUUUCAAAUUUUGCAUCAAUAUUCUUCAGAUGCGAAAAAGUUAAUUAGUACGAGUUUCAGGGAUGAAUGUGUUCAAAAUGAUAUGAAGCAUUGGCAAUCCAAGGUCUCCUUCUGAUAAGUCAAUAACCAUUGUUACCCACAACGGCAUAGAGAAACAAUUUCGUGCUGAAGAAAAUUCAUCUAUGGUUCUUGUGAAAAUGCAGGAUAUUGCUGAGGUCUACCUUCGUUCAACUGUGAAAAACUCAGUUAUAACAGCGACAGGCUACAAAAAAGGCCGGUGCCUGUUCUGGCCUAAAUGUAAUAAGUAAUCAUCAAUGAGCCGACUGCUGCCGCGAUUGCUUAUGGACGUGGCAAGAAGUCUGGCUGGUAUAUAUAGCAAGAGAAAUAUGAUGAUAUUUGAAUUGGGUUAGGGUACUUUGGCCUUUUCACUACUGACCAUAGCAUAUAGCGUUUGUGAAGUAAAGGUCACUGCUGGAGAUAUACUCAUCUCCGAGGUGAAGGCUUUGAUAAGAAAAUAGUGAAUAAUUGUGCUGGAAAAACAAAAGGAGACAUAAAGUCGACAUUAGUGGAAAAUGCAUGUGAGAAGGUAAAGAGGAGGCUUUGUGUUGAAUAAGUGGCCAAGUGGCCAAGUGGAGAACAAAAAUAUAAAAAAAGCUUUUGGCUAUUAAACAAAUCAAAAGAAAAAAAGGACAACAUGAUUAUGUUUCCUUGUUUUGUGGCUUGUUCUCUGGCUUUUUCAAAGCCAUAAUUAUGGGUUUUUUUUUUCCCGAUAGAAGAAAUAAGGAAGGGAGAGCUCAUUGUCAGUUAGAGAGCUCAUUUUUUGCCGAGAGCAAGGAGAGUUGUAGAGAGCCCAAAACAAAGAAGAAGUUGCUGCUUCAUUUGGUUAGUAAUUAUCCACCAAAGUAGUUGUUGUUGUAAUAGCUUUGUGCUAUAUGUAUAGAGAAGAAAUUAUUCAUUAUAUUUCUUUCUCUAUUUGUUUCUUUGGUGUGUGAGAGUUAUUGGGUGUAUUGGGUUAUUUGGGUUGUGAGAUUGCCAACACUUUGUAAACUUCCAUUUGGUUGAUAGUGGAUUAUUGGGUGAGCUCCUAUUGCUCCGAGGACGUACUCCAGUUACACUGACUGUUGAGGAACCUCGUUAAAAUCUUGGUGUUCUUUUAUAAUUUGUUCUUGCAUUCCAUUUGAUAUAUUUCCUGUGGGUUAACUUGAGUUGGUUCCAUAAGGUUUGGUGCUAUCCUAGCACAACACUUUGAUAUAUGCUUGAGACUGACGUUGACAUUGUUGGAGGGGAAGGAGCUGUGCAAGGGCAUUUAUCCAGAUGAAGCUGUGGCAUAUGGUUCAGCUGUUCAAGCUGCCGUGUUGAGUGAGAAUAAUGAAAAUGGGAAGCUUCAAGACUUUGCACUCUUGGAUGUCAUCCCUCUAUUACUUGGGGUGGAGACAACUAAGACAAGGUGGGAAAGUGGUUCUGACGAUAAACAUUUCAUGCUAGUUGUGAUCCCAAGAAACACCAGAGUUCCGAUAAAAGAGAACGUUACUUUGUUUACUUCGGUUGACAACCAAGCUGUGGCCAGAUUUUCAAUUUAUGAGGGCGAGAGUUCAUCAACCUUAAUAACGUUUUGGGUGGAUUUCACAUCCAUGACAUUUCUCCUGCUCCUGCCAGAGCUGCUAAAUUCAAACUUUGCUUUGAUAUUGAUGAAAAUGGUUUCCUGAGUGUCUCUGCAGAGGACAUGUCCACCGGCCAAAAGAAGGUGAUUACUUUCAACUGUGACAGAAGAACUUGUGAGGGAAUUGAGACAUUGAUAUAAAAGUCGGUUGACUACUGCAAGAAACGUUCAUUUCUAAUUUCUCCAGCAUGCUUCAGACUGAAUAGACAUUGGAUUACAGGGGAAGCGUAUUUUCUAUGGUCGAGCUUCUCAUGCUCUGGUGAUCUCAUCCAACCUCUCUGUUAUUCCAUUAUGAUAGAGCCGUUGGAACAAUAACAGAAAGUAUGAGAAUAAUAAAAUAAUUCUAAUGAUGAUAAUCAUAAAGAAAUCACAACGCUAAUUGUGUACAAGAUUAAUGUAAACAACUAGAGAGAAAGUAAGAAUGACUACAAAUUUGGAGAUUGAGGCUUGCACAAAUGCGAUGUCCUAAAGACAAAAUUUCGCUCUUGUGCUUGUAGUUCGGUAAGCGUCCAUCUUCUAGAAUUCAAGAAUCUAUAAUACGAAGUUGAAGCACUGCAAUUUUCGGACUCUCAAGACACAACUGGAAUUUGACAAAGAAAAAAAAAUGAGAAAAACAGAAUCGAGAAACUCCUUCUCUUGAUGCAUAUCUCACUGCUAUACUGACUUGGGUUUAUAUCAAACCUAAGACACUGAUUGACGAAGAGAUGAAAUCAUGCAUCUAUUAGACGACACCAUUUACUAAGGAAAUGCACUGAUCUGUGUAGAGUAAUCUUUUCAAUUUGAAAAGGUCCAUACACAAAGUGUUUAGAAAAGAAUAACUUUUCAUUUCUUUGAUAAAAUUACAAGAUAGUUGUAUUUAUACAACUCAUUUACACAUGUCACCAUCAGCCACUCUAACUAACUAAUUACACAUUUCAACUAAUUAACAAAUAUUGAACUAUAUCUCUAAAGUGUUAACUAACUCUUUUAUUUACAUAAGUGUCCUUAAUAUCCCCCCUCAAACUGAGCUGAGGGGUGCAAAGGGAGAGUUUGGAUCUGAGAUAAUGAAAACGGUCCUUAGCAAGAGCCUUGGUACAAAUAUCGGCAACCUGUUGCUGAGUGCAAAUAUAAUGAACAGAAAUCUCUCGAACCUUUUCACAAGUGUAAUGAUAAUCCAACUUAACAUGCUUGGUACGAGCAUGGAACGACGAAUUCUUGGCCAGAGAAAGAGUAGAGACAUUAUCACACCACAAUCGUGGAAUAGAAGGUGAUUUGUAGGCAAUAUCCACUAAAAGUUUGCAAAUCCAAGUGAGUUCGGUAGCAGUAUUGGCCAGAGAUCGAUACUCAGCCUCAGUGGAUGAGCAAGCAAUAAUAGGUUGCUUUUUAGCGCUCCAGCUAAUAAGAGAGGAACGAAGAAAAAUGCAGAAACCUCCAAUGGAUUUUCUGUCAAGAGGACACCCCUCCUAAUCGGCAUCAGAGAAUGCAGUAAUGGAUGGAGAAUAUGAGGUUUUGGGAAACCAUAAUCCCAAAUCAAGAGAGCCCUUAAGGUACCUGAAUAUGCGUUUGACAGCUUGAAAAUGAGAGUGACGGGGACUAUGCAUAUAUUGGCAGACUAAAUUCACAGCAAAGGAAAGAUCAGGCCGGGUCCAGGUUAAGUAUUGAAGGGCGCCCACAAGAGAUCAGUAUUGAGCAGCAUUGUCCAAUAAGGGGGAUGUAUGAUCAAGCUUAGAUGUACUCAAAGGAGUAGCAUAAGGUUUUGCCCCAUCCAUGUUAGCUUUCUUCAACAAAUCCAGAAUGUAUUUAGUUUGGGAUAUGUAAAUACCCUUGGAGGACCGCUUCACCUUAAUGCCAAGAAAAUAGUGUAGAGCACCAAGAUCCUUGAUAGGAAACAUAGAACGAAGUUGAGUGAUAACUUGUUGACAGGCGGACGUAGAUGGUCCAGUGACAAUAAUGUCAUCAACAUAAACUAAGAUGAACACCAUUGGAUCUGUCUUGACAAACAAGGAGUGAUCGGAUUGAAAACCAGUAAAUCCCAAAGAGGUAAGUGCGCCAUGAAGUUUGUCAUACCAAGCUUGGGGAGCUUGUUUGAGGCCAUAUAGAGACUUGUGAAGAUGGCAGAUGUGAUUGGGAUGAAGAGAGUCUUCAAAGCCAGGUGGUUGUUGCAUAAACACAUGUUCAAAGAGAGUACCGUGCAGGAAUGCAUUGCUGACAUCAAGCUGAUGAAGAAACUAGUCAUAUUGAGCUGCCAAAGUGAGGAGAAUUCGAAUGGUGACCGGUUUAGCAACCGGACUAAAAGUCUCUGUAUAGUCCAAUCCGGCUUGCUGGUGAAAUCCUUUUGCAACUAGACGGGCCUUAUACCUGUCAAUUGUACCAUCGAGUUUGCGUUUGAUUCGGAAAACCCACUUGCAACCUACUACAUUGGUGGAGUGAGAGGAAGGAACCAAAGACCAGGUUCCAAUUUGCUUCAAGGCAAGAAACUCAUCCUGCAUAGCUUGAACCCAGUGUGGAUAUUUAGAGGCCUGAAGAUACAUAGUGGGAACAAAGUCAUGAGAAAGAUGAGAGGGUAUAAGAUAUUUGGUUGCAAUUAAAGCCUUAGGCUUGUAGAUGCCAGAUUUAGCUCGGGUUUGCAUAGGAUGGAUAUUGGUAGGAAGAUGUGACCGGGAAGGAGAAUGGGAAGAUGGAUGUGAGUGUGAUGGAGAGGCACAAAUGGGAGAGGAGGAGAUCAGAGAGACAUUAGAAGGUUAAGAAGCUUGAGGAUGUAUUGGAGGAGAAGUACCUGGUAUGGUGGUAGAAAAGGUUAACUGAGUUUGAAUAGAGGGAGGGGGAGGGACAAGGGAUGGUGGAGAGGAUGUUGCAGAGACUUGCAUGUGAAAAGGAAAGCUGGACUCAUCGAAUAUAACAUGUCGGGAUACAUAAAUCCGUUAAGAAACAGGAUCAAGACAUUUAUACCCCUUGUGAUUAAGACUAUAACCUAUAAAGAUGCACAGUUUGCUUUUAGGAUCCAACUUUGAAGUAGAAUAAGGCUGCAACCAAGGAAAGCAACUGCAACCAAAUAUUCUCAGUGUGUGAUAAGACGGAGAUCUGUGAAAUAGUGAUUCCCAUGGAGAAGCUUUGGAUGCAGUAGGCAUUCUAUUUAUCAAAUACACUGCAGUAGCAAACGCAUGAUCCCAAUAGAUAUGAGGAACAUGAGAAAUAGUCAAUAAUGUCCUUGCUGUCUCCACUAUAUGCCGAUGUUUACGCUCAGAGCAACCAUUUUGCUCCGGAGUGUGAGGACAGCUGAGUUAAUGGUGAAUGCCAUGCUCAACAAGAAAUUUAGAAAACUGAGAGCUCAAAUAUUCACCACCAGAAUCAGACCAUAGAGUUUUAAUUUUGGUGCACAACAAAUUUUCAACAUGAGCCUUGAACUUCACAAAAAUACUAAAGACAUCAGAUUUGUAUUGCAUAGGAAAGAACAAACAGUAUUUGGUAAAAUCAUCCACAAAAAUGACAUAAUAUUUGUGAUGAUGAACAGAAGAUACAGAUGCUGGCCCCCAAACAUCUGUGUGAAGUAAUUCUAAAGGGUUACAUGUCCGACUUGGCACUGGAACAAACGGGAGUUUAGAACUCUUGCUCAAUGCAUAACCAUUACAGAAAAUAGAAUGAGUAUUGCUAGAAACAGAAAUACAAGACGCAGAGGUCAACAUAUUUAUGAUCUUAGAAGAGGGAUGGCCUGAUUGUUGAUGCCAAACAUCCCUAGAGGCAUUGACCGAAGCAGCAAAUGCAUGAUGAGAAUCAUUCACCAAACUAGAGUUGAGAGGUUGAAAAGGAUAGAAACCAUUUUGCACUGGUCCUUUAAAGAGCAUCUUCCCCGAAGAAAUAUCCUUCACAGUGAAGUGAAAGGGAUAAAGAUGCAUAGAACACCAAUUAUCAAUGAGAAAUUGAUUUGCAGAAAGCAAAUUGUGUUUCAAUUCAGGGACAUGUAACAUUGCGAAGCUGAAAAUUAUAAUGAGAGUAGGUAAUUGAGAAGAGCCAGAGUGAAGAAUUGGCAAACAUUUGCCAUCGCCAAUGUAAACUUGCUCAGGGCCUAUGUAAGGUUUUGGAUUCUGAAGUUGAUUAUAAGAAUUUGUCAUGUGAGUGCUAGCACCAGAGUCCACAAGCCAUGUUGGCGAAGAAGAAGUUGUACUGGCAACCAUUGCAGAAUGAGAGUGAGAAAGAGAACCAGAAAAAUGGGGAUUCAUUCGUUGAUGACAAGCUAAGGCUUCAUGACCAAAUUGGUGACAAAUUUGGCAGGGAAUCUUCUUGCCAGAGGAGUAGAAAUUGGAGCGGCCACCUCGAUUAUACCUUUGGUAGACUUGUCAAUUGGAAUUUUGGCGAAAAUUUUUAGAUCGAAAGUUACCACGACCUUGAAAAUUUCGAGGAUAAGAGACGGAACCUCGAGCUGGAGUAUUGGUGAGAUCUGGUCCACGGCCUUGAGAAUUGAAGUCUUGAGCCACCAAAAGAGCUUGAGAAGGCGGCGUAGGAAGAAGACCAGCAGAGGAAUUGAAGGCUUGAAAUGGCAAAGACGAAGAUGUUUUCUUUCGAUUCGUCAAUUGAAUCUCCUUGCUGAGAAGAAGGCCAUGGAGGUUAUCAAUUUUCGUGGAACCAAGGCGAAAUUGAAUCGCAUCAACAAACGAGUCAUAUUCAAGGGGAAGUCCAUGAAGAAUGACAGAGAUUAACUCGGAAUCUUCAAUCGGAGCUCCGGCACUGGCCAGAGCAUCAAUAAUCUCUUCAAUUUGUUGAAGAAAUCGUGCAGCAGAAGAAUCGCCCUUAGUCAGAGUUCAAAGACGAGAUCUGAGUUCAUGAAUGUGCGAUUGAGACGCAGUCGCAAGCCGUGAUUCCAAUUUUUCCCACAGUUCUCGAGAAGAUCAAACUCCAACAGUGUAAGGAAUCAAGGAAUCAGAAAGUGUAGAGUUGAUCCAGAUGAGAAUGUUCUGAUCAUUCUUAAACCAGGUAACAUAGGCCGGAUUCAGAGUACGAGAUCCAGUUGCAUCAGUGAGAAACUGAGGCGGUGGAGGAAUCGAGCCAUCAACGAUGCCUACAAGAUUGUACCGACGGAAAAUAGGAGCGAAUAAAGCACUCCAGGUUAAAUAAUUCGUCGUGGUCAAUUUGAUCGGCACCAGAGAUCCAAUGUUCUGGAUUGUGAUGGAAGCAGUAUGAGAUGCACAAAAAGGAUUAGGGCUGGAAUCAGCGAUCGGAGGAGCGUGAGAGCCAGAAUUAGAGGAGGGAGAAGCGGCGGUCGCCAUGGAAGAGAAGCGAAGAAAUUAGGAUUUCAGAUGCAAGAAGCUUCAAGAAAUGGAAGCUUAGCAGUGAAAAAAAUUGAAGAGUCGCAAAAAGCGUAGUGACGAAGGAAAGAAAGAGGAUCGGGUCGUUUGACAGAGGCGAGAGAUACCAUGUUUAGAAAAGAAUAACUUUUCAUUUCUUUGAUAAAAUUACAAGAUAGUUGUAUAUAUAUAACUCAUUUACACAUGUCACCAUCAGCCACUCUAACUAACUAAUUACACAUUUCAACUAAUUAACAAAUAUUGAACCAUAUCUCUAAAGUGUUAACUAACUCUUUCAUUUACAUAAGUGUCCUUGAUACAAAGUACUGCCACUUUGUAUAAGAUGGCACCAAUUGUAUAACAUAUCCAUUUGUUACAAACGGUUAAGAAAUUUUCAUUCUAACAAGAGCUUCUCAUCCAUCCUCCUGAUUUCAACUUGGAAAUUGCAACUUCAUGCUAUGUUGUUUUUGUAACAUAUGAACUAGUAUAUAUAUAUGUGUGUGUGACUGGGCAUAAAACCACAGUUGUUCUAUCAUUUCUCAGCUGGUAGGUGAUAAUGUUCCUCUGCACGCUCCGAUAAAGCUUAUUUUUCUAUCCACCAAUUUUACAAAGCUGCUUUAAAAGGUCAUCGAAUCAGAAGAAUUCUCGGAGGAGUACGUAGCUACUGAGAUCUGUGCUAGGUUUCUAUGUGCAACACUGCAAGUCCACUUCCGCUUUCUGUAUGUGUAACUAAUCUGCCGUUUUGUUUUCUGUUCAUAGUUCAGUACACAAAUAAAUAUUAAACUAUGUAUACUAGCUAUCAUUUGUCGCAGUUUUGUAGAACUAAAUAAAGUUGUAAAGUUUUCUCAUAUAAAAAAGAAGGUAAAGUUAUAAGGUAGUAAAGGUAGCAAAGAAGGUAAAGUUGGAAAUGUAGUAAAGAUAAAGUGACGUAACACAAAGUUGAAGAAUUAUAAGUGUAAUUCUUUGAAGAAUCAAUAGUCUGGAAUCCACCAGAUUUGAGAGAAAUCCUAAAAGUUGUGUUUGAUUAAUUGAUUGAAAGAUGAUCACAAUGGAAGCAGCUAAUGGCUUAAAUAAUCUAAUUACAACUCCUAAGACAACUCAAAGUCUUAGAUAAUUAAACAAAAGUCAAACAACCUUAUUUAGACGGAAAAUGAAAUGUCCAAUUUUUUAUUACAGAACUUAAAACACAAUUUUGAAUUGCAACGUUCUUUUCUUUACAAAAAGGUAUCAUGCGCCCAAAUUGGAGCUCAGAUGCCAAAACUGCAAAUUCCCACUACGUCUCUUUGUCUUCCGUCAGUCCAUUUUCUCUUCAAUCCACUUGACCAUUUGUUCUACAUCAUAAAGUUAUAAGGAAGUAAAGAAAGAAAGAAGGUAAAGGUUGUAAGAGUAAUGCUACACUUACAUAUUUGUACCAUCUUUCUAAUAAAGGAAGGAGUCACUUAUCUAUUAGAGAGAUGAUACAAAUGUAGUAUGAAAAAUAUGAUAAGAGUAAAAUCUUUUAGAUAGUAAAGGUAGUAAAGUUGGAAAGGCAUUGCACACCAAAAGGUUUCAAAAUUUGUGCUUUGGUUGAUAUACUUUAAUUUGGAGAGAUUUUUUAAUGUGCUUGUAAUACGGGAUGGUACAUCACAUGUCAUUAUAUAUGUGGAGACACUUGAAAAAUAAAAUUUCUCUCCAUAUAUAUGAUGACAUGUAGUGUAUCAUCCUGCAUUUCGGGUACAAUGAAAUAUUUCCCAUUAAUUUGGCAUAAACAGCCAACAGAAAAUAAAAUUUGGGGACGUAUUGGAUUCCAAGGUUUUUUGCACAAGAAGUUAGACAAGCAAAACAUAAAUGAUUAUUCGUUCCCAAGCAUAACAUAAAUGAAGAAGAUUACAACUUACUAUACAUUGCAACUUUAUAUUUGGAACUUAAUGAACCAAAAGUGUCCAAAAGAAAAAGGAUAAUGAACCAAAAAGUGUCCAAAAGAAAAAGAAUGACCUCUCAGACCGCUCUAUGUUCCCCAGAAUAUCUUCUACUUUCAAGCACAUAUAUUAUCUUGAUCUUCUUACUCUGCUGCCGUUCAGUACUGUUCUUCUUCCAGUUUCUCAGCUUAGAAUGGCGGGAAAAGACAAAGCAUGCAAGUCACCACUCGUGUGUGUGUGGUGGCAGUGAUCAUCAUGUAGAAAUCAUAGUGAACGAUCAGGGCAACAGGACCACUCCAUCUUAUGUUGCUUUUACAAAUACUGAGCGAUUGAUAGGUGAUGGUGCAUUCAACCAGGUCAUAAAAAACCCAACCAAUACACCAUCUUCGGUAUGUUCAUCUCUUCCUGUAUGUAUCCAUCUACAUAUAUACCAUUUUCCCAUUAAUUUAUUUCUCAAAUUAGUUUUUAUUUUUCUGAUAUUUAUAACAGUAUUUGAAGUUAUAAAAUGUGGGGUGUUGAUGAUAAGUUAUAAUUUAGUUUAAUGAUUUAUGAUAAUUAAAAAGGUGUAGUACAUUUACAAGGUUUUUGCAACAAUUACAAAGUUUUGGAACAAUUUGCAGAAAACAUAAAUUGGUUUUUGGAACCUUCCAACAAUGCCUUUUGCAACAUAAAGUAAUUUGCUGAAGAUUCAAAAAUGAGUUGCUGACCUUACUUAAAAUUUGAAUUUGCCAACCAGGUCCAACUGCUAUAAUGGUUAAACGCGCAGUGAUCAAUGACAAAUGGCUGCGCAUUUGCUUAUGCUGAAAAUUGGGUCUUGACAGAGCAAUUGAUUAUGGAGAUGUGAUAAUUUGGGGGAUUGUUUCGACUACUACCAUAGCUGACAGUGUCUUUGAAGUGGAACCACCGCAGACACUCAUCUUUGGACUUUGAAACCGAUGGUCAACACUGCCAGCAAUUCAAAGGAAGCAACCGUGGAGUUGGUGACUCCCUGGGAGGUAAAAAAUGUGAGAAGGCAAAACUGGAGCGGCUUUCAUGGAGCACUGACAUUGGACAUUAUUGUUUGCCCGUUAGGUUUUAUAACAAAUGAUUGAAACAAGAGAAGAAAUGGAGGCUUUCAUUUUAAUGACCAAGACAUGGACAGUUGACUGACGUGCAUCAGGGUGGAAUUUGUUUGCUAUUGAUGCUGAAAUUUGGCAACUCAACAUGGAUUUUGCUUCGAAGCAAGGGACAUGGAGCUUUGUGGGUUAAGUGUUGAAGAUGAAAGGAGCUUGCUUGCAAGGCUGAACAAAGGAAGGGCAAUGGUAUGGCCGCUUUUUUCAUGCUGUUUGUUGUUUUGAACUUUGCUAAGCUUCAAAUCUCUAUUGGACGUCACCCCUCUAUCACUUGGGAUAAGGACUAAAGGAAAAAAUGUCAUGUCAGUUGUGAUUCCAAGAAACACUAGGAAGCCGGUCAAAAUAAUCAAAGGUUUUACUACGCUCUAUGACAACCAACGUAUGCUGUUACUUUCAAAGGCAUUUAUGAGAGGGUAGAGACAACCAACGUGAUGUUACUUUUGCCAUUUAUGAGGGUGAGAGUAGAAUGACAAAAGAUAAUAACUAUCUGGGAGCAUUUGAACUCAAUGACGUUCCUCCAGCUCCCAGGGGUGUUCCUAACUUUGAUGUUGGCUUUGAGAUUGAUGAAAAUGGCAUCCUGCAUGUCUCUGCUGAGGACAUGUCCACCGGCCAAAAGAAGGGGAUCACAUUCAACUCUGACAGAAGAACUUAUGAAGGAAUUGAGACAUUGAUUUAAAAGUCAGUUGACUGAUGUAAGAAACGUUAAUUUCUCGCAUGCUAUAGACCGAAAUAUCUUGUAUUAACCAUAUUUCCUGUCUCACUGGGUUUGCUCAAGUCCUAAUCUUGACUCUUCAGUCUAAAGUUGGUGUUACUGUCUUUAAUUAGGACUGGUCUUUACUUGAAUUAUGGCUCAUGCAGACAUGAAUAGAACAUUGGAUUCCAAGGGAAACAUAAUUUGACAAAGAAAGACAAAGUGGAGAAGCUCGUCCUCUUCAUGCAUAUCACACUAUUAUACUGACUUGGGUUUAUAUAAAACCUAAGACACUGAUUAGCGAAGAGAUGAAAACAUACAUCAAUUAGACGACACCAUUUACUAAGGAAAUGCACUGAUCUGUGUAGAGUAAUUCUAUUCAAUUUGAAAAGGACCAUACACAAUGUACUGCCACUUUGUAUAAAGAUGGCACCAAUUUGAAUAAACAUUUACCGUUUGAUAAAAACGGUUAAGAAUUUUUCAUUCAAACAUCAUAAAAAUUGUAAAUAUUAUAUAAUAUUAUAAAACAUAUAAUAUAUAAAUAAAUUCCAACAAGAGCUUCUCACCCAUCCUCCUGAUUUCAACUUUGAAAUUGCAGAUUCAUGCUAUGUUGUUUGUGUAACAUAUGAACUAGUAAAUAUAUAUGUGACUAGGCAUAAAACCACAGUUGUUCUAUCAUUUCUCAGCUGGUAAAGCUUAUUUUUCUGUCUACCAAUUUUCCAAAGCUGCUUUAAAAAGUCAUUGAAUCAGAAGAAUUCUCGGGGAGUACGUAGCUACUGAGAUCUGUGCUAGGUUUCAAUGUGCAACACUGCAAGUCCACUUUCAGUAUGUGUAACUAAUAUGCCGUUUUGUUUUCUGUUCAAAUGUUCAGUACACAAGUAAAUACCAAACUUUAUAUACUAGCUAUUGUUUGUCGCAGUUUUGUAGAACUAAAUAAAGUUGUAAAGUAUUCUCAAAUAAAAAAGAAGGUACAGUUUUAAGGUAGUAAAGGUAGUAAAGGAGGUAAAGUUGGAAUUGUAGUGAAGAUAAAGUGACGUAGUACGAAGUUAAAGGAGUACAAGUGUAAUUCUUUGAAAGAUGAUUACAAUGGAAGCAGCUAAUGACUUAAAUAAUCUGAUUACAACUCCUAGGCCAACUCAAAGGUCUAAUGUAAUUAAAUGAAAGCCAAACGACAUUAAUUAGAUGACAAAUGAAAAGUCCAAUUUUUAUUACAGAACUUAAAACGCAAUUUUGAACUGUAGCGUUCUUUUCUUUCAAAAAACAUAUGGGCCCAAAUUGGAGCUUAGACGCCAAAACUGCAAAUUCCUGUUGUGUCCUUUUGUCUUUCGUUGAUCCAUUUCCUCUUCUUUCCACUUGGCCCAUUGUUCUACAUAAUAAAGUUAUAAGGUAUUAAAGAAAGAAGGUACAUGUAGUAAAGGGAGUAAGAGUAAUGCUACACUUACCAUAUUUAUACCAUCUCUUUAAUGGAAGAAGGGUCAUCUCUCUAUUAGAAAUAUGGUACAAAUGCGGUAUGAAAAAUUAAAUUAAAACAAAACAAAAAGGGGCCCACCCACUCUUCUCCCACCCGAGACCUCCAUCAAGCAACUCCACCGGGGGGAGUAGCCCAAUGGACCGACAAGAGAACAGGAGCCAAUAACCCCAACAAUGAUGUCCAACCCAUGCGGGCGAUUGCGUAGGAGGGGGCCCGAGCGAGAGGCCCAGCUCGAAUCGGUGGCCCGAGAGCCCGAGGUGGAGGUGAUGCAACGCUGACGUCAGGGCGACGUCAGCCACAAUUUAAUUUUUUUUUUGCGUCAGGCGCGUGCAUAACACAUGCGCGUGGGGGCACGUCCCCGACAGGUUUUCAGGCGCUGGGGCCCAUAACGCAGACCUCAGUAAUGUUACUGCUGGAGGCCACGUGGCACCUUCGCAUGCGUUGGAUUUCAACGGUUACUUUUUCUAGACUAUUGGAUUUCCAAAGGUAAAAAAAAACAUUCAAACCUUCAUUAGUUUCAACUGUUGGAUUUGAGAUCAACGAUCCAUGUUAUUCGCCUUUAUAAAUUAAAAAAAAAUAACAGUAAAAACAUAUGAAAUUUUACCAUUGUACCACGUGGCACAAUCUGGAGGGUUGGAUUUAAAAUUUUUUUAAUCCAACGAUAGAAAUUAAUUAUGUGAAUAAAAAAUCAGAAAAAAAAAUUGAUUUUAUUUUUUUUAUAAAUACCUUUUCAUUAUCUUCUACCUUACACCACAAUUUCAUAUUUUCUCAUAUACUUUCAACCACAUUCCAAUCUUUCUCUUAAAGUUUCAAUCCAAUUUGUUUCCAACAAAAUGACUAAUGAUAUAGGUAUGAAUUGGACGCUUAUUGAAGAUGUUACGUUGUGUUCUAGCUGGGUUGAAGUAACUCAUGGUCCAAUUACGGGUAAUGAGAUGUCGUUGCGAGAAAUGUAGAGUCUUAUUCAUACCAAUUAUCUUGAGAAAAUUGGUGGGAAAAUAACAAAAAAAUCGAUGUCCAGUCGUUGGAGAAUACUCAGCUAAUCGUUUAGUCUUUGGAGAGACGUGUUACACCCGCCCCUAAUUUAAAUCGUAUUUUUACUAAGUUUGAGUUUAUCUUGUUUUUAAAAUUGUUUUGGGUCUUAAAUGGUGUGCCCAAGGGCCCACCCUCUGUUUUGUCCCCCGUUCCUUUCCCUUUCUUUUAUUUAUUUUCUUUUUCUUCUGAAAAGUCUCUCUUUCUCUCUUCUCCCUCUUCUCUCCCUCGGCACAACUCUCUCCCUCUCACCCGUGCCCUUCCUCCCUGCAAAUCCUCACUUCCACACCACAUCAAUGAAGAUGACAGCACCCAUCACAACCUCUGCAGUUUUCUCUCACCUGUUGUAGAAAGGACGACGAAAUCCCAGAAGCCUCCGACGAGCAUCGCCCCUUUCGAGGCAAUUUUCGGCCAAACUACGGCGAGUUGGCCGGCGUACAAGGUAUCAAUCUCUUCGUCUCGUCAAGUACUACAACUUUCCUUUUUGUUUCACCCAAUUUAGUUGAGUAUUGAAGAAGUUAUACUCAUUUGAAUCUUACCCAGUUUCCGGCGAGUCCGACGGCUUUCGAUGCGUUUUUCGGUCAAACCACGGCGAGUUAGACGUCAGGUACCAUUCUCUUCGUCUCUUCAAGGGCUACAACUUUCGUUUUUGUCUCGCUUGAUUUCGUUGAAUUUUGACAAAGUUAUGGCCGUUUAAAGAUUGUGCAUUUUCCGGCCGAAUUCCGGCUUUCUCUCCCAUUGGGUCCGGCGACCCACCAAAACCAAGCCCUUUGGGCCUUCCCUGCUGAGCCCAACCCUUUUGGUUGUGAGGCCUUUGUGUUGGAAAGUCAAUGAGAUUUUACCUUAUAAGGAUUGAUUUAGAAGAGAAAUUGAUUUGUAAUUUAUAUGUAAUUGAUACAUUAGUUAGUUUCCUUUGUUGUAUAGCAAGAUUGUAGGACGUCAGUUGUAUAAAUUAAGUUCAUCAAAUCAAUGGAAAAUAUCCUGGCAGAAUAUUUUUCCAUACCAAUUUUAUAUGGUACCAGAGCAGGUUAAUUCCUAGCUCUUUGCUUCCGCCAUUGAUCUCCUAGCUUAGAAUAUUGCGAGUUUCUUUGAGUUGUCCUCUUCACAAUGGGCAGCAAUCAAGACAUCAAAGAUGAAAGCAAGACUAAUGCUUCUCAUCCAGUUUUUCUUGAUCACUCCAAUAUUUCUUGUAGUCUUCCUAAAGGUCUGUCAAAGUUAGUGCCUGAUCUUCGUUGGAUUAUUGAUAGUGGGGCAACGGACCACAUCGUCUCAACCCCUAACUUACUAAAUAGGAAAGUUAUGAAGCCUUCUAUGCCACAAGUGCUUCUUCCCAGUGGAGAGAGUGCACCCAUCACUUCAACGGGGACUCUAUCUCUUAACUCUUACCUCUAUUUACGCGAUGUCUUAUGUGUGCCUACCUUUCAAGUUAAUCUUAUGUCUGUGAGUCGGCUUACAGAAGGAUUACAAUGUUCAGUGACUUUUUUUCCUCGUUGGUGUAUUUUGCAGGACUUGGCUACGAGGACGACGAUUGGCUUGGGUAAAGAACGUAAUGGACUUUACUAUCUCGUGGCAUUGGCGUCUAACAAAGCACCUUCCAUCCCUCGCCCAACCUGUCACCUAGCUAUUUCUGCUGCUGAUUUGUGGCACCGUCGUUUAGGACACAUCUCUUCAUCCCGUUUGCAGUUUUUAGCCAAGUCAUCGUUAGAUUGUCCAUCACAAUUCAAUGGUGUGUGUGAUGCUUGCCAUUUGGCUAAACAGACUCGCCUUCCUUUUCCCAUUAGUUCAAUCUCAACUUCAAGACCAUUUUCCCUUAUUCAUUGUGACAUUUGGGGUCCUCAUAAAAUUCCUACCAUGUCUGGGGCACACUAUUUUUUUACUAUAGUGGAUGAUUAUUCCCGUUUCACUUGGGUUUCCCUAAUGCACCAUAAACAUGAAACACAAGGCCUACUCAAAUCUUUUUUUUCUAUGGUUCGUACCCAGUUUAAUACUAAUAUCCAAAACAUCCGUGUGGAUAAUGGGGGAGAGUUUGUUUCGUUGAAAGAUUUUUUCCUAGAACAAGGGACCAUUUACCAACAUACAUGUGUCUAUACUCCCCAACAAAAUGGGGUAGUCGAGCGCAAACAUCGCCAUAUCCUUGAAGUGGCCCGGGCUUUGCGAUUUCAAGCACAUCUUCCUCUUCCUUUUUGGGGGGAAUGUAUCUACACAGCGGUUUACUUGAUUAACCGUUUACCUACUUUGCUUCUUUCAAAGAAAACCCCCUUCGAAAAGCUGCAUAAUAAAUUCCCCUCUUAUAGCCACAUGAAGGUUUUUGGGUGUCUUGCCUUUGCCACUACUGUUGGACCUACUACCAAAUUUGACCCUAGGGCCAAGAAGUGUGUUUUUCUCGGUUACCCACGAGGGCAAAAGGCCUACAAGCUUUAUGAUUUGUCUACCAAAAAAAUCUUUACAAGUCGUGAUGUUGUGUUUCACGAAAAUGUUUACCCUUUUCAAGGUCAAGAUCACAGCACCACCAAAUCUAUCAUUCCCACUCCUGAACCAAUCCUUGAUUUGACUAGUCAACCACAAGAACUUCAUGACUCAUCAACAACCACUCCACAAAACCCCCAAGAACCUGACACCUCACUCACACCACCUCAUGACUUAACCAUUGUACCUAGUCAACCACAAGAACUUCAUGACUCAUCAACAACCACUCCACACAACCCCCAAGAACCUGACACCUCAUUCACACCACCUCAUGACCCAACUUUGACUUCUCCUGCGUCACCACCACAACCUGCCCCCUCAACUCCACCACCACAACCUAUUCGCCAGUCAACACGUCUUCGAGGUCCUCCUACCUACCUCAAGGAUUUUGUCUGCAACCAGGCCGCAUUGCGGGGACCCAAACAAUCGUUGUCUUCGUCUUCAAGUCUCACACCAGGUACACGUUAUCCGCUUUGUAAUUUCCUUUCAUACCAUCGAUAUUCACCCAAACAUUUGGCCUUUAUUAGCCAAAUCAGUCGCGCUGUGGAACCCCAUUCUUUUGCAGAGGCUAAAUCUGAUCCCCGAUGGCAACAAGCCAUGCAAUCUGAAAUUGAUGCGUUGGAAUCCACUAAUACAUGGACCUUUACCAUUCUCCUUCCCGGGAAGCAACUCAUUGGCUGCAAAUGGGUCUACAAAAUCAAGCAUCGUUCUGAUGGCUCUAUUGAAAGGUAUAAGGCUCGUCUUGUUGCCAAAGGUUUCACCCAAACUGAAGGCAUUGAUUACCAUGAUACAUUUUCUCCUACUGCAAAAAUGACUACUGUUCGUUGCUUGCUUGCUCUUGCUGCUGCACGUAAUUGGUCACUUAAUCAGCUCGAUGUCAAUAACGCAUUCCUUCAUGGUGAUCUUCAAGAAGAGAUUUACAUGUCUCCUCCACCUGGUUUUCAGCGACAGGGGGAGAACCUAGUAUGUCGCCUUAACAAAUCAUUGUAUGGCCUCAAGCAAGCCUCUCGCCAAUGGUUUGCAAAGUUCACGGAAGCUGUUCACGCUGCUGGUUAUGUUCAGUCUAAAGCGGACUACUCUCUCUUCACUCGUAAAUGUGGAAAGUCUUUUACUGCCCUUCUGAUUUAUGUUGACGACAUAUUAAUCACAGGUAAUGAUGAAAAAGCUAUCUCUUCCCUCAAACAGUUUCUUCACACUAGGUUUCGUAUCAAAGACCUUGGGGAUUUGAAAUUCUUUCUGGGGAUUGAAGUCUCUCGUUCAAAGAAAGGCAUAUGUAUUUCACAAAGAAAAUAUGCUUUGGAUAUACUCAAAGAUGCUGGCUUGCAGGGUACACGACCUGUCAAUUUUCCAAUAGAGCAAAACCUCAAGCUCUCAGAUUCUGGCGAAAUACUCAAUGAUCCAUCUCGAUACCGAAGGUUAGUAGGACGCUUAAUAUAUCUAACCAUCACUCGACCUGAUAUCACCUACACAGUUCACGUUCUCAGUAGGUUCAUGCAUGAACCUCGCAAACCACAUCUUGAUGCAGCUCUCAGGCUCUUACGGUACAUCAAGACUACUCCAGGUCAAGGCUUGUACUUUUCAGCAGAAAAUAAUCUAAAAUUUAGAGCUUAUAGUGACUCUGAUUGGGGAGGUUGUCGACUUACUCGGAGAUCCACUACUGGGUACUGCAUUUUUAUGGGAAAUUCAUUAAUAUCUUGGCGGUCCAAAAGACAAAAGACAGUUUCACUUUCUUCAGCCGAAGCUGAAUAUCGAGCCAUGGCAGGGACUAGUUGUGAACUUACAUGGUUACGAUACCUUUUACAUGAUUUGCAACUACCUCAUUAUGAACCUGUGACGCUUUUCUGUGACAACAAAGCAGCAUUACACAUCGCUGCUAAUCCGGUUUUUCAUGAGAGAACUCGACACAUCGAGAUGGAUUGCCAUUUUAUUAGAGACAAGAUUCAAGAAGGUUCAAUUGUGACUAGUCAUAUUCGUUCUGCACAACAGCCAGCUGAUGUGUUUACCAAGGCUUUGGGGGAAGUUGCUUUUACUGGAAUUUUGCGCAAGUUAGGAGUUCUUGACAUUCACUCUCCAACUUGAGGGGGAGUGUUGGAAAGUCAAUGAGAUUUUACCUUAUAAGGAUUGAUUUAGAAGAGAAAUUGAUUUGUAAUUUAUAUGUAAUUGAUACAUUAGUUAGUUUCCUUUGUUGUAUAGCAAGAUUGUAGGACGUCAAUUGUAUAAAUUAAGUUCAUCAAAUCAAUGGAAAAUAUCCUGGCAGAAUAUUUUCCAUACCAAUUUUAUACUUUGGGCCAUGUGUGUGUGUGUUUUAGAUUGUGUGGGUGUGUGGGUGUGUACCCGUGUGUGUGUGUAUGUAUAUUUAGUGUGUGUGUGUGCUGUGUGAGUGUGUGAGUUUGUGUGUGUGUGUUUAAGUGUGUGUGCGUGUGUGUAUAUGCAUGACAUGCAUGCAUGUGCAUGCCGUGCAUGUGUAUGUGUGUUUGUGGUGUGUAUGUGUUUGGGCUUAGGCCCAAACCCCAUUUCUUCACCCUAAACCCUUUUAAUCCAAAAAUCUUAGGACCCUAAACCCAAAACCCAAUAAAUCCUAAUCCUAGUUAACCUAAACCUAAACCCUAAUCCAGAUGUCAAGCCUAAAACCCAUUUGACCUAAUUUGACCGUUGACCCCCGGUCAACGUUGACUUUAGGGUGGACUUUUCAGGUUUUCGUCCGGAAGCCUUCUUAGGGUAAUUCGACGUUCUGAAUCCGUUUCCAAUGUCCGUUUUCCCAAAUUCAAUUAUUAUAAUAGAGUUUUAUUAAUUGGACCCUUUAUGUGCUUAGGGGCAAUAUUUGUGACGUUUUCGUGGUUGCUAGUUUGCAUGGCUCUUCGGCGGCUAAGUACUGUGAGUGGACCCCUUCUAAAAUGCAUGUUUUAUAGUAGAAAUGCAUACAUGAAAAGCAUGAUUUGAUGAUUACGUUUUACGAAACGUUUUGUAAGAUAACAUGCUUACUGAGGCCACUUGAAUUAUUACUAUUUUUCCUAUAACCCGUGUUCUUAUAGAAUAUCCGAUGGAUGACGAUAUGAUAUUUAGAACAUGUUUCGAACACCUCUUUAUAGUAUAGAUGAUGGAUGACUUUAUACUAUGAAGUUGUUUUUCAAUAUAUAUAUGUUCAAUGGUUUCGUACUUACCUAGUGGUCCUUUCCGCUACGGGACGUAGGGAUAGAUUCCGGUCCGUCUCGGGCGACGGUUUGGUGUUGGCAUAGGGCCUGGAGUGUGUUUCCUCUGGCUAUUUAGCACAGAGACGGGGAGCCGGCAUGGGGCCUGAAGUGUAUUUUCCUUUGACUGUCUGCUCAGAGACGGGGAGCCGGCAUAGGGCCUGGGGGUUAUCGGACAAUUCACUAGUGAUUAUUAUAUAUGAGUUAUGAUUUGAGAUACUGCACAUCAUGCUAGGUUUCGGAAAACCUAUGUUUAUCAUUAUAUAUGUGUUUUCAUAAACCUGGGGGUUAGUACGUUGAUAACUGUUUUAUUAUAUAUAUAUCAACUUGGUCCACUCAUGUUUGUUUUGCGCCCCCUUCAGGGCUUAGAAUCGAGGCAUACAAUCCCGGCAUCCAGGCACUUCCGCAUCGAUGUCUUCGAGUUCUUUUGGUGUGGGACCCAUUCCUUUGUUCAUUAAAUUUUAUAUCGUUUUUUUUGUAUUCUAGUUAGUCAUAUGCUUUGAACACGUUCCUUAAAUGCUUAUUCUUUUAUAUUUAUAAGUCUUAGUUAUCCUUUAUUUUCACCAAUUGCAUCAAUAAAUGGCUUUCGUCACCCUCGGGUGUCGGCCAGCACGUGCCUAUCCUGGUAUUCGGGAAAUAUCGGGAUCGGGGCGUGUCAGAUUGGUAUCAGAGCGUGGUUUGUUCAGAGCAUACUUAGGAUCCUCUUCUAUUAUCGUAAAGUGUUGGUUUUGACAUCAUUUGGAUGUCCAGACUUCUAGAUUUGGUGCCAUUCGGCGCAGUCGUACGAAUCUUCCUCUGUUUGAAUUGUCACAUUCGGGUUGAUAUACAAGAAUUUGUGUCGGGAUUGUGCCUCAUCGGUGACGUGUUUGAAUUGUUGGACGACUUUCAACUUCGGAUCGAUGCUCUGCGACGUGCAUUCCCUGGGAAUGACGGGUAGAGUUGGUGUUACCUGGAAGCGGCAUGUUUUAGAAAUCUCAGUUUAAGGAAGUCUGGUCAAGACCAGCUGUAAAUCCGAAAUGGCGAUGCCACUCUGCAACAUGCGUUCCCUAGGAAUUGCGAGCAGAGUCGGCUUUGCAUUGAAAUCUUGGGAAACGGAAAAAUUUUGGCAGUACGAAUUGGUUAAAACCAACUGGAGAUCUGAAGCGAUGAUAUCACUCUGCAACAUGCGUUCCCUAGGAAUGGCGGGCAGAGUCAUAUCUAUUGGAAAUUGCUUGAAAUAUUCAAAGUGCGUGCUAAAGAAGCGAGUAAGUGCUAGUGGUGACGACGGUUAGUAGGUGGUAGUUGGUGGGAGCAAAUCAAUGUUCUCGGACUCAUUACCACCGAAGAAAUUUGGGUGAAUCUUUAUAACAAUUCUCGGCGAUUGUUCUAUCGAUUACCUUCUUGUUUACUCAAUGAAGAAGACAAGUUCACGAACCUUUGAUCGUCGACUUCACAUCAAAUCCUUCGGGAGUUGACUUCGUCUAGAGAUUACACUUUUCUUGGGAAACUCCUCGGUAGCAGAUGUUGUUCCCAUCAAUUUCCCAAAAUGGAGUUACGAUUCUCGUUGUUGUGGUAGUUGGACUUGGAUGAUGAAGAUCUAGUUUUGUUUGGAUAAACAAAUUCCUUGAAUUUCACCUGGGUCUGGUACUCGGUGGUAAAAUGCCCCUUGUCCUUGUACUUUUCGGUAGAGGUAAACUUAACCUCUUGCUUGUAGCCCAACUGACCAGUGCUCUUGUCCGUUAACUGUUUAGCCUUGUAAUUUUCAGUAUAAUGGCUUGAGACUCUACCAUAUUCAUCAUUGUACGAAGAUCGAGCUUGACUCUAAACUUCUCUGGACUCAUUGAGCUUUGGUUUGCUUAGAGGCAUCACUUUAAGGUAGCCAAUCGUGUCACUGCAUGCAUACGCAGACUGCUUCAUAUCUUUCUUCAUCGUCAUUCUGUUGAUUCAGAGGUUCUAUGUUUAAUUUUAAACUUUGAAACAGCUCUCACAAAGUAUUGUGAAUUUCGAAAUGUCUUUGGCCUCGUCAAAUCUUAUUAACAGUUCUUAACUAUUCUUGAGAUUAGACCUAUUCCUUUUGGCUAAGAAACCCGUCAACCUUAUUGUGAUGAUUAGCCAAAUAAUCAUAAACAGUGACUUCUAUUUCUGCAUCUUCAUUUUCCUUCGCUUGUUUGUUUCUCAAUGUAAAUUGAAUCAUGCCGGAACAAAAAUAAAUAAAUUUGUUCUCAGCAUGGUUUCUGGUUUAAAUCCCGAUAUCUUGUACUCCAGUUUUAAUGGACUUGUUUUGACUCUCAAAUUCUUGAGUGUUCUUUUAGCCUUACCGACAUGUUUUCUCGCUCAAUCAGUGAGGAAUUCACGAUCGAUCGAUUCGGCGGAAGUGUGCACCCAAUUCUUAUCGUUUUGGAUAGGAAUGAUGGGAGUAUAAUAUUUUGACAAGCUUACCAGACUUACCAGAAAGAGUUCCUCGUGGGUGUGAAGUUUGAGUCGUCUUUUGGUAAGAGACCGGUGAAAGAUUGUGAUGCAGAUGAGUAGCAUAUUGCAUCACUAUCUUCACGCUAAUUGAAUGGUCACCAUUCAUUAUCUUGCUACAAUUCAUAACCAUCAUAUCUUACUCUAGUACAUCUUUUCGAUGAUGUGAUGUGUUCGCCUCAACGCAGCUUUCCACUACCUCUCACCAGGAUCAUUCGGUUCGAGAGCACAUGGGCGUGAGGUUUGAGCGGUCUUUUAGUAAGAGUUGGUUGAAGGUUUUAGUACAGAAGGUCAGCAUAUUGUAUCACCAUCUUACUAGAAUUCAUAGGCAUCACAUCGGUUAUUUUCCAACGAUAUGUGUUCAUCUCAACGCAUAUUUCCACUGCUUCACUUCUUAACCUUAUUGUUGUGAGUAGGUGGAUGUCGAAACACUUAUAGCAGAUCUGUUUGGUGCACUCUGGAAUGACACCACCGCGUUGUCGAUGUGAGAAUCGGAAGAUCUUUAAACUUCUCUUGAAUGGGGUGUGCUCUCAUGGGGUUUUUACGUUGAUCACUUGAGAGUCCUUCUUCUUUCCACCAACUUUGACCUUGUUUGACUAGAAGUCUACAACUAAGCAAAAAUGGAGAGGUGGAUUGAGCAUUACAACAACUCCCAAGAGAUACUGUGUGUUGAGGAAGAUGACUUCUCGUUUUCUGCUUGGUUCGAGCUUUUGGGUCUACUACUAACAUGGUAGCCACUUCCCUUGAAUCCCAAGGUACAGUUUUCAAAAGGGUUCUUUACUGGUGAAGCACUGGAGUAGUUAGUCACAUUUGGAAGAACUGAGGAGGAUAGGAUGCUUGGUGAUGGAUAAAGUUUUACAAGGACAGUUCUUAUUUUGUUCGGUUUGAGUAUGGCACUUGUUGUUGCAUGGUACGAGAGUUGGUACAUGCAACACUGGUUAGCAGAUGAGUAUUGUGAGCUAGUAGUCGGAGGAUUGAAUUUUCGACGUGUAAAAUUGUGCACCCUCAGUUAAUUACUGCUUGCUUAUCGAGACAACAAAUGUGUGAUCGAUAUCACAGGCGGCCGACUGUUGUAUCGAUAACUUAUUUGUUGGGUUCGUUAAGCAAGUGGGCAGGAAGAUCCGUCUACGGCAAUUGUUACAGAUUCGUUAUUCUUGGGAUUCGACCCAAAGGCACAUCUUUUCUCGGAGUACGUGAAGUUACGAAUUCUUGGGCGAGACCCACUCUCAUCUUUCAGUUUUGGUUUUCAGUAUAAGUAUUUUAACUUCAUUUACUUUGGUUAUUUGUUUUUGGUGUUACAAAUGUUUUGAGGAAAGUGUUUUCUGUUUUCAAUUUUAAAUUCAGCUCGAGUUUUUGACCUAUAUGUUAGUACAUAUCUAUUUUUGACGCUAUAGUAUUUUGCGUACUUAUUUUUGACCUUAUGUCAAUAUAUGUUUUUGACCUUAUAUCUUAUUAAUGUUUUCUACUUUUACACUGAUGGGGAUGAAAGUAAGAGUUUGGAGGCAUGAUAGAGGAUUUUGCAACCCGCUCGCGACGGUGUGGCAUAUUCUCUUUGAUGCACCCACUCUGACUUGAUUUCUCUUUAGACAUAUAUUCUUUUUACUAUUUACGUGUAUUUCAGUUUAGUAGGUGAUUUUAAAUUUCGGGGACGAAAUUCUUUUAAGGGGGUAGAUUGUUACACCCGCCCCUAAUUUAAAUCGUAUUUUUACUAAGUUUGAGUUUAUCUUGUUUUUAAAAUUGUUUUGGGUCUUAAAUGGUGUGCCCAAGGGGCCCACCCCCUGUUUUGUCCCCCGUUCCCUUUCCCUUUCUUUUAUUUAUUUUCUUUUUCUUCUGAAAAGUCUCUCUUUCUCUCUUCUUCCUCUUCUCUCCCUCGGCACAACUCUCUCCCUCUCACCCGUGCCCUUCCUCCCUGCAAAUCCUCACUUCCACACCACAUCAAUGAAGAUGACAGCACCCAUCACAACCUCUGCAGUUUUCUCUCACCCGUUGUAGAAAGGACGACGAAAUCCCAGAAGCCUCCGACGAGCAUCGCCCCUUUCGAGGAAAUUUCCGGCCAAACUACGGCGAGUUGGUCGGCGUACAAGGUAUCAAUCUCUUCGUCUCGUCAAGUACUACAACUUUCCUUUUUGUUUCACCCAAUUUAGUUGAGUAUUGAAGAAGUUAUACUCAUUUGAAUCUUACCCAGUUUCUGGCGAGUCCGACAGAUUUCGAUGCGUUUUCCGGUCAAACCACGGCGAGUUAGACGUCGUGUGAGGUACCAUUCUCUUCGUCUCUUCAAGGGCUACAACUUUUGUUUUUGUCUCGCUUGAUUUCGUUGAGUUUUGACAAAGUUAUGGCCGUUUAAAGAUUGUGCAUUUUCCGGCCGAAUUCCGGCUUUCUCUCCCAUUGGGUCCGGCGACCCACCAAAACCAAGCCCAUUGGGCCUUCCCUGCUGAGCCCAACCCUUUUGGUUGUGAGGCCUUUGGGCCAUGUGUGUGUGUGUUUUAGAUUGUGUGGGUGUGUGGGUGUGUACCCGUGUGUGUGUGUGUAUAUUUAGUAUGUGUGUGCUGUGUGAGUGUGUGAGUUUGUGUGUGUGUGUUUAAGUGUGUGUGCGUGUGUGUAUAUGCAUGCCAUGCAUGCAUGUGCAUGCCGUGCAUGUGUAUGUGUGUUUGUGGUGUGUAUGUGUUUGGGCUUAGGCCCAAACCCCAUUUCUUCACCCUAAACCCUUUUAAUCCAAAAACCUUAGGACCCUAAACCCAAAACCCAAUAAAUCCUAAUCCUAGUUAACCUAAACCUAAACCCUAAUCCAGAUGUCAAGCCUAACACCCAUUUGACCUAAUUUGACCGUUGACCCCCGGUCAACGUUGACUUUAGGGUGGACUUUUCAGGUUUUCGUCCGGAACCCUUCUUAGGGUAAUUCGACGUUCUGAAUCCGUUUCCAAUGUCCGUUUUCCCAAAUUCAAUUAUUAUAAUAGAGUUUUAUUAAUUGGACCCUUUAUGUGCUUAGGGGCAAUAUUUGUGACGUUUUCGUGGUUGCUAGUUUGCGUGGCUCUUCGGCGGCUAAGUACUGUGAGUGGACCCCUUCUAAAAUGCAUGUUUUAUAGUAGAAAUGCAUACAUGAAAAGCAUGAUUUGAUGAUUACGUUUUACGAAACGUUUUGUAAGAUAACAUGCUUACUGAGGCCACUUUGAAUUAUUACUAUUUUUCCUAUAACCCGUAUUCUUAUAGAAUAUCCGAUGGAUGACGAUAUGAUAUUUAGAACAUGUUUCGAACACCUCUUUAUAGUAUAGAUGAUGGAUGACUUUAUACUAUGAAGUUGUUUUUCAAAAUAUAUAUGUUCAAUGGUUUCGUACUUACCUAGUGGUCCUUUCCGCUACGGGACGUAGGGAUAGAUUCCGGUCCGUCCCGGGCGACGGUUUGGUGUUGGCAUAGGGCCUGGAGUGUGUUUCCUCUGGCUAUUUAGCACAGAGACGGGGAGCCGGCAUGGGGCCUGAAGUGUAUUUUCCUUUGACUGUCUGCUCAGAGACGGGGAGCCGGCAUUGGGCCUGGGGGUUAUCGGACAAUUCACUAGUGAUUAUUAUAUAUGAGUUAUGAUUUGAGAUACUGCACAUCAUGCUAGGUUUCGAAAAACCUAUGUUUAUCAUUAUAUAUGUGUUUUCAUAAACCUGGGGGUUAGUACGUUGAUAACUGUUUUAUUAUAUAUAUAUCAACUUGGUCCACUCAUGUUUGUUUUGCGCCCCCUUCAGGGCUUAGAAUCGAGGCAUACAAUCCCGGCAUCCAGGCACUUCCGCAUCGGCCUCUUCGAGUUCUUUUGGUGUGGGACCCAUUCCUUUGUUCAUCAAAUUUUAUAUCGUUUUUUUUUGUAUUCUAGUUAGUCACAUGCUUUGAACACGUUCCUUAAAUGCUUAUUCUUUUAUAUUUAUAAGUCUUAUUUUCAGCAAUUGCAUCAAUAAAUGGCUUUCGUCACCCUCGGGUGUCGGCCAGCACGUGCCUAUCCUGAUAUUCGGGAAAUAUCGGGAUCGGGGCGUGUCAAGACGCCUUGGCACAAGCUAGUAGUAAUCUUCGAAGUGGGGAAAAUUUAGCAGAUCAGGUAACAAUAUAUUAUUUAUUUGUUUGUACUAUACCCAAAUUUACAUUAGCUACUUUGAUUAUAAUUAUUUCUUUUCCCUCAUUGUGUAGACACUUCAAGCACAAGCUUGGUAUAAUGCCAAAACCAAAAACAAAAACAAAUCAUUCACCCCCGGUGGGAAUGUUGGAAUAUUGUCAAAGAUUGUCCUAAAUUCAGAGUUGUGCAUAUCGGUCCAGAAGUUGUCAUGAACAUCACCCAUCUACACUCUACGCCCGAUCAUGUCUCACAUGUUCAUAAAGAUGAUGCAGAAGAAGUGCUGGAAAUGCCCCAUGAACAAGUGCCAGGGUCGACCCGUUAUCCAAUUAGGCUUUAAGGUAAGAAGGCUUCAAAGAGAAAAGAGAGUGCUUCCAAGAAUGAUUAUGCAAAAUAUAUGGAAGAACUUGCUCACCAAGGUGAAUUGACUUUGGCAUGGGAAAUGGCUAAAUUUGAGGUUCAUAAGGCUAGAAAGGAUGCAAAAGUUGCAGCUGUUGAGAGAUUAUUUCAAGCUAAUGAAAGAGAAAGAAAGCUACUUAGGCAAGAAAGGGAAGCGCUUUGACAUGCCUCGAUCCUGAUAUUCCCCAAAUAUCAGGAUAGGCACGUGCUGGCUGACACCCGAGGGUGACAAAAGUCAUUUAUUGAAUGCAAAUGCUGAGAAUAAGGAAUAAAUAAGACUUAUAAAUUUACAAAUAAAGAAUAUGCAUUUAAGGAACGUGUUCAGAGCAUACAUCUACCUAGAAUACUAAAAUAAUUAAUAUAAAAUUGAAUGAAUAAAAGAAUGGGUCCUACAUCAAGAGGACUCGAAGAUGCCGAUGCAGAAGUGCCUGGACGUUGGGAUUGUAUGCCUCGAACUCUAAAUCCUGAAGGGGGCGCAAACAAACCUGAGUAGACCAAGUUGAUAUAUAUAUAUAUAUAUAUAUAUAUAUAUAUAUAUAUAUAAUAAAGCAGUUAUCAACGUACUAACUCCUAUGUUUUAUGAAAACACAUAUAUAUAUCAUGAUAAACAUAGGUUUUCUGAAACCUAGCAUGCCGUGCAAUGUCUCAAAUCAUACCUUGUAUAUAUAAUAAUCACUAGUGAAUGUCCAAUAACCCCCAGGCCCCAUGCCAGCUCCCCAUCUUUGAGCAAAUAGUCAGAGGAAAAUUACCCCCAGGCCCUAUGCUGGCUCCCCGUCCCUGUGCUAGUAGCCAGAGGAAAAACACUUCAGGCCAUAUGCCAACACCAUAACUGUCGCCCGAGACAGACCAGAAUCUGUCCCUACAUCCUGUAGUGGAAUAAGGACCACUAGGUAAGUACAAAACCAUCGAACAUACAUACAUUUGAAAAACAACUUCAUAGUAUAAAGUCAUCCAUCAUCUAUACUAUAAAGAGGUGUACAAAACAUGUUCUAAAUAUCAUAUCGUCAUCCAUCAUAUAUUCUAUAAGAACACGAGUUAUAGGAAAAAUAGUAAUAAUUCAAAAUAGCCUCAGUAAGCAUGUUAUCUCAUAAAACGUAAGCAUUAAAUCAUGCUUUUCAUGUAUGCAUUUCUACUAUUAAAACAUGCAUUUUUAAAAGGGGUUCACUCACAGAUACUUAGCCGCUGAAGAGCCACGCAAACUAGCGAACACGAAAUCAUCACAAAUAAUUGCCCCUAAGCACAUAAAUGGUACAAUUAAUAAAACUCUAUCCAAAUGAUUUAAUUUGGGAAAAUGGACGUCAAAAAUGGAUCCAGGACAUUGAAUUACGCUAAGAAGGGUCUUGGUUAAAUUUUGCAAAAUGUUAACAUAGGAAUAUUCCAGGAAUUUUCCUUGGAAUAUUCCAACUGGAUCUGGGCUAGGUUGGUGAGUUUGGGCUGAAGGGUGCUAGGCCCAAAGACCUAAAUUCAAAGGAUUUAGGGUUUAAAGUGCAUGGGCCUAAGGCCCUAGAGAGAAAUGGCCCAAAGGCCUUUAAAUUAACAACAUAAUUAAAAAAUAAAAGAAAUAAAAGAGUUGGGUUGGGUUGGGUUGGGCUGUCCAGGGUUUUGGGCUUGGCAUGAACGGCCCGAAGGCCUGGGAUAAAAGGUUAAAGGGACACGGGUUGGGCUGCCCUAAGGGAUGGGUCAUAAAGGGUUUUUAGGUUAGGUUGAAUGGCCCAAAGGCCUAUCUACAAGGCCCACAUUUUACACAGCCCCAAGGGCCUAGUUCGAAGAGGCUUUGGGCUUGAAAGGCAGACCUGAGUUCAAAACAUGGGUCGUCGGGCCCAAAGGAAGGAAAAUGCUGAAAUUCGGCUGGAAACCUGAACAAACUUUAAACGUUAAUAACUUUGUCAAUACCCAACUCGCCGUGUUUUGGCAGGGAAACACCUCGAAAGCCGCAAAGAUUGCCGAAAACUGGGUAAGAUUCAAAUGGAUAUAACUUCUUCAAUACUUAACAAAAUUGGGUGAAACAAAAAGGAAAGUUGUAGUACUCAGCGAGACGAAGAGGUUGAUACCUUAAACGUCGGCUAACUCACCAUGGUUUGGCCGAAAAGUGGCCUGAAAGUCACAUGUAUUUGUUGAAAUCUGGGUUUAGUUCUCUGAGGUGGUUUUCCUGUGUUAAAACAUCCCCAAGACAGUACCUAUUUUCAUUAAAAUCACCAAAACGUUGAAAAUGAUGAAUAAGUGAUGGUAUUUCGAGCCUCACCUAGUCAGGAAUAGUAGAACUUGCUGGAGUGGGUGUGCUAAGCAUGUUUGAGUGGUCUCUGUGCUUCACAAAGGAUGAGGGAAAGACGAAAGGCCCAACGAUGGUGGUGCUGUUGUCGUGUGUUUGUAUGUUUGUUUGUGUGUGUGUGUUCGACGGUGAGGAGGGAAUAAUGAGGUCAAGAGAGAAGUGCAGAGAGUUUCGGGGAGAGAAAGAGAGAGAGAUAGAGAAAGAGUUAUAAAAAUCAGAAAAAGAAAGAAAAGGGGAAAGGAAUCGGGGGACAAAUCAGAGGGUGGGCCCCAUUGGGCUCACCAAUUAAGACACAAAAACCAUUUUUAAAUAAAAACCUAAAACUACCUUUAAAAUUGAGGGUGGGGUGUAACACGCUUAGAGAAGAAAGAAGGGCUCAACAAGAUCGUGACAUUAUGAAGGAGCCUGUAGAGGCGAUGUCUCUGAAUUCUAAAUAUUUUUGGAAUUUAGAGAAAGCGAAUGUGGUGCGAAGGAGGCAUACAAGAGAAGCGAGAGCAAGAGGAGAUGAUCCUAGCAUGACAAGAGGAGAUGAUCCUAGCACCAGAAAUUGGUUAGGUGAUGAUUUUCCAUUCACGAGGGACUAGGGAAUUUGUUUUUAAUCGGAGCCCAUAACUUUCCAAUCAUUUUGGGUUGUAAUUUCUUAUUUAUUGAAUAGAGUACUUUAUGUUGUUUCCAAUUUAUUGAAUUUAGUACUUUAUUUAAACUAAGAGUAUAUUUAUUUAAUUUGGUAAUUUAUUUAAACUAAGAGAAUUUUUAUUCAAAUGACAUAAACACACCAAAUAAAAUUACAGAAACAUACCAAAUAAAAUUACAAACAUACAAAAUGAAAAAAAACUCACUAAAUGAACUUAAAAAACACACCAAAUAAAAUUAAAUAAACACACCAAAUAAAAACAAACACACUAAAUGAACUUAAGUUUCUUGAGCUUGUUUCAAUUCCCAUUGGUGCUCUAUCAAGUCAAUUUGCCGGCCAUUGUGCAUAUAUGGGUUCUGAAGUGCAGUACAUCGUUGAAUGAGCUUUUCAUUGUAAUGUCCAUCCCUUUGUUAUGGCUCUUGUUGCAUGGGUUAUUCGGUGGCAUCAUGAGCACAAUAUAUUUGUGUUCUAGAAUUGUUCAUCGUGUCUGCCUCAUAUUCAUCAAUGGCAUCAUAAUUGUACUCAUUUUUCAUAAUCAUGUUGUGAAGAAUGAUGCACGUCAUCAUGAUGGAUCGAAACGACUCUAAAUCAAACAUUUUGGCAUCACCCCUGACAAUCGCCCAACGAGCUUGGAGGAUACCAAAACAACACUCCACAUCCUUCCUACACCUCUCUUGAUAGCUUGCAAAGUGUUUUUCCUUUGCACUUCGCGAACGUGGCACUGUGACAAAUGAUGACCACCUUGGGUAAAUGUCGUAUGCUAGGUAGUAUGGCCUGUGGUACUUAUGUCCAUUGACCCAAUACGUGACUCUUGAUGCUUUUCCUUGCAAGACAUCAUUGAACAAUGGGGAUUGGGUAAGGACAUUGAGGUCAUUUUGAGCCUCCGAAACACCCAAAAAAACGUGCCAAAUCCAUGUAUCAAAUGAAGCCACCGCCUCCAAAAUGAAUUUUUUUUUUGCUCAUUUUUUGUUCUCAUAAGCUCUUUGCCAUGCACUUGGACAUUUUUUCCAGGUCCAGUGCAUACAGUCGAUGCUUCCAAUGUGAAAUCCCAUUCCCGGAUUUCAUUGCUUAAAAUUAUGUAUUCCGCAUUUCGUAUUCUUAGUUUCGACGUUUUAUAUGUACGGCGUAUUCGACCCCUACGUAUUUUUCCACGUAUCCUUAUAUAUCUGGAUAGUACUUGUCGAUACGAAUGCAUGGGCGCCAACAUAAUGUGAUUCAAAAUUAUAACGAAGAUUUUAUAAGGUUUUGAAUGUUGAGGAUAUUUUGGUAAAUUGAUAAUUAAUUGGACAUGUGAUAUUUUUGUCAAACCAUUGGGUGAGUGUCACGUGGGCACCCAAAAAUGCUGGAACUCUCUCUCUUCUCCCUUUUCUCUCCCGUUCUCUCUAGAGUUCUCUCACUCUCUCUCAGCUCUCCCUUUCUUCCUGUGAAACAAACCACCAUCAUCACCAAAAAUUUUGGCUUGUUGAACACCAAAACCACCAUUAUUUGCAUGUCUUCACCACCAUAAACCCAGUUUUGAGUUUUGUUUCAUUGAAAGCGAAUCCUAACCUCGAGGUCGAAGAACAAGGUUUUGGGCUGAGACUUCUAGGCGUGAUUCAGACAAUUUUCAGUCAUCUUUUGAACUCAAAAUAGGUAAAAAUCGAUUCAUCUCAUCGAUUAGAUAAAUUUUCAUGUUUGGGUCGUGUGAUUUGGUUGAGAAAUGAGAAAGUUAUAACGAUUUGAAGUUUGCCCAGUUUUUGGCAAACCCGUGACAUUCCAGGCCAUAUUCCCACCAAACCACAGCGAUUUAGCCAUCAGAAAAGGUAUCAAUCUGUUCUUCUCGUUCCAAGCUAUGAUUUUCGUUUUUGAAUCACUCGAUUUCGUUGAGUAUUGACAAAGUUAUGGACGUUUAAAAUUUGCCCAGAAAUUCUGGCGAGUUAGCAGUUUUCCCGCAAACAGCCGUCUUUCGGGCCAUUUUCCGGGAACCUACAACCACCAUUUGGGCUUUAAGAAGUAUAAUCUUAUUCUAUGCUUCUCUAGCUUCGUUUUGGUAUAUUAUGGGUCGAAUUUGGGUUAUUAUGGGUUGAAUUUGGGUGAGAAACGAGUUAGAUAUGGAGUUCUAAAGAUUGCCCAGAAAAUCUGCAAAAUCUGCAGAAUCCGGCGAAAUUUCGUUAAGGUCUGCCACUUGAACAUUAUAGCAAUCAACAAUCAAACCGUUGGAUCGUCACCAAACUUUGAUACAUUAUAGUACAUAAUAUUUAAGGACCUUAGGAACUUACAAAUCCAAAAUCUCAUGGUUGGAUCUCACGGAGCAAGUGACGUAGGAUCUUGGACCAUACUUUUGAACGACGGUUUGAUUCUCAUUAAAUGUUGUUGUUGUGGAGGACGUAUGGGAGUUUUUCAGUAUGUGAAUUAUCGAAGGAAAUCUAAAUGUGGACUUGUACUUUGUUUUAGGCGAUGAUAGUGCCUAACGUCUCAAUUCUUCCGCUAGGGUGCGUUAGUGCAGGCUCCAGGUGAGUGACUUUAAUAUAUGUGAUAUUGGUGAUUACCCUGUUUUCUUAAUUGUUAUCCUGUGUGGAUAUGAUUUGGUUUUAUAAAUAUGUUUUCUAUUGAAUUGUUAUUUUUAAUGCUUAGCCAUCGAUUUAUGUUUAUGAAAUGAGAUUUGACAUGUAUAUUUGAAAUAUGGUUUGACUUGUAUGAUUGGCAUGUUGUGAUGAAAUGUGAGGGCUAGUAGUGGACUGUUAACCCAUUGUGACUGGGAUUUUUUGCUUCCAUAUUGUUUCGUUUCUCGCUUCACUGAUUCGUUCUAAGUUUCGUAUUUGUGUCUUGUUUCACUUUGUUGAGCUUUUGUUAAAUUGAGUAACUUGUGACUUGUCUCGUUUCUUUAAGCCAUUGUAUAUUAUGGUUGUUGGCCUUCCGCUCGAUUUCGUUGAGUGAUCCGGAACUGGGUUUCCGCUGGGGUUCCGUUGAGUGGUCCGGUUCCCUACUCUGUUUGGAUUCCGUUGAGUGGUUUGGAAUCCCUUGUAAUCUGUGAUUCCAUUGAGUGGUCUGGAAUCGUAUCCAUCUUGGAUUUCGUUGAGUGGUCUGAUAUCCAUUGUACUCCACGAUUCUGUUGAGAGGUCCGGAAUCCCUUUUACUCUGUGAUUCCGUUGAGUGGUCCGGAAUCCCAUUUGGUAUUAUGGUUCCGUUAAGAGGCCUGGAACCAGAUUAAUUGCUUUGUUGAUUCUUCGGAUUGAGUUUGGAUUGAGAUAGCUUCAGAGAUGUAGACUUCAGCCGGACUAUGUCGUUGUAGCCUUACUUUUCAUUGUGUUGUAUGAGUCUAUGGUUGUGAGCUUUUGUGACUUGUUUCAGACGAGCCGUUGGAUGUCACCAUUAUGAUUUCAUAAAAUAUGAUUUUAUAUUUGAUGUAUAUAAACCGUGAUUGAUAGAUGUUUUAUUAGUAUCACAUACAUCGAAUUAUUGUCACUCACACGAGUUUUGCGGUUUAUCCAGAUUGUUGUUUGCUCGGUGCACCAUUCCCAUGGUGUAGGGAUGAUUGUGCAGGUUUUAGUAGAUAUGGGGAACUUUGGGGGUAGCAAGCAGAGUUUAGAGGGCUUGGAGUGUUAGGUUACCCUUAUACUUUUCCUUAAAAAUAUGUGAUUAUUGUUGAUUUCAACUCAGUAGUUCAGUUUGUAUUGGCAUCCCUCUACAGUCUUCUGUCGCGCGUCGAUCCUGGAUGUACUUCGGGAUCGGGGUGUGACAUCCAAUCAUCCCACAAAAACCUCGCACCUCGACCUUCUUUAGAAGCCUUUGCAAGUCCAUCUUAGUAGGUUUCCGAAGGUACUCUGCGGUGUAGAGAGAUUCGAUUGUGGAGCAAAACCUCAUUAGGGAGUCAUGAAUGGUUGAUUUCCCUAUCCUCGCUAUCUCAUCCACUUGGUCUGCAGAUGCUCCAUAUGUAAGCAUCCGCAAGGCAACAGUAAUUUUUUUUCUCAAGAAGGAAACCCAUAACACCAAAAACAUCAUUCUUUUGAACAAAGUAAGAAUCAUGGUUGCAAACAACAAUUAUGAUUUUAUUAAACAAAUGUCGUUCCAUUCUAAAAUGACGUCUAAAGUACGUAUCAGGGAAUGCACUGUUACGGACAAAAUAAUCGUCCAAGAGAUCCGUACCUCGUCAUUGCCUACUUCUAUCAAUUUUUGCGGAACGCCUAGGCCUGCAGAUCUGAGCCACAACUUGGAUGACUCGAUGGAAAUAUGAGGCUCUUUGGCUUCUUGCUUCAUCAUCUAUUCUUCUACGCUUCUCAUCCUCUUUCUCUUCCAUCUCAUUUUCACCCACCUGGAGAUUGAGCAUUUCUUCCCCUUGCUUAAACAAUUCUUUCUCUUGCUCAUCAAUUUCCCACAACGUCCUUGAAGAAGACAUUGUAAGAAGGAUGCAGAAACUAUGAAUAAUGAUAGAGAUUUUGAUUUUGUUAUGUGAUUUCUAAGGACGGAUGGUGGGUUAUAUGGAGGAAAAAGAAAGGAUUAGGUUGUAGAUAAUGCCACGUGGCAUGCGGUCAUUCGUUAAAAAUUUGAUCGAAAUCUAUCCUCAAAUAUUGUAAACAGAUUGUGACACGUGACACGAGGUGAUUGGUUAAAAAUCUUAUCGGAAAUCUAUCAUCAACGAUUUUGAAAAGGUAACGACAUGUGACACGACGGUAUUGGAUAAACAUCUUAUUGAAAUCUAUCACCAAAAAUUGUCUUCUUGGAUAAUGACACGUGGUGUAACGAGAACGAUUAAAAAUCUUAUCCAAAAUUACAAAUAAAAUUAUUUUGUAUUAUUUUAUAAAAUAAAAAAUACUAAUAUUUUAUUGCUUAUUGCCAUGGCUAUUUAGUUUUAGGGGUGGAGAUGCAAAAGACAGUUACUGUUCAUUAAUGGAAGUUACUGUUCACUAGAGGCUAUUCAAUAGUGAGUUGCCCUAAGAGGCCUUUGCAACGCUGGUGUGAAAUCCCGUUCCUGGAUUUCACUGUUAUAAUCUACAUAAUUGUAUUAUUGAGAUUUUAUGUUAUUUUUGAGAAAUUAUAUUAAUUUAUUUGGAUUUAGAUUUUAAUUAAAUUAGUUACAAAGUUUGAAGUUUAGAAAGUAAUUAUCUAAAAUUUGUAGACCUUUCGAAGUCACAAUUUAUAUUGUUGAAUAGAUAUCGAGAUCAUGAACGCAUAGGCGAAAGUCGUUUGUGAGUCCAGAUUAUAAUGGUAUAGUUAUGGACGUUUGAAGUUGUUGCUAAAAAAUAAAAAAUGAAAAUGAAAAGAGAAGAAAAAGCCACGCGAGUGGCUGAAAGAAAAAAAAAAGGAAGCCCAGCCUUCCUUUGCACCUGUGCACCAACCUAACUCCAUUUUUGGCGGUCUCCGCCAUUCUUUCCGUCGAUUCAUCACCAUCCAUCACCUACAACCUCUUCCUCAACCUUCCCUCUACCAUCUUCACCCAUAUUUGAGAGUUUUUAGGCCCAAUUUCAUGAAGAACUUCACCGGGUUCGCGGGUGAGUUCGACGGUGAUUCCGUCGUUCCAGCGACUUGCACCACUUACCACCACCCUUAAUCAACUUCCCUUGGACCCAGGAACAAGACCCAACAGGUGGUUGGAGCGUUGGAACACCAAGGAAGCCGAAUUGAAGAACACCCACCUUAGGGUUUCGACGGGUGCGAGCCAAUUUGAGGGCCUUCCUGGCCAAAUUGGACUUGGCCACAGGUAUAAAGUUUACUCUACUUGUUGAGACCUUCAUUCUUGUAAAAUUUGAGAAUUUUUGGAAAAAGUCGAAUUUCCAAUGUGUGACAUUAGAUUUAUGAAAUACUUCUUUCAUUACCAAGCAUCUAGACCUAGAAGGGAAUUAUAGUUGAAAUGACAUCCUUGUUAAUCUUGUGCUUAUUUGAGUGUGUUUGAUUGGGGUUUAAGAGUUUAGAUUGUUUACUAGUAGUUAUAUUCAAGUUAUUAGUAAACGAUCCAGUUUCUCUUAAUAUAUAUAGAUAUAUAUAUAUAUAUAUAUAUAUCUAUAUCUAUAUAUAGAUAUCUAUAUCUAUAUAUAGAUAUCUAUAUCUAUAUAUAGAUAUCUAUAUAUAGAUAUAGAUAUAUAUUGCCGCAUAUACAUGUCAAAAGGGGUAGUGGCAUGAGUGAAGAGGUGGUGUUUUAAGUUGAAAAACCAUUAACUUUGGGUUGGUUUAUUAAAGGAUGGAGAAUGAAGGUUACAAGCAUAGGAAUAUAACGUUAAAAUGUUGAUUUCAUGGAUGAGAAAUAAUAUGUAUGGUUACUAGUAUAAAAGGGUGAGUGACUUUAAUAUAUGUGUUAUAGGUGAUUACUCUAUUUUCAUAAUUAUUAUCCUGAGAGGGUAUGAGACGAUUUUAUGAUUAUGUUUCCUAUAAAGUGCCAUCGUUAUAGUUUAUGAUGUGGAAUUUGACGUGCAUAUUAGAAACAUGGUUUGCUUUGUGUGGUUGGCUUGAUGUGAUGAAAUGUGAGGACUAGUGGUGGACUAUGAACCCAUUGUGAUUGGGGAUUUGUUGCUUCGAUAUUGUUUCUUUUCCCUCUUCGUUGAUUCGUUUUAAAUUUAGCAUCUGUGCCUUAUUUCCCUUGGUUAAGCUUUUGUAAAUUUAGUAGCUUGUGCUUGUCUCAUUUCUUUGAGCCGUUGUACAUUAUGGUUGUCGGCCUUCCGCGAUUCCGUUGAGUUGUGUUCCGGAAUCGUAUCCACUUGGAUUCUGUGAGAGAUGGUUCAAAAUCUCUUCUACUCCGCGAUUCCGUUGAGUGAAGUUUCGGAAUCGUAUUCACCUUGAGUUUCAUUGAGUUUGGAUUAAGAUAGCUUCAAAGGUAUAGGCUUCGGCCGAACUAUGUCGCUCUAACCCUACUUUUCAUGGUGUUGUAUGAGAAUAUGAUUGUGAGACGUUGUGAUUGUUUCAGACGAACCGUUGGAUGUCUGGGUGACUCCUUCGGAGUUUGCGAAUGUUUGGUAUUAAUUUCUUAUGAAUGAUUCAUAUUCAAAGUUUAUAAACUGUGAUUGAUAGUUGGUUUUAUCACUAUUAUCACACUUUGUAUUAUUGUCGCUCACCUGAGCUUCACAACUUAUCCAAGAUCUGAAUUGCCCAGUGCACCAUUUCCAUGAUGUAGGCACUGAUUUUAAAUGCAACAAGUCUGGAUAGAUUAUGAGAAACCGAUUGAUAUUUUGGUUCCGUUGAAUGGUCCGGAACCCGAUGUCGUUGGAUUCCGUUGAGUGGUCCGGAAUCCUUACUCUUGCACAUUCCAAAAGGUUAGUCUAGAACCCUAGAUUCGAGCGAAUGGGAAUUAUCCAUAGACCUUGUGAAUAUAAAUUAGAAUUACCAUGUUAUUACUCAUAACCCAAGUAGGGAAUUAUAUAGAGUUCUCUAAUUGAAUUGGUGAAAUGGUAUGUUAUCUCAUUGAUUGAUUAACGUAGUUAAAUGCUAAGAUCAGCAUCCUUGAUUCAUGAAGGGAUUAAUUGAUGGGAAUUGUGGAAUGACGUUGGAUAUGAUUGUUAUUAUUAUGAUUAUUUAGUGAUCAAUGUGGCUGAAGAAUAAUAUUGUGCUUCGUUGGUUAUUGGAUAAGUUACAUGUUGUGGAUGGAGAUAUCACGUUGAAAACAUAGUGAUUUAUAUGAUAGAUGGAAUGGAAACCUUGAAUGUCAUGUGGAUUUGUUAUGUAACCAUGAAUCUAGUAAUUCAUGCUUGUUAAGUUCUAAUAAUUUAUUGAGGAAUGCUAUGUUUUUCGAUUUGAACGUAUUGUGAUAAACGUCGAGGUGUAAUGAAUGGCAAACUACGAAUGACAAACUACGAAUGUCUUGAUCCCAAAUGAGGGUACGUAGGCAGUCUAACGAGGAGGUUAGAUGCAGCCAUAAAGUAUACGAAAAAUUCUAUGCAAUUCGAGGCAUGGCAUGUGCUUGAUACAUAGCCCAGGGGACAGGUAUGUUAGAUAUGUGGUUAUUUGAUGACGUCACGUGUCGAUCCCAGACGUAUGUCGGGAUCGGGGCGUGACAGCUGGAGUUGCUCUCACCAUCUCCUUCUUUCUCCAAUGCCUGUACAAAGUUCAUAGUUGUGUGCAAAGCUGCUGCAUUUUCUCCCAUUUCUCAUCACAUUACUGCCCCAAACCCUUAUCACUCUUCCUCGGAUCACGGAUGAUAAAACCCGACCCAAAAUUUGAAACCCAAAACCCAGUUGCCUAUUUGAGUUCUGGAGCUCAAUAUGAAGGAAUGUUAGAUAAAUAACAUUAUUAUUUAACAUAUCGGGUGGAACAAAAUAUUGUAUAAAAUGUCAAAUUGCCACAUAAACCAUCAAAUAUCAUUUUAAUGUUUAAAAUUUGACAUUUUCUUUGGAGAUGCUCUAAUAUGUUAUUUCUCAUGAUCAUGCAUCCUUCUGGUUCUUACAUAUAAUUAUGUUGUUUGGGGGAUGCAAAGCCACUUUUACAUCUCCCGAGAUGUAGAGCUCAUUUGUACGUGUUUUUAAAAUGACUGAAAGCGCUUUUGAUGAGAAUAUUUUUAGAAUCAAUCAUUAGUAAAUAUGUAAGUAAAUCCUGGAAAAGCACUUAAAGUGCUUCCUGGAAGAAGCACAUAAUUGGUGCUUCUUGCAUAAAGCACUUAAAGUACUUUUGAAGCCCAACAAUAAUUUUUCUAAAAGCGCUUUCAUUCAUUUUAAAAGCACAUCCAAAUGAGCCUGUAAAUUUUAGUUUUGCUCCAAUGCGUAUAGAUCUAAACGAGAAGAUGAAAAUUUUGAUUUUCAAGUGUUCAUUUAUUUUUGUGUAGAUUUUUUUUUUUAAUUUUUGUUAACAUAAUUUUUUCCCGCACAAUUCAAUAAAAAAAUUUCAAAAUUUGGACAACGUUGAUUUCAUCUCAUUUAGACGCUGAUUUCAUAAGAAAAAAGCUGAAGCAAAACUAGAAAAACUUUGAAGAGGAAAUGUUUUGUGUGAGAAUUGCCAGUAGUAUUUUUUUUUCUUCAAUGAUAGAGAACAUUCAUUAAUCGAAGUCCUACCAAAGGGAUUGCAAUUUACAUAGCCUUAGAAAUGAUCAACAUACAGAUAGAAGACAUCACUUAUGCAACAUAAAUAGGUUUCAAUCUAAAAAGAAAAGUUCCACAAAGCCCAUAAUGUGGCUAAUAGAGAAUCUUCUAAAAGCAGUAGUGGAUGAUCCGCCGUAGCUAUCCAGAAACAAAAAGCGACCGACAACCCUUGUGUGAGAAACUGAAAAAAAAACCCCGGAAACAAGAAGCGACCGACAACCCUUGUGUGAGAACUGAAAAAAAAAAAAAAAAAAAAAAAAAUUGGUGGAUGGAUGAACGAAAGGUUAUGCCUAUGUAUAAAGGAAACUGUUUUCUUUUUAAAUAGUAUUUUGCAUCCCACGGAACCUCUCUUUUUCUCUUGUGGAGCCCAAUUUUUGUGAUGCAAACUCAGAUGCAAAAAUGGAUCUUUACUUGCCUUAUCCGGUGAGUUGCAAAAUUUGCAACUUAUACAUCACCAAGACUCGAGCAACUUCCGGCAGCAGUAAACGGAAUUGCAUGUUUUUGUGCAGGUUUAGUAGAACUGGAGGGGCAGAUUUUCGCUCUUAUGGUUGAUUUUCGACAACUGUAACGGCAGCCACACUUCCUUACGCCUCUGUGACUUCGUCACUAGCCGACCCUACUUAGUGGGAAUGCUUUGUUGUUGUUUAAUAGUAAUAUAGUAUUGGUAUCCUUUGUAUGUGUAGACAUCGAAAUUUCAGUGAAAACAAAUGUUCACCAACACAUUAAAUUUCGACAUGCUAGAGCAUGAUAUAUUUCACAAAUUGUACACAUAGAUGUGACUCAUCAAAACCGAACAAGUCAUCAAAAGAGACACGUGGUGACAUUUAGCGGAAAAUAGUUAAAAAAUUAUCUUUAUUAAAUUUUUAAUUAAUUUAAAUUUUAAUCAAACAAAUGAAUUGAUUUAAAUUAAUUGAUGGAGUAUCACGAAUCAAGCCUCAAUUAACUCCUAGUUCUUUCGUCAGUGAAUCAAGUCCACAAUCAUGGGCAAAUCUAGCCGUAGGCAAGACUUGGAGAGUGUAUAAAUAUGAGGCUCCAGACAAAGAAAGGGUGAGAAAUUCAUCCAAACACCGAGACGCACAAACUCCUAAUUUCCCAAUCACUUAGAAGACUCAGUAAACUCUUUGCGUUCUUCAUCAAACCCAUGAGGAAUCAUCAAGCACCACUACAAGUGCCGAUUGUUCCAUCACCACAAGCCAAAACUUUGAGGCGUUUGUUCAUUCGAGAUUAAGGGCUAGUUUGGUAUUGUUGUGCUUUUUAAAAAAAAAUUGUUUCUAUUGUGCUGUAAGAAUAAACAAUUGUAAAAUAAUGUUGUUAAGUGUUUGGUAAACUUUUUGUUGUAAAAGUGAUUUUAUUAAAAAAAAAAGUAGUGUCUGAGUGUUUGGUAAAUUUUUAUAUAAAUUGCUUUGAAUAUGUAAAAUGACUAAAAAAGAUAUAGUAUUUAAUGUGAUAUAAUAAUUGUCAAAGACAAAAUGUAGGGCAAAUAUUGUAAUUUUGUAAAACAUGUGGGGGUAUACUUGCCAUUUGAAAAGUUCAUUAAAUGAGCAUUAAUUACUAUUCUUUGAAAAAAAAACACUUUUUUUAAAAGCAUGGUAAACCCUGCUUCUGCAUUUCUAUGCUUUUCUACUUUCAUUGACAGCAUUUUAAAAAAAAACAUUUUUUUUUUAAUUUUACCAAACACAUUUAAUGUUCCAGCUUUUUUAAUAAGAUGCUUUUAUUGGAAGCACCACAAUCCCAAGUCAACCCUAAGUCAUUGCGACCCUCGGAUCAACAACACACACAUUUUUCACCCCGGAGAUCGAAUCAGAGAAUUCGAAGUUGUAAAGAGAUUGUAACCAUCCAUUUACAUUGAUACACAUUUUAUUUUUUACACGUAUUUUUGUGUUAUUUAUCACUAUGUUUGGUUUUUUUUUUUUUUGUAUAAUUAAUAAAGUUAUAAGGUAGAAAAAGUAUGCACACCAAAUUUGUAUUUUUUUUCUUGAACAAACGAUAUUAUCUACAAUAAGAGAUGGGGGUGAACUAAGCUGCACAAUGAGCCAAGAAUAAUGUGGUUCAAAUUCACUUUUGGUGAUUGACACACCCCGAUCCAGAGGAUCCAGGUGUGCUGGCCGUCACGUGGGUGUGACGUAACCAUAGGUGCGACACGGAAGUGAAACAACCACAAAAGUAAGCAGGAAUUCAAACCAAACUCAAACAUAUCAACCUACGAACAUAACCGGACGAGUUAUAAGGUAAACACAUGAGUUCAGAGCAUAGGUUAAUUGCAGUCAAGUAGGACUAAAAUAAAGAUACAUCACCCUAAGGUGAGUCCUACAUGUCGAGAGUCUGUCAGAAAGCCGGAAUAAGACCUCGAGAGCCACCAACCGCUAAACUAGAACCUGGAGGGGCGCAAAACAAAAUGAGUGGGUCAGUAAAAUCAAAUAGUUUUCCAAAACAGUUCAUUAAAAACAAUUUUAUCCCCUCGCCGUAAAACCUGUAUACUUUCCCAGAAAAUAGUAUAUAUACAUAUAUAUAUAUACGCAACAUCAUAACUCAGCAUAAAACCAUCAUCAUAAUAUCUCAGAAAUGAUAUGCCAUGCCCAAACUAUAAUCAGAAUGCAUCAAUAAUAGUCAGGUGAAUAAUAAAUCAACCGGAGACCCUAUAAUGGUCCUGUACGGCUGAUUCUAAAGCUCAACAUCCAAACCAACCGGAGUCACCUCGGUGACCUGUACGGUUCAACUCUGCACGUCACUCGGAACUACAUAUAGUAGUCUGUACGAUGACAGGUGUAUGAAUACGCUCUAGUGCUUCUCACAUCAAUCAUCAGCGCGCAUAACUAAGGUCACCCACUAGUUGGAAUCACAUCUAGUGAUCUGUACAACUAGCAUGUCGGAACCCUCACUUGGUCUGUACGACAUCCACUUACUUGGAUCCAAGACGAGCGUGCGUUGUGGUGAAUAAUAAUAUAAGCACUAUCACCUAGGUGCAGGUUAUGAGUUUUCAAUGCAAUUCAAUAUAAAUAACUUAGCUGGAAAAUAAAUAAACUCACCUGAGCGUCCAUCGCGUCAUUUCACAUAUAUAUGCAUCAAUACUCAAGCUAGAUAUCUAACUUAGCUGGAAAAUAAAUAAACUCACCUGAGCGUCCAUCGCGUCAUUUCACAUAUAUAUGCAUCAAUACUCAAGCUAGAUAUCUCAAUAAUUUCAUGCAUGGCAAUUAAUUUCAUAACUUUCAUAAAAACGUAUUUUCUGGGAAAAUAAAUGUAUAUAGGUAAAUACGAAAUCAAAAUUGCCCACUCACUGAUAAGUCGACGGGUCGUAACCCCCGUGGCGUCUCCUUCUUCCUUGGCUCGCCGAACUGGUUUUUCUGGCGGCUGUUUUCCGGCGAGUUUUAAAACUCUUCGUUCUCCUUCGUUUUUCACCCAUUUUCUUCGUAUUUUAUAUCAAAUUGAAGCCCCAAACAUGUAGAAUCACGAUAGACUAGUUUAAGGCUCUAAAAAUCAAGAAAUCUCACCGGAAAAUUCCCAAGAAAUUCGGCCAAAAUGGAACCACGUGAUCCCGACGUCCAAAUCCUUCAAACGAAGUACUCCGAGCCUCCUUAGGACUUCACUAAGCUCACCACAAGCUUAGAAUUUCCUGAAACACAACAUUUUACGUUCGCAUGAACAGUGACAAAAAAUGGAGGUUCGAGUUUCACGUGAUUCCGAAGGUUUCACUUCCUAAAACUAGUACCAAUGAACUCAGAACGUCAAAAGGAUGAAGAUGCAUACCUUGGUUGCCUCGAUCCAUCGAGUUUUUGGAGGAUUUGGGUGUGUGCCGUACGUUUUGGGUGAGAGAGAGUGAGAGAGGGUCGUGAGGGACGAGAGAGAGAGAGCCACGGGUUGGGAGAGAGAGAGAGCAGGAGAGUUGUGAUGUCCCAAAAACAAUCUCCACCAUCCAUUUUCUAAUUCCCUAAUCAACUUAACAAAUAUCAAAUCAAUAAACCAACUCAUCUUAUAAUUUCUUCCAACACAUAUCUAAUAUUAAACCAAAUAAUGUCACACACCCACGAACCUUAAUACCCUUCAAGGGUAAUCCCAUCAUUUCACAUUCCCGUCAAAAGUACCUCCGGGACGGGCUGUGACAGUGAUAAUCGAGUCUAAAACAUCUCACGCUAAAUUUGUAUUAAGCACUUCAAAUUCAAAUUUUGUGCUUUGGCAUUGAUGAACCUUAAUUUGGCAUAAACAACGAACCAAAUAUAAAUUGUUGCUCCCUGCACAACUAUUUAGACAGAAAAAACAUAAAUGAGUCUACAUUUCCCAAGUAUAAAUUAAUUCCCCAGCCAAAUUCAUCUCCCUAUUACUCUCUCUGCAACAGUUUUUCUUCUGCUUUAUACUUACUGUACAUUGCUUCCUUAAAUUUGGAACUUAAUAAAGAAGAUUACUUCAUGAAGAAGAUUACAACUUACUGUACAUUGCUUCUUAAUUAAAUUUGGAAAUUAAUGAACCAAAAGUGUACCCAAAAGAAAAAGAAUAAAGAAUCAAAAGUGUCCUAUGUUCCCCAUAAUAUCUUCUACUUUCAAGCACAUAAUAUUCUCUUUUAUCUUCUUUCUCUGCUACCAUUCAAUUCUCUUCUUUAGUACUACUCUUCUUCCAGUUUCUUAGCUUACAAUGGCGGGAAAAGACAAAGCUGAAGGUCAUGCAAUCGGGAUCGACCUGGGGACAACCUACUCGUGUGUGGCCGUGUGGCAGUAUGAUCAUGUAGAAAUUAUAGUGAACGAUCAGGGUUACAGGACAACUCCAUCUCACGUUGCCUUCACUGAUGCCGAAAUACUGGUUGGUGAUGCUGCAUUUAACCAGCUCAUCAGAAACCCUUCCAACUCCAUCUUUGGUAAGGUUCUUCUCACUUGUACUUUCCAAAUUGAUAAUGAGCUUUUCUCAAAUCGAUAAUUACACAUAUUGUGUUAUUUUAAUAAAAGAGGCUGAAAGAUUUGCUUAAUUUUGUUAUGGUGAUCUUAAUGGGAGGCUUAAGAUUGAUGCUUAAGAAGUCAUAGUCGAACUACAAUGAUAGUAUUAAUGUUUGCACCAGUUUUCUGAUUCAAAUUAUUGUUAUUCUAUACAAUUUUUAUUUACAAUUUUUUUUAAUUAUUUUAAUUUGUUAGAUUAAUUGUUUUCUAAUUGUGGCACCAAUUUUUAGAUGCAAAGCGGUUAAUUGGUAGAAGAUUUAGUGACGCAUGUGUCCAAGAUGAUAUUAAGUUGUGGCCUUUCAAGGUCAUUGAAGGUCCUCAUGAUAAGCCUACGAUUGUGGUCACUCACAAGGGCCAAGAGAAGCAGUUUUCUGCUGAAGAAAUCUCAUCCAUGCUUUUGGGAAAGAUGCGAGAGAUUGCUGAGGCCUUCCUCGGCUCAACUGUUAAGAAUGCGGUCAUCACAGUCCCUGCUUACUUCAGUGACUCACAGCGUCAGGCUACAAAAAAUGCAGCUAUCAGUGCCAGCCUAAAGGUGUCACGUAUCAUCAAUGAACCAACUGCUGCAGCCAUUGCUUAUGGCCUUGACAAGAAGGCUGGCUGGUACAGCAAGAGAAAUGUUAUGAUGUUUGAUUUCGGUGGUGGUACUUUAGAUGUGUCACUAGUUACCAUUAGUUGCGGCGUGUUUGAUGUGAAAGCCACUGCUGGGGAUACUCACCUUGGAGGUGAAGACCUAGAUAACAGAAUGGUGAAGUACUGUGUCGAGCAAUUCAAGAGGAAGAAUAAUUUAGACGUGACUGGAAACUCCAAAGCACUAAGGAGGUUAAAAAAUAGUUGUGAGAAAGCAAAGAGGAGACUUUCAUUUACGUCUUCAACAGACAUUGAAAUUGACUGUUUGCAUGAAGGUAGUGAUUUUUGUACAACUAUUACUCGGGCAAAAUUUGAAGAACUCAAUAGGGAUUUCUUUAUCAAGUGUAUGGAGCCGGUGAAUAAGUGUUUGGAGGAUGCUAAAAUGGACGUAAGCAGCAUCCACGAUGUUGUUCUUGUUGGUGGCUCUUCGAGAAUUCCUAAGGUGCAAGAACUCUUACAAAAUGUCUUCAAGGGUAAGGAGCUGUGCAAAGGCAUUAAUCCGGAUGAGGCAGUGGCUUACGGUGCUGCUGUUCAGGCUGCAGUCCUGAAUGGGAAGGGAAAUGAAAAGCUUCAAGACCUCACUUUGUUGGAUGUCACGCCGCUAUCACUCGGGGUGGAGACUGGGCGUGAACGGGACAUGACUGUUGUGAUACCAAGAAACACUAAAAUGCCCGUCAAGAGGAAUUAUACUGUUACCACUCGGCAUGACAACCAAGCAGUU